AGGACCCUUAAAUUUUUCGAUUGAAAGGGUCUAGAGGGUAACCGCCCCUCAAGAUUUGUCUCAGAAAGUUGAAGCACGGUUAAAUUGGGAAAAUCCAUGAAGAACUCUGGAAAUGGACCAGCAGCUGCAUCAAAGUUUCCUUGGAGGUUGAUCACAACAAGAGAAUGGAGUCUCGAGAGCGCUUUAUGAAUAGGACCACUCAGGGAACAAUCAGCCAAACUAAGUACCUGAAGUUGAGGAACAUAUGCAGCAAGAGAUGUGCCCCACUCUUCUCCACUAUUAGACAAAUCCACCGAGUCAAGGUAGAGCUCUCUUAAGUUGCUGAGGUUUGCCACAAAGGUAUCAAAACUUGAUUCCCAUAAAUUGUUAUAAUAAUCAUAAUAGUUUGGACCAUAAAAACCGAGAGAAUAAUCAAUAUUGUAUGUUGAAAGAUCCAAUGAGAGAAGGUUCACUAGUUUACUGAUGCUAGGAGGUAUCUGACCAUAUAAUCCUGAAUUGGAAAGGUUUAGGUGGGUUAAAAAAGUGAACCUCUCAAAACCAGCAGAUUGGAUGUUGUCUCCACCGAUGUCAUUCAUGCUAAGGUCGAGUCGCCAAAGUGAUAUGAGGCUGAAGAGUGCAGGGUCCAAGCCAUGACUUGACAAGCAACGGUUGUUGAGGUCGAGAAUGGUGACAUGGCCAGACGAAGGGUCACAGCCAACACCCUCCCAGAGACAACAGUCGGUACCAUUUCGCCAUGAUGAAAGCCUGGUAGUGGAUCUGCUGAAGGAGAAGGACUUCUUCAGCUGGAGGAGCGCCUUAGCUUGGUUUGGAUGGCACAAAAAUGAGACAGGGAGGUGAGUGAGGUUACCACCAUCAGCGCGGUGGGCAAUGGAGGUGGAGAGUAGUGUGUGGAGCUGAGCAAGAAAGAGCAGUAACACCCAGCCGAUGGAAGCCAUAGCAACUUAGUAUGAGCCGACGAUAGGCUUACAAAGAGGCACAAGGCAGAUACAUAAUGGAUUGUCUAGUCUAGUAAUGCGCGACAGAUUGUUAUGCAGCUUCCAGCAGCUGUCAAGUCUUUGUCCAUUAAUAAAUUAAUUAAUUUACGAGUACCAUGGCUAAGCUGUACGCAAUUGCGACACCUGAGGAGACUUGACUGUACCAUGGGCUAGCUGUACGCAAUUGCUACACCUGAGGAGACUUGACUAGCCUUUCGUCAAAUGCUGUUGGUAUCAUCCACUGCUACAACAGUGACCGGUAAUUGGAAGUCUCACUAUAGCAAGACUUCCAAGUCAACUAAGCCGGCCGCUACAUUCUGAGGAAGGUGGAAUUGAAGAUCAAAUCAAGUCGGGCGUUGGGAAGAAUUAGUCCGCACUCCGCUGAUAACAACAUCGAAUAUACUGAUCUGAUGUGCUUCAUUUUUUUUUGGGUUGGAGUGGAGCGGCAUCAAGAUCCUACUGCUGUGGAAAACACUGAAUUGACUCGUUUUAUCUCCCACAAAACGUGGCUGAAGAUGAUAGUGGUGCUUCAAGAAACAGCGAGAUGGAGCAAGUAAAAAUGCAGUUGAGCCGCAGCUAAAACUUGUCGAGGUUACCACGAUGCUCGUGAAUCAUAGUAUUCCAGCCGCGGUAGUUCUCGUCUUGUCGAAGGAGAUGUUGCAGUGUUCACGUCUAGAGCUCAUCCAAUCCAUGGCGUUCCUCUGGCCGAGUCGUCGAUACGAAGGAGACGUCGCGUCACAUGCGUGUUCCUCAUGUCACCUUUGCCUACGACCAAUAAGACGAUGACACCAGAACCUUUUUAUUUUUUCCCCUAAUCAGCAGCUUUCAAAGCGGGCGCCUGCGGACAGCACUGUCCGCGUCAGAUUUGGCACACAUUAGCCGCAGUUGCACUCGUCCACGUCCGGUCCUCCCCCACCCCACCCCACCACCACCACCACCACUGAUUGCCGAAGCUCCCUACACUACAGGGUAAGGAACAGCUAAGAUCUGAGCAAGUAAAGUCGGGAUAUUUAAUUAUUUGCCAUUCUUAUAACGAAUUCCUACAUAUCUGUCAUUGAAGAAAGAAUUAGUCUAUACUUUUACCAUUUUUGCUGAUGUGGUGAGCCACAUCCUCGUGCUAGCAUGAAUUGAGCAUGGCAAUGACCAUAGUGCCCCUGCCUCCCUCACGUUAGCCAUCCCCUUCCCUCUAUCCUACCACUAAUGGAUGGGGACUCACAUGUCAGGGUCAUCUUCAACCUAUUGCCGCAUGGUCUUCCGCUGUUGUGCGGCUCCUCUACGGUACAUCACGGGGGAGGAUACCACGACUUGGAGGUGUCGGGUGGACUACAUUUUCACUCAGAAGGACCUUAAUCUAGGACAGCGUCGUUGGUUGGAGUUGAUCAAGGACUAUGAUCUGGAAAUUCACUAUGAUCCUGGUAAAGCAAAUUUGGUUGUAGAUGCCUUGAGUUGGAAGGGUCAUGCUAACAUAGCUUUGGCAUUUCAGCUGCCUGAAGAGUUGAUGAAGGAGUUUGAGAAACUUAACUUGGGGAUAGUUGCCCAUACUGAAGGAGUGACUAUGGAAAGAAAUACGGAAUGGACAGCUUGAGGAUGUUGAGAUCAAGGAGAUCAAGGAACUUAUGAAGGAAGGGAAGGCUCCAGAAUUCAUAGAGGAUGAUCAAGUGACUAUAUGGCUCAGAAAGAGGAUUUGUGUACCGAAUGUGGGAGAUCUCAGAGACACCAUCUUGAGGAAAGCUUGUGAUUCAGCCUACUCAAUUCGUCCUGGGAGAACCAAGAUGUAUCAAGACCUCAAGAAGAAGUAUUGGUGGUAUGGGAUGAAGAAGGAUGUAGCUGCACAUGUGGCCCUAUGUGAUAGAUGCUAGAGAGUUAAGGCUGAACACCAAAGACCAGCUCGAUUGCUUCAACCAUUAAAGGUUCCUGAAUGGAAGUGGGAGGAAAUCAAUAUAGAUUUCAUUGUUUGUUUGCCCCGCACCUAAGAUGGAUAUGAUUCAAUAUGUUUUAUAGUGGGUCAAUUGACCAAGGUAGCUCACUUCAUCCGAGUGAGAACCACCUAUGCUGGGUCCAAGAUGGCAAAGCUGUAUAUAUCAAGGAUUGUGUGUUUGCAUGGUGUACCCAAGAAGAUAGUGUCUGAUAGAGGUACUUAGUUCACAUCCUGUUUCUAGUAGAAGCUGCAUGAAUCCAUGGGUACAAAGCUAAAUUUCAGCUCAUCUUAUCAUUCUUAGACAGAUGGACAGAUUGAUAGGACAAAUUAGAUUCUAGAGGAUAUGUUGAGAGCCUGCGCUCUAAAACAUGGAGGUAUUUGGGAUAAAAGUUUGCCUUAUGCUGAGUUCUCUUAUAACAACAACUACCAAGCCAGUCUCAAGAUGUCACCCUUUGAGGCUCUAUAUGGAAGGAAGUGCAGAACCCCUCUGUAUUGGAGUGAGACAGGAGAGAGUCAAUUAUUUGGGCCAGAGAUUAUCCAAGAAGCUGAAAGGCAAGUUCAGAUAAUUAGAGAGAAUAUGAGGACAGCUCAGUCCAGGUAGAAGAGUUAUGCUGAUACUAAAAGGAGAGAAUUGAUCUUUUAGGAAGGUGAUUAUGUGUAUCUUAAAGUGUCACCCAUUAGAGGCUUACGCAAAUUUAAGGUUAAAGGGAAGUUGCCACCUCACUUUAUUGGACCCUUCAAAAUUCUAAAGAGAAUGGGGAAGUAGCUUAUUGGUUGGUGUUACCCAAUCAGCUCUCAGAUGUGCAUGAUGUGUUUCAUAUCUCUCAGCUAAAGAAGUGUCUCAGAGUUCCAGAGGAAUAGAUACCGAUGGAGGAUUUAAAUGUAAAGGAUGAUCUCACCUACACUGAAUACCCUAUAAAAAUCUUGGAUACUCUAGCACGUGUUACCAGGAAUAGAGUGAUCAAGAUGUGUAAGGUACAAUGGAGCUACCAUGCAGAGGAUGAGGCAACAUGGGAAAGAGAGGAUGAACUGAAGGAGGAAUUUCCCCAGCUCUUUGCUAAUCCAUCCGAAUCUCGAGGACGAGAUUCUUCUUAAGAGGGUAGGAUUUGUAACACCCUAAUUUUCAACUUUUGCAAUUUAAUAAAAUUUGUUAGAAAUUAGGUGCAUGUGUCUAAGGAUUUUAAGGUUGCAGUUAAAUUUUCUUAGGCAAUUAAAUCUUUUUCAAAAUAAAGUAAUGAAUCAUAGGAGUUUAUUAUUGCAUUCGUGCUGGUGCAUUAUUUUUGGUUGCUUGAAUUCAAAUUUGUGUUUGAAUUCAGUUUUGAAUUUAUGUUUGUUUUCCCUUCAAACAAUAGGAAACCCUUUUCGUUUUCCCUCCUUUUCUUCUCUCUCUUUCGGCCCGUCUCCUUUUUCCGGCCCAACUCAGCCCGGCGCCCCACUCCUCCUCCGCCUGUCGCAUGCCACAGCCCAGCAGCAGCCCAACUCCCAUGUCGGUUCGUUCCGCCUCGGCCCAACACCACGCGCCCGCCGCCACCCGAUGACAGGCGGGGCCCGCCUGUCAUCUCCUUCCUUCGGUCGCCCACGCCGCAACCGACUCGGGGUCGAUCCCGAAUCCUCUGUGCUCACCUCCACUUGGCCCGCACGCCAAGGUGCCUCCUUCCAGGCCUAUAAAAGCACCGCCACAUCUCCUGCACCUCGCACCAAACCCUAGCUCCAAGCCACAGCGCUAACGCUGCAACCCUAGCUAGCCGCCCGCUGUCGUCGAUUUGUGCCGCCGCCGCCUUUCCGUCGCCAAGAAUACCCCCAGGAGCUUUGCCGCAAGGUGAGGAAGCCCCUGGUGCGGGUCUCGUGCGCUCCCAUGCCUCUCUCCGGGCGCACGAGCUCGUUGGAGUUGGGCAAGCUCGGCCGGGCCACCUCGUUGAGCCUCCGGCCACCACUAGCACCCAAUCCUCCUCCUCAACACCCUAGAUUGACUCUUCGUGUUAAAAACCAUGCCCAGAAACUCAAUUCCGAGCAAAGUUCAGCGUGUCGCUGCUCGUCGUCAUCGCGCGCUGCUCGCGUCCGCCGCCCACGCGCCGUCCAUGUCCUCUCGGCAGCCGCUAGCUGUACGAUCUGCUUUGGACAGCUCAGAUCCGAUCUAACCCGAGUCAAACCAACACGUACUAGUCAACCCCCAUGCCGCACCGUUCAUUUUGCUAAAUAGUCCCUAGGUUUUAGGGGUUUUGCACCCAAGGUCCAGAGUAGUUCAAAGAUCUUUAGAUCUCGGUCCUUUUUCUUCUGUUCUAGCCCUUGAUCUUUUGCAAAAUAGUGCCCACAAUCCUAGACUCUCUCUUUUGUGCGUUAAACCUUUAGUUUAUACGCAUAUUUAUGUUUUAGCCCUCGGUUUCUUCGAGCUUAACCCCUAAAAGUUUUAAAUCUUUGCCAGCAAGCCCUUGCACCUUGUUUAGUGCACAUCUUUAGCGUUUUAGGUCCAUUUUAAGUGCUUCCUACGUCUAUGAGUUCAUCUUUACGCAUAGAUUAGUUUUAUGAUCUUGUUUCUCUCUGUUGUUACUGAUUGAUGUAAUAUUUUCUUAUUUUAUUCCUUUGCUUGCUUGUACGUGAUCGUGUGAUGCAUUAGAAGGACUGUAGCUCGAGGGAUUCAGAGGUCAAGACUUUGAAGACUACGAGCAGCUGGAGCAAAUCCAAGAAGGCAAGUCAUGCCCUUGAUCACAACUUGAAGCUAUGAAACUUUUUAAUUUCCUAUUUAAUAACAUUUAUGCCAUGCACUUUAAGUUACAAACAUGAUGUGUCCUAAUUAAGGAGGAGUGACUAGUUUUAUUCCCAAUACCUCGAUCAACCCGGGCUUACAUAAUGUUGGGUAGUAUAUGCUUAGUUGCUCAACUUGGGUAUGGUGGUAUUAAUGAACUCAAUGGUUAAACUUGUUUUAUUUAUGAUAUGCCUAUCAUUAACACAAAAUCACCAUACUUAAUUAGAACAUGGAGAACCAACUGGGCAAACAGUACAACCACAAGAACUAAAUGGCUCUGGUCUUGACUAAUUAAUUAGAGAUUUUAGUCUGGGGUAAUCUUACCGAAAGGGCAAGAUGGGCGGCGGCAAAUGGGGUAUAACCCGGUCCACUUGGGAAGUGAGCUUUGCCCUAACAUUAUGCCCACUGGCGAGGUUUAUACUCUGCUACUGAUCCGGAAACCUUAGCGGGUUACCACUUACUAGGGGCUCUUUGUGAAGAUCUCGUAGCGUCCCUAUGCAAUCGCACCUCGGUAGUGUGGUAUUGUGCAUAGCCUGCACAACAUGGUUGGGUAUAAAGUUCUUUUGAACUUUUACGCGACUUGUGGGUAAAGAUGUGCAAGCUCUAUAGAGUGUAAAACUGACCGAUCAGUCAUGCUCACGGUCAAGAGCGGCCUGGACCCUCACAUGAUUAAAUUAUCGGAAGUUGAAUUAAAUUGUUAUUAUUUAUUUCUGUUAUCUUUAUUUAUGUUCACAUUGAAUGUGGGUGGUAUAAACUUACCGUUUAGUAAAUGCUAAUAAAACUUGACCAGCCAAGUAAAUGCUAAUAAAACUUGACCAGCCAAUUAAAAUGCUUGACUUGCUAAUCAAUCUUAACCUAUCAUUGAAUGGCCAUACACUACACAUUCCUCACGCUUGCUAAGUACCAACCAUAAGUGUACUUACCCUUGCUAAAAUCGCUGCUCAGAACAAGUCAACGCUGUGGAUGUCUUUCAAGAUUGGGAGGAGUACUAGGCGCGUACGUGUUUCUCCAGUCAUCUGCCUGUGGAGUCGCCGUUUUCGUUGAAGAUCCACUGCGACAAUAAUACUCUUUUUGCCAUUCGGUUUAAAAGACUAUCGAUCAUGUAAUAAUUAUAUACUCUCUCUACAUUAUGGCAUUAUCUUUGUUACUCACUAAAGUCAUCGCAUAUGUGUAAUUUGAUUCUGAUGUACAUGUGAUUCAUGCAUCUGGUUUUGCCUUUAAAAUAGAGAUACAUGGCCUUUUAUAUUGUUUCUGGACAUGCUGAGAUAUCUGGUGUCCCUAAGAUAGGAUGCCCAGUUGGGUGGAACGGAAGAGAAUCCGUUGUUGGAAUAUCCCAAGAAAGAAGCUGAUGCGUUUGGCAUUGGGAUCUGCCCUAAAAGCCUAUUGAAACUAAGAUCAAGCACUAGUAGUGAUUUACUAAAAGGGAGAACAUCCGAAGCAAGUUGCAUGCCCGUAAGCACGUUAUGCGAAAGAUUCAAAUAAUAAAGGCUACUACUGCUCCAUGUCUCCCAGAUCCGAUUUGGUAUAUCCCCACUGAUUUUAUUAGAUGAAAGAUCCAAAUAUUGUAUAUUUUUAAGACACAUCAAAGAUGUUGGGAAUCGAAUUAUAUUGCAAGACGCGAGCCCUAAAUAGUAAAGUCUGGCCAAAUAGGUAGCCAAAGGAUUAUUACCAUCUGCAUCCGUGACAUGCAACUCAUUGUAGGAAAGAUACAAACUGGUGAGAUCAGUUGAUCUCCAAAAAUGGGAGAGGUCCACGGAACCUAUCAACUUGUUUCGAGCUAACAUCUAUAAGUACCAAACUUGUUAGUUGAAAGAAGGCCUUGGGAAUAAAACCUGACAGAACAUUGUUGCUCAAGCGCACUUUCGCCAACCGUGAUUCUGCCUCGUCAAAGCCAUAUAUGGGGCCAGAAAGUUGGUUGUAAGAAAGAUCCAGGACACUUAAUGCAGGAAGACUGAAAAUAGAUGGUGGAAUCUCUCGUGCAAAGACAAUAGAAAACAUUAAGUUAGAAAGUGUCUCCUCUUCUAGAAAUAUCUGAAUUCAGAAAAUGAUGGCUCCUAUUUUGUUCAGAACAUGAUAAGUUAUGCCACUGAUACUGUACCAUCGAAAAAGCUCCCAAGUCUAGUUAUUUUAUCCUUAGAAAGUUGCAUGACAUAGACUCUAAAGCGAACACUUUAUGUGGUUACACUUAAAGAUUGCUUUGUUUCACCACUCAGUCCAACUGCAGAACGUGCGGCUAGCGGCUUUCACCGAGGAGCAAACUGGAGGGCAAGAGGAGAAAAUCACCAGAAUCAAGUAAGCUGGGGUAGCAAAUCGCCCAUUUGUUCCUGUUUUGUUGGCGUGCUGUUUAUGGGUAGUGUUGUUUAUUUUUAGGUGUAUGCAAAAUGUAUUCUUGAUGAAAUAUGUUGCAUCACAUAUUCUCGAAUAAAAAAGUGAAAACAUUGGUGCUCUGUUGAAUUUCAAUUAUAUUGCUGGAAUUCCUUCCUCCAUUUUUUUUCUUUUUCCUUUUCUUGAUUUUCAAUUAUGUUUGAUGGAAUUUCUUUGAUUCAAAUUUGACUAUAAUUUAUUGAGCUUCAUGCACCAAUCAGUUGCACCUAAAGUCUUAACCCGAUUGGGAAGGACGACAGUUCUAUUAUACUUCAACAUGAUUAACACUCGAAUUCCAAGGAAAACCACUUCAAAUCCCAACAGCCAAGUGGAGCCACAUCACAUUUCGAAGGGGAGAAUGGAGCAUCUGAUUAGAGAAAAGAUACUUCCAAAAUUUGAUUUCUCUGACUUAGAUCAAUCCGUUGACUGUAUUAAGGGAAAAUUUGCAAAACAAAUUAAAAAGGAUGGAGCUAAGCACAGUUCAGGAUUAUUAGAAAUAAUUCAAACUCAUAUAUACGGUCCAUUUAAUGUAAGAUCAGUGGAUGGUUAUAAUUAUUUCAUUACCUUCACUGCUGAUUUCUCCCGCUAUGGAUACAUCUAUCCCAUACUUGAAAAGUCUGAAGCACUUGAUAAGUUUAAAAUCUUUAAAGAUGAAGUAGAAAAUCAGCAUGACUUAAAGAUCAAAGUGGUAAGAUCAGACAGGGAAGGGGAGUAUUAUGGGAAACACUCCACAUAUGGACAAAUUCUGGGACCCUUUGCCAGAUUUAUCCAAGAUAAUGGUAUAGCGGCUCAGUAUUCCACUCCUGGUGAGCCUCAGCAAAAUGGUGUUGCUGAGAGAAGAAAUCGCACUCUUAUGAACAUGAUGGAUAGUAUGCUCAGUAACUCUACGCUGCCAGUGAGUUUGUGGAUGAAAGCUUUAAAGACUGCCGCGCACAUUAAUAAUCGUGUUCCUAGUAAGUCAGUUCCUAAGACUCCUUAUGAGCUUUAGACUGGUAGGAAGCCUAGUAUGAAUUAUUUACAUAUAUGGGGCUGUGCAGCUAAAGCAAAGAUUUUUAAUCCACAACUUGGGAAAUUAGAUCUAAGACUGAAAGUUGUUAUUUUAUUGGAUAUCUAGAAAAGUCAAAGGGGUACCGCUUUUAUUGUUCUAAGCGUACCACUAAGUGUGUGGAGACAAGGCAUGCUGUUUUCUUAGAGGAAACUCGAUGCACUGAGGCUAGGAAAAUUCAUCUUAAGGAGAUUCGGACUUAUGAGCCAUUACCCAUAAGAUAGAAUUAUUAUGCUUCUAUGCCAUAUACCAUAGUUACAUCUCAGGUGGUAGAACUUCCAGUAGAAAAUGUGGGAGUAACACCUACCUUAAGUGAUAAUGUAGAUGCACAUGUGAUACGUGAGCAUCAAGAUGAAGAUGUGGUAGAACCUGCUGGUGGAUUGCAAGGGGAGGCAACUGAUGAGCCCGAGGUGAUUCAGCAGGAACCGGCUCAAGUAGAAGCACCACAAGAAGUAACACCACAACAUCUGAGAAGGUCAACAUGUGAGAGGAAGUCCACCCGUUCCGAUGAGUAUGUGUACAUAAGUGAAGAAGGGCACAACAUGGGGAAGGUGGACGGUCCAAACUCAUUUAAGGAGUCCAUAAGAAGUGAACACUUGCAUAAGUGGAGCGAGGCCAUGGAAGAAGAGUUGAAGUCCAUGGAAGCAAAUAGAGUAUGGGACUUAGUAGAAAUUGCUGAAGGAGCCAAAACAGUAGGCUGUAAAUGGGUCUACAAAAUGAAAUAUGACUCUAAAGGUUAGAUUGAAAGGUUCAAAGCAAGACUCGUGGCUAAGGGCUUCACUCAAGUAGAAGGAGUCGAUUAUAAUGAAACCUUCUCGGCUAUCUCAAAGAAAGAUUCAUUUAGAAUCGUUAUGGUUUUAGUAGCUCAUUAUGAUCUUGAGCUACAUCAGAUGGACAUUAAGACUGUGUUCCUUAAUGGUGACUUGCAUGAGAAUGUAUACAUGAAGCAACCUGAAGGUUUCGUCGUGCUAGGCAAGGAACAUUUGGGAUGCAAACUAUGAAAAUCCAUUUAUGGAUUGAAACAAGCAUGCAGACAAUGAUACCUUAAGUUUGAUGAAGUAAUUAAGAGAAUUGGCUUCAUUGAAAAUAAGAAAGACAACUGCAUAUAUGUUAAGACUAAGGGGAGCUCUAUAAUGAUCCUAGUGCUUUAUGUGCAUGACAUCCUAUUAGGAAGCAGCGAUAAGAACUUGCUGCAUGAGACAAAGGGCUUUCUCUCAUCGAACUUUGAUAUGAAGCACCUCGGUGAUGCCGCUUAUGUCUUAGGCAUUGAGAUUCACCGAGACAGGUCCAAGGGUGUACUAGAACUCUCUCAAAGAGCUUACAUAGAGAAGGUCCUUGAAAGAUAUAAUAUGCAGCAAUGUUCAGGCACAACUGCUCUAGUUAUCAAGGACGAUAAGUUUGGGUCAUCCCAAAGUCCUAGGAAUCAAUUAGAAAUUGAUCAAAUAAGAACGAUUCCUUAUGGUUCAGCUGUCGGAAGUAUAAUGUAUGCAAAAGUGUGUACACGCCCUAACUUGGCCUUUAUAAGCGGGAUGCUUGGAAGCUAUCAGUCUAAUCCAGGAAUAGGCCAUUGGAAAGGAGUUAAGAAAGCUUUGUGUUACAUGCAAGCACUAAGAAUUACAUGCUAAUGUACAGGAGAACUGAGAAAUUAGAGAUAAUCAGCUAUUCAAAUGCUAAUUUUGAGGGUUGUGUUGGCACAAAGAGAUCCACAUUAGGUUAUGUCUUCACACUUGCAAAUGGGGCUAUAUCGUGGAAAAGCUCCAAACAAACAUUAAAAGCUGCAUCGAUGAUGCAAGCUGAGUUUGUGGCAUGUUAUGAAGCUGUGGGACAAGCUGUAUGGCUUAAGAGUUUCAUCCUAGGAUUAAGACUGGUAGACAACAUAAGUAGGCCACUAAAAUUAUACUACGAUAAUAAGUCAAUAAUUUUCUAUUCGAAUAACAACAAGUCAAGUGAUGCUGCAAAGCACAUUGAAAUUAAGUAUCUUGAUGUGAAAGAUAGAAUCCAAGAUAAUACCAUUGAGUUAGAGCAUAUAAGUACUAAGAAAAUGCUUGCGGAUCCAUUAACAAAGGCUUACCUCCCAUUAUAUUCAUUGAACAUGUUGCCGGUAUGGGAUUAUCGGAUAGCCUGUGAUCUUGGAGGGUCAUAAGACAACCGCCUCCCAUCAUGAUAGGUAGUUUUAUACAUUGUGGAUAACUGUGUCACAGUGGGAUUUUAAUCAUCAUUGUCACACAUUGUCUCCCUACAUAAUUCUGCUUUAAGAAUGGCAUAAGUUAUAGGCCUUUAGACCAAAGGGGAGAACGUUUGGAAAAAUAAUGUGGUGGUCAAAAGGCCGAGAGGAAAACGGGAAGGAUAAGAUUGAUGCCUCCCGAUCACAGUGGCGCUGGAGUUGGCCAAAGGCCAUCACCGCACCACCGUCGCUGUCCAUGGACAGACGAGGUGGAGACCUGAAGGGAGAUGUGAUCUACUCCGAGCUAGUACACCUAUGACAUCCGUCAUCCCGGCCUCGUCGAAGACCCUAAUGGCCAGAUCAUCACAAGCCGUGGCAGCUGGUUGUACUCUAACAUCUUCAUUGAGUGGUGUUCACGUUCUAGAUGUGCAAAGAUCCUGUUUUAGUUAAGAUUAAGUAAUGUAGAUUCCUACAGAGUUAAUGAAGCCAACCUCUCGAUUCCAGUAGCAAGGAUGUUGUCUGAUGGCAUAUCUUCAUCUUGUGCCCCACUAACAUCAUUCAUGCUAAGGUGAAGGCUAUUAGGCGGUGUAUAGCCGUAUAUAGCCGAUUUAUAGCUUUUCAUGUAUACUGAUUGUAUUCCUUGUAUACCAAACCAUAUUGGCUAUAUAAUAGAGGUCACCCCCCUCAUUAGGGUGCAUGGUGUUUUCCCAAACUCUAUCUCUCUACAUGGUAUCAUGAGACCAGGAUCAAUCUGACUGGGACUUUCCUUCCGCUCCACCUCUUCCCGACGCGCCUAACACUAGGUGCACCUCCUGUGCAGUGGCACUUCUCCCCUGCACCGGCGCCUCUCCCCACCUCCCUUCCUCCCAUGGCCAACGAUUCCUCUGCCAAGUCCUCCCUGUCCGGUGGCGGCCUUCUGUCCACUGGUGGCCCCAGGCUGGCGCCUGGCGAUGGCUCCCUGCCCAUCUCUGGUGACACCACCACCCCACUAGACCUGAACCAUUGGGCGGCUCAGGCGCCCUCCCUGCUGCUAGUGACGGCCCUGCACUGCCCCCGUGGCGGCAGUCUUCUCCUCCACCAGGCGCCGCCGGCCAUCAUCCACCGUUACGCCAUGAUCUCUGUCAAGGCUCACGUCCCCAUGACGUGGACGAUGAAAACCUUUGGCUACUCCAAGUGGGCUUUAUUCUUCAAAUCCAUGUGUGGAAAGUUCGGCCUCAAGUCACACAUCGACAGCACCGUGGUGUCCCAUCCUGACGAUUCCGAUUGGGAUCAAGCGGAUUGCUGCAUCCUCUUCUAGAUCUUUGGCUUUGUCUACAACUCCAUCGUGGACCUCGCCAUGGAGGACCACGAGUAGACCGCCAGGGCCCUCUAGCUCACCAUUGAAGGCCUCUUCCGCGCCAACAGGCAAUUUCGGGCGAUCUUCCUUAGCUACGACUUUCACUCCAUGACCCAGAGGGACAUUGGUCACCCCGUUCAGGACUCCCAGUUGGUCCUGAAUCUUCUCCAUGGCCUCAACCCGCACUACUCCAACACCACUGACGACAUCACCAACUCCCCCGCCAGCUUCCCGUCCUUCGCCCAGGCUUGUGACAUGCUCGCCUUGAAGGAGCUUCGCCUCGCCAACUUGCUGCUUACGUGCUGCUCUACGUCGAUGACAUCAUCCUCACCGCCUCAUCUUCGAUGCUCCUCCAGCACAUCAUGGCUAGUUUUCACUCUGAGUUUGCCAUGACGGAUCUUGGUGAUCUUCAUCACUUUCUCAGCAUCUCCAUCACGCGCUCCACUGACGGCCUGUUCCUAUCCUAGUGACAGUACACCCUGGACCUCCUCCAGCAUGCCAGCAUGGCUAAGUGUCACUCUACGGCGAGUCCUGUUGACACUCAUGCCAAGCUCUCGGCGACCGACAGCAACAAGCUCAAGGAUGGCUCUGAGUACAGGAGUCUUGCAGGGGCUCUCCAGUACCUCACCUUGACUCGACUUGACCUGGUAUAUGUAGUUCAGCAGGUGUGCCUCUUCAUGCACGAUCCCUGCGAGCCUCAUCUCACACUGAUCAAGCACAUCCUGCGCUAUGUGAAGGGCACCCUGUCCUCCGAGCUUCACAUCGGCACCGGCCAUGUCCAGUCCCUGACAGCCUACUCCGAUGCGGAUUGGGCUGGCUGCCCGGACUCUUGAUGCUCGACCUCCAGCUUCUGAGUCUAUCUUGGGGAUAACUUGGUGUCUUGGUUCUCCAAGCACCAGAGCAUAGUGUCUCGGUCCAGUGCUGAGGCUGAAUACCGGGUUGUGGCUCACGCUGUUGUAGAGUGUUGCUAACUUCGACAACUUCUUCAGGAGCUAUGUCCCCCUCGCUUUGGCCACUGUUGUCUACUGUGACAAUGUGAGUGUUGUCUAUAUGACAGCCAAUCCGGUUCAUCAUCGAUGCAGAAGCAUAUCAAGAUUGACAUCCACUUCGUCCGGGAGAAGGUUGCUUUAGGAUAGGUCCGAGUGCUUCACGUGCCUUCGUCCCAUCAGUUCAUGGACAUCAUGACAAAAGGCCUUCCAGUUCAGCUGUUCACUGACUUUAGGUCCAGUCUUUGCAUCCGGGAACCUCCCGCUGCGACUGCGGGUGGGUAUUAGGCAAUGUAUAGCUGUAUAUAGCUGAUUUAUAGCUUUCCAUGUAUACUAAUUGUAUUCCUUGUAUACCAAACCAGAUUGGCUAUAUGAUAGAGGUCACGUCCCUCAUUAGGGUGUGUGGUGUUUUCCUAAACUCUAUCUCUCUACAAAAGCGACAAAGGGUUGUCAAGCUGAAGACUGCAGGGUCCAAGCCAUUAUUGGACAAGCCACGAUUGUUGAGGUCAAGUACGGUGACAUUACUGGAGGCGUCGUUGCAGCCAACACCUUCCUAGAGACAGCACUCGGUACCAUCUCACCAUGAUGAAAGCCUUGUGGUCGAUUCAUGGAAGGAGAAUGACUUCUUCAGCUGGAGGAGCACCUUAGCUUGGUCUGGAUGGCACAAAAAGGGAAGAUGAGUGAGGUUGCCACCAUCAGCAUGGUGAGGUGGCAGGGAGUGUGAGGAGCUGUGCAAGACAGAGCAGUAACGCCCAGCCGGUGGAAGCCAUGGUCCAAUGGAGGUAUGAGCUGACAAGCGUCAAAAUGGCACAGAUAUAUAAUGGUAGUCUAGUCUAGUAAUGGGUGACAGAAUUGUUGUACAUCUUGUGAAGCGGUAGUUUCACACAAGGCUUCUUCCAUGAGCUUAAGUGAUGGUCGCAAUUCAGAAUCUCCAAGUCUCUGCCCCUGUAAACACGCCAAUCAAGUAAGGGUAAGAUACAGACGUACACUAGCAAUGGAUCAUGACAGUAAGUUAUGGAAGAGACUUGUUACAACUUAUGAGACUUUCCAUAGUUGCUGUCGGUAUUGUUCAGCACCACUGGACAUAAUUGCGACCUGGGAAGUGGAGCUCCAACUAUCAAGGCUUCCAUUUCAGAAAGAAAAAAAAGGACUUCCAAGUCAAGUAAAGUGGCUACGAACCGAGGAAGGUGGAGCUGAAGCACAAAUCAACUGGAUAAACAGUAAAAAGAAAGUAGAGUAAAAUUCACAAAACAUACCUCAAGCUUGUAGUUUUCUAAUACCAGAAAAACUCAAGUUUUCCGAAAUUCGCUGUUAAAAAAUGAAAAAAAGAAAACGAAGAGCAACGCUUUAUCUUUCAGCAUGCAAAAACUGGUAGCAGGUUAGGAUAUAAAUGAGGCAUGCAUCAGCAAUGCUAGAGCGAGGAUGCAGAACAAACAUUUAACGGUUUUCCAAAGUUGCAACGACGAUUGAAUUUAUCUUGUCCCUGGCGCAAUAUAACAGCACGAGCAUCCCAUGUUACAACAUUUGAAGCAUAACAGAGCCAACAUCCAAACAUUCAACAUUCAGUUAACACCAACCGUUCUGACUACAGCACAACCAGGUUGCAGUCUUGAACAACCAUAACACUAACCAGUUCAGAACCAAAUUAUCAGUCCCGCAUUUUCACUGGUAGCAGAGCAGCAGCACUUGCUUCAGUUUUUGAAGCUGCCAUGAUCCACUUCGUCCCAUCGUCAGAUGGUGCCAUCCUCACCAGCUCCAAGGAUAGUGCUAGAAAAGGAAGACAACGUCACAUUUUUAAUCAACCCAAUGCAAAAACAGAAAAAGAAAUUAAGCAAGAACAUUACACGCAAUUGAGAAUUUCUCCAUCAGUAAAAAAGAAAACUAGAAUAGGCAAUACACCAAGAGGAGCAUUAGAGUGAAGUACCUUCCAUCAAAAGACACUGCAGUCUGCCUUAUUGGUGAUCUGUAUUGCUGAUUAUAUAGCCUGAAAAUGAUACAGUAUUUGCAUCCAGAAGCAUAAGAGUUACUAAUACGCAGCACCAAUAAAAGUGGAGGACAAGAAUAACUGAAAUUCUUGCAUUAAAAAUUACCGGGCAAUUAGGACAGGAGGGCUUGACUGUACUUCCCACACAUAGAUUUUGCCUUCACGAUUUCCUGUUUGAAGCGGAGGAUGAUUAAUCAGCAAACGUUUCUAUGAAAAUCCAGUCAUAUAUUUUAAGUGUGAACAUUUUGCCAUGCCAAAACCUCUUUAUAACUUCUGGUGUGUGAAAUUUACAAAUCAAUAACUUAAAUAUAACUUUUAUGUCAGAAAACAGCCCAGAUCAUAGAUAUUACCUAUUGCCAACUGAUUGAAGUGAAAAUCGCACGAAAAUUUUAUAAACCAGAUGUCACACUCUGGCACAGGGUACUUCUGAAGAAUAUCGAUGCUUCCCUAUAUGAGGAAAGAGAAAGUCAUAUUACUUCAGAGGAAUGGGCAGUCAACGACUAGAAAUCAAAGAAACCGCUGGAAGUUAAAUUCAAGAAAAGUUAAAUUGUAUCACCUCCCUAGGACUUUGUUCUUUUGUUUUUGGUUCCCAAAGCACAAUUUCAUUCUCAACACUCUGCAAAUCCAAGCUAGCAUAGAUCAGAUUCCUCAUUAUACAGGAACCAAAACUGGCACUGGGAAAGAAAAGGUUGAAAGACUGAACCCAUGCACAGUACAAGAAUACAGGAUCCAGAUACAGUGGUAUUUUGAAGCAUCAAAAGAAUGACGACUGUACUACUACUAUAGCAGCAAUUUGUAUCCAUUUAAGGGAAGGAAUUUCACCUUUGACAGGAUGAAGUCACCAAGCCAUCUUGUACAAUCAACAUAGUUAGAGUGUACUGCAGCAAUCAACACCUGCAAGGAAAGAAACAGGUUGGUUUGAUGGCAUGAGGAUUAACCACCAACAGUAGUUUGCAAAGGAAUAGAUCUAAGAUUAUUAUAGAUGCUAAACAUACCGGAAACUGGACAUAUUUUGUUGGAAACUUUGAUGGAAGGUCAGUCCAGGAAUAUGAUUUGUCAACAUAUUGCCAAAAUUCUGUGACAACAUUGGGAAACUCUAUCAAUGAUAUGCAGCAUGCAAAUGUAAACAUGAUGCUACUUUGAAGUAGUUUUCCAACCUUUCAUUGACCAGAUUUUCACAGUGUUGUCCAUGCCACAACUUGCAAAACGCUCAAUAUCACUAGGGUGGAAGUCCUUCUGCCAAAAUAAUGUAUUUUGAUCAGUACAUUUAUGCCUAACGUAAUGGAAGUACAAAAGCCAUAGUAGUCACCACUCACCAGGACUAUAUUUAUCCCUGAUGUAAUGCUCAAUAACAAACAGUAACAUCAGAAGCUGAAAGAGUGGUAGCUUCAGGGCACUUUGAGCAAGUAAUAUUCUGAAACAAUACCAUAAGAGGAGGCAGGAGCUACUUACAACACUCAACACUUCAUUGCGAUGACCUCCAGCUCCAGCAAAUACCAAGAUGCAGAUCCCUGUAUGGACAUUCCAUAGCCUAACAGAUUCAUCCUAUUCAAUAAUGUCAUAUGAAACAGUGUCAGAACAAUUAUAAGAAAGUACAUUCAGCCUAAGAACAGGUUAUCUGCUAACCUUGCUUGCAGAGAAAUGAUGAGCGAAGGCUUCAACGCUUGAGUCCUUAUCUCAUUUAUUGAGUCACCAUGGCCAACAAAGCUCUGUAGAAUUCCAUAAACAGAAAUAACAAAUAAACACGUGCACAGUCUAAUUCAUAGGAUAGGAUAGUAUUUAUUGGCAUGCCCAGUCUCCUGACUAUAUGUAUAACGCCAAAAUAGAUACACUAGGUUGAACGUGUCUUGACUAUGACGGACAUGCUGAAGUAUCCAAAAACCAGAAUCUUCUGUGAGCAAAAGUUACAGUUUGCUAGUGGUAUUAAUGCAUAGCAAACAGACAAUUCCAUAAUCAAACCAAAUUCAAAUGACCUUCUGGAUCGGAUAUCAUAGAUGGUAUCUGUCAGGUAAGCAACUGAAGUACUGAUUUAUGCAAAUGAAGCUUCAUUCAAGUUUGACGUAGGAACAAAGACAAGGCUAGGGGUACUAUACCUUAGCUAACUUCUCCGUAGCACAGUUGAUGAGCCGAAUGAUCCCAUUGCUUCCUGCUGCUCAAUGACUCCUUUCUUGGUGACCAGUGUGGCAUCCAAGGUAUCAAUCAGCUCUUCCUUCUCCUUGAGCAAGGUGUUCUUCUCCUCUAUCACCCUGUCCCUAGCCUUCAGUGCCUCCUCCAUCCGAACAACUCUUGCCUCCAGCGUGGCAAUCCUCAGCGAGUCCCUCUCGUCGUAGUUGUCCAGUGCAGUGUCCACCUUGUGCUGCAAGCGACGGUUCGUCUGGUCCAGGUCAGUCAAAUAGUGCUCAAGUCCCAUUAUCUUGCCCUCAAGCAUGGCGUCGGUACCGAUGCAGUUGUCCCAACCCUUGCGAAGUACCUCCACCUCUCUGUCAUUCCAGAACAGUGCCAAAUCCUGAGCGUGAAUGCAGUGGGAGGCCACGUAAAACUUCUCGUUGGGCUCUGCAUAAACAUCCUCAUAGUACUGACGGGCUAAACUCUCGAAGUCCCUCAGCCCACGGCAAGCCCUGGUUAGGCAGCGGUAGGGAGUCUGAGCCAACCUGUCAAGGAGCUGCGCAUGCACCUCACGCACGGCCCUUCUGGCGGCAGUCCGGUGAGCCUUUGACACUAACAACUCAAACCUUGGUAGAAGAAUAAGCAAAGUCUAGUUAGAAAUAGCGGUAGUCAACAGCACUGUCCAUAGCCAGUGAACAUGGAUUAUAGCUAUAGCUUUAUACACCCUGCAAAGGAUGUACAACUGUACCCACACGGAUGGAGUCUAAACGGUGGAGAUCCGUCAAAACCCCACCUAACAGCCGGAGCCCUAGUAGGUAGAUAGCUCUCUCCUAUUUCCUCAAGUUUGGUCAGAGUAGGCCAAUACCUCGAACUCAUUACACGAUCCUCCAAUCCACCUACAGGCUGAGCAGUAUCCACCACUAGUCUCGGACCGAACCCUUCCCAUAAUGUAAGCGAGUGGUAUGUACGUAAAAUAGCUGUUGUGACUAGUGGUAAACUAACUCAGUGUUUAAGCGGCUGAGAGCGAGCACUCUACUCCAUAAGUAUGUGCCAAAGUACCUGCAACGUACAAGUACGCCACCUGCUCUUUAGUAACAAACAAGGUACCCGCUGUAACACCUAGUGUUAAUGACAACUUAAGUAUGACAUUAAGAAGCUAAUGGUGAAGUUGGAUUAAAGGAAGGUAAUUUGAGCCAAAAAUCAAAUUUGAGCCGAAUUCGACCAAAUUUGGAAUUUGGAGUUUCAAAUUUGGAUAAAUUUGGCAAAAAUAUGAAAUAGAGUCUUGAGAGUAUUCAGAACUCAAAGGAAUGAAUCUUGAAGUCUAAAUCAAGUCAUAAAGCUCUCAUAAAUACAAUCGAAGAGGGAGUCAGCAAAGUCACUAUUCGUCGUCCGAAAACGCGCAACUCUGAAAUUAAUAUUGAGUACACAACUUUGGAGCCAAUUCCUGGAGAAUUUCUCCUGUAAGUGAGCAGAUAUUUUUGGACAUUAGUGAAAUAUGGACUAUGGAGAAGGUAAAUGAAAUGUUGUUGUCCAGAGAAAGUGGAAGAUUUGAAUUUAAAAUGAAGCCCAAAAUCAGCAAAUCAGUAGAUUUCAGCCUUCUCGCCAAGAAAAAUCUUAAGUCUGAAAACAGCAUUGACUAGCCAUGUUUGGAGUGAAUUUUAGAAAAAUCUAGUGUAAAAGAUAUAUGAGUUCAUGUGCAAAAUAGAAUCUUUGUUAGUUGUAGAACAAGUAUGGGCAAGGGUCAAGCUGCAUGGAACAAGUUUGCCUAAUUUAAAUCAAGCUCAAAGAGGUAUAAAUGGCCUUGCACCGUACCUGACGAAACUGAAUCAUUGAGGUUCAGUUACAGAAGCUUCUGGUCGAACUUCAAGCUUCAAAAUUUCAGUGUUAGGGUGCUCAUUUCGGUUGGAGGUCAAUCUAUCAAAUGAAGUACUUGGGCUACUCUACAAGUUUGCUUAAGGAACAUUUGGACCUUCGGAUUUGAAAUUGGUCGAUGGGGAAGUCUGAAUUUUGGAGAAGAAGAAGAAGAAAGAGGGAAACAGGCGAGCAGGAACAGAGCCGUGCUGCCGCCGGCACCUCUGCCCGCCGGCCAGCGCAACAAUCCAAAUCGCGCCACGCACGCCUUCAAGUCGUCGAUGUGGCCGUCAUGCACGCGGUAGAAGUUCGUAUUUGUACCGCUCCCAUCCUCAUCCGUUCACCCUGCCGCCAUUCUUUUCACCGUCACAAAGCAGAGCUCGGGUGACCGGCACUGCCGCCGGCCGAUUCCACCGCACCGCCGCUCUAAUCCUCGAUCCCUUCCACCUGAAGCUCCCCUAGCCCCUCGCCGACACCCUACACCGCCCCGUCCACCAGUUUUCCCGCCGGCGAGCCACACCCGCCGCAUCUCCUAUCCGCCCGCCGCCGCUACUGCCCCUCCAGUGAGCCCUCCGCGCCGCCCCUUCUCCACUCUUGUGCUCGGGUUUAGAGGCUCCUUAGGUCGUGAAGACGCCGUAGGACGCAUCCGCCGGCCGCUUGCGCCGCCGCCAGACCUAGAAUCCGGCCGGCCUUCGGCCAUGGCCGCCGCCGCCCGUGCAGGGCCCGGCUUAGGCCGCCUCCGGGUGAGCUAGCGCCACCUGCAGGUGCGCUGGGGCCUAGGGGUGCUCCCCGGCCUGGCCCCGCCGUCGGCAGGCCACCGGCCGUUGAGCCGCCGGAGCCACCCGCGGGGCACCCUGUUUUGGGUCGGGCAGGGGAGGCCUGGCCAGGUUGGCCCCACGCAUCGGUGAGGAUAGGGUAGGGGGGCGGUAGCAAUAGGAUUCCAGGGGGUUUUUCCGAUAAGGUUGGAAUUUUUGGAUUUAAAAAUAAAUUUAAAUAACUGCCAACCCAUUUAAUUCACUGUAAAUUGUAUAGGUACCCAAAAAUAGUGAAAUAAAUUUCUUUAGGUUUAUUUUAAUCUCCUUUACACAUUAAAAUUGUUAAAACAUAUUUAUAGAAACCUUUUGAGUAUUUAUUUAGUGCCUUUAAUUAAAGUUGUUAAAUAAAUACUUAAUAAUUCCAAAAUACAUAAAAUAUGAAAUAAUGCUUUUAUAAUUACAAAUUAACCAUAAUCUAUAGUAAUUAGGAGUUUAAGAUUAGAAAUUAAUUAUGAUGAUUUUCAAAAAUAAAAACAAAAGGCUUACGUUUUUAAAUAAAAGAUAAAGAUUAAGUAGUUAUUUAAUGCUUUUCCUUAAAAUAUUUAAAUAAAUGCUUAAGCUUUAUAAAUAAAUAAAAUUCUGAAUAAUGUUUUGAUUAAUUCCAAACAAAUGUUAAUCUAUAGUUUUACAUUUUCUUUUACAUUAGAAAUUAUUUCAAAUGAUUUUCAAAAAUAAAAAGAAAAGUCUAAAAUGGGUUUAAAUAAGGGAGUUUAAAUCGCGAGUUACACGUUAUGGGUAGAGUUUUGUUGGCUUGCAACUUUAUCAUGAAGUUAAGUUGUCUAAGUCACUGUUGGCUUGCAACUUUAUCAUGAAAGAAGUUGUAGAGUCCUGUGCUUAAAAAGUUGCAUCUCUGACUCAUGCAUACGCUUUAUCGUAGAUACUGAAGCUCCAGAAGCGGAAUUUCUAGAAAUUUCUGAAGAACCUUCGGAAUUUGAGGAGAUCGUUGAGUUGAUCCCUUGUGAAGCCAGUCCGUCGAGCAACGCUAACAUUUUUACAGAUCAAGGCAAGCCCCGGUGCAUCUAUGCCUAUCUAUUUUGGAGUUAUUAUUUCAUGUGUCCAACUAUUGGUUAUUUCUUUAUGAAUGCAUUAAGUCUAGGAGUUGAUUGAAACCUUACUUUUAUGCACAAUCCAACCUUGUUAUUAAGGACAUCUUUGCCACUUGUCAAUAAUUAGUAAGUAUCCCAUGCUUAGCAAAGCAUAGUCGCGCUACCUCUACCAUUCCUGAGAACCUAUGGUACUCAGCAGCCUAAGGUAACAUUGUCAUACAUAUGUAUAUCAAAGAAAUGACCGGUUUUGGAAGAUAGUGGACGGAAGCUUGGAUGGAAUCAAGAAAGGAGUCUUGAGUUCCGUAGUUCUGUCUACUCGAUUAAUUUGAUUAAGGACCGAUCGUUGUUUUAACCCAUGAUCAAGUGAUAUUACCUGGUUGCUUACUGCUAUAUGGGAACCAGCAAGCCCGGUAGGUUAGUUGGCUCUCUGAUCGGAAAUAUUUCGUACCCGUGCUUGGCGUGCAGUGGAAGGGCAGGGCGUAGCCGGAAACUCAUAGUGGAGAUCGCUAGACGUGGGGUUCCAUGUGGGGGUGCGGCCCUGGGUUCAAGUAGUCAUAUUUCCGAUCGUUGGGUACAUCUAAUCGAAAGGUCGUUAUGUGCAACCCGGACAGUUGUACAUGGCUGGUGGUCAGGUAUCUCCUUGUAACGACCCUGGUCAAAUCAUUCGAGUUAAUCUUAAUCUGAAGCCCAAAUUCCUCUGUCUCAGCUCUUCCCGAGCAGGAGUGCUCCACUCCAGUUCCCGGUCCCGGCCCCUGAAGACCCCAACCAACCCCGUCGGUUCCUUCUGAGUUCCCUAAGGCAGUGCUCCUUUCAAUCUUGGAGCUGUGGGACAACCGAGACUGACCGGUGGACCCGCAAAUCUUUUCCCGGAUUUCCCGAGGCAAACGCACUCGAGCGGCCUGCACCGCUUCAGAGCUCCCCCGCCGCAUGGCUCAACUUCUCCGACGCCCGCCGCUUCGCCCAGUCGCCGACCGCGACAGGAUGGAUUCCCGCGCCCUCCUCCCCAAUCGCAGCGGAAGCCCCUCUGCAACCCUUUCUGCAGCGCCUCGUCUCACUCGCGCCCUCGGACACGUGUGUUGAUUCAUACGAAGGGUGGUAUGGUUCGAUUCCAACGAGCCUAUCAUCACGGUUGUUCGCCCACGUCUAUUAUACGUGCGCAGAUUCCACAUCUCGAGUAUGCGAAGGGUUAUACGGUUCCAUUCAAAGGGGACCUAUUUCCAUGGUUGUUGCGCUAUCCAUGCAGCCUUAAACACAUGGGUGCCGUUUCUAUAGUGAACGGUAAUGCUUGGGGACGCUUUCGUGGGUGCUGGCACGAAAGGUUCAUGUGGUUGUGUUUUCUGCAGGUACACUAACCGCGUUCGCUUAGGAGACACUACUAGAACCCGACUAGAUAUUAUAGGGAGAGACGUACUGGUUGCCUUGACACCGGCACUGACUGCGUAAGACCAAAGUUUUGGCAGUUGUUUUGGUUGAGAGGAUGAAGUAGGCCAUGCAUGCGACAUGAACUAAAAUCUUUGAACCCACCUCUCUAAAACAACCUUGCCUUGGUUAAAGCCCUUCUUCGGUUUAAGGAUUUCUAGCUUCCUUUCUAGCUUGUGCUUUGGUCAAAUCCGAGUACUUUUUCUGCCUGACCUGUUCUUCUUCUUAGAGUUUCUAUCUCACGUCAGUUCAGUUUUUGGUUCCAGAUGGCUGCCCUCGGACACGUGUUGUACAGCGCUGACGGCAUGUCCCACUCUACGUCCCUACACUUUGAGGGUUUUCCUGCUAUUCUGUGGGACACCUUAAGGUGGUUUGGGUAUCAGUCCCCGCCUUUGUACAUGGGAUGGAUGUACCAGGAGCACGGAGUACAGAGGUGCAACAUGCAGGUGGUGAUACCUCCACCCCCUGUGCAGCCCGAGUGGUCCCAGCUCGAAGUCUUGACUUGCGGGCACGCUCUGGAGGAUACAUGGGAGUCAGCUGCUCUGCUGAUCCUCACCCACUUCUGUUGACUACACCCGCUUGAGGUCACUUUGGACCCAAUCGGCUUGUUCCCCGCUAGGGAUCGGCUAGACCCGGCGUGGCUUGAUCACGUCAACAACAUGGAAGUGUUGGCAGCCUCUCAUGCGCUGGUCACCAUCUCUACCACCACCAGAUGCAUGUCAGCCUUGUAUCAGCUGAUUGAGCUUCAAGGCCGAGCGAUGGCUGUCUUAGCUCGGAUAGCCAUAGACACCCAAGGGCUUUUCAACGCCGCUAAAAGAGACUUGGUGGGACAGUCGCAUCAGCUUAUCCAAAGAGGCAUACAGAUCCAUGACAUGCAAGACAGAAUCUCCAAGCUCGAGGGAGAAGUGACGGACCUGGUGGAUGGCAUGAUCGAGCUUGCCGAAGAAAAGAUGGAGGUCGAGAUGGAGCUAGCAGUUGCUAAUGCUCAUUUGGACGAGCAUCACGCCGAGCUUGAUGCUAUACAUGCCCUUGAGAUGCAGCUGGAUGAACAAGAAGAUCCUGAGGAGGUCAUGGGAGCGUCCAGCAUGGACAUUGAGGAUGGCGACGCCCCUUCUCCGACUCAUAGUGUUCCCUCAUAGGUUGAGAGCUGUAGGAAUCUAAUCUUUUGUUAUACUCAUUGGCAACCUAUGUUUUGGAUAGUGAUGUAAUAGGUUAGCCUUGAGUUGAGUAUUCCUCCUGUGUUUUGGGGAACAACAAUGCAAUGACCUCAGUGAAAUCAGAUCUUAACUUGACCUUUGACUCUUUUUGCGACACGCUUGGAUGCCAGGUUGUGUGAGUUUUGUCCUGUGACCACACACCCAUCUUCUGUGGGUCUGUCCAAAGCUUGGCCGACCCUGAGUCGCAAGGUCGGAUGCGCUCGACCCCUCGAGGCAGUUCUCCGCCUCGCCCGACCCCUUGCUGUGCAGUUUGCUUCGCCCGACCACUGGUUUCACUGUUUCGCUUAGCCCGACCCGGGCACUAAAGGUCGGAUAUAGUGGAACUCCUCGGAUGUGGUUAUGGUUCGCCUGAAGUUGUGUGCAGAACUAAGAUAGUUGCUAACUAAGAUGGCAAGAGGAAGUGUGUAUCUCUUUAAUAAGGACAUGUUAUUGUGUUGCAGUAUCGGCAAGAGUCGCAUUUGAGGAUUUAACUUAUACGUUCCCACAUAAUGGGAAUACUUCUGAGGAUAUGGAAUUAAUGGAACGUUGACUCUUGCAGAUGGCGCAUCGCACCCGAUCUAGCUCUAUGCCCAGCGGUAGUGAGCAGAGGCAGGAUCUUCCUCCGCCUCCGCCCCCACCUUCGCUGGAAGCCCUCCUAGCGGCUCAAACUGAGCUGCUAAGGCACAUUGUACACGGACAACAACAGCAGCCUCGUGGAGGGAGAGCCCAUCAACAACCCCAAGUUGCUCGUUAUGAGGACUUCUUGAGCACGCAACCCCCUUUGUUCCAGAAGACAUAAGACCCGCUCGACGCCGAUGCCUGGAUUCGUGCCAUCGAAUCCAAGUUCUCCCUCCUCACCGCCCAUUGCUCGGAGGAGAAGAAGGCUCGGUUCGCCGCGCAACAACUGCGUGGUUCUACCCUCCUUUGGUGGGAUCACUACCACGCCAUGCAGCCGGUCGACCACGUCGUCAGCUGGGAGAAGUUUAAGACGGUGUUCAGGGGCCAUCAUAUCCCUGAAGGUCUCCUGGAGCGUAAGCUCAACGAGUUCCUGGCCCUUACCCAGGGAAAUCGAGAUGUCCUGCUGUGGCGGAACCACCUCGGAUUAGCUUGAUUAAGCAGGGUUAAGCCGCCUAACAUGCGACACUCCUGCCUAAACCGAGUUAAUACGAAGUGCCGUCGGAUUUCAUCCGAUUUAACCACUUAAACAGAAUCGAGUUCAGCAAACCCACACGAAGGUGAGCGGUUACAGAGAAUACAACAAGUCCACUGAGUUGAACAAGUUUUACCCAUUUGGUUCGGCCAUAAAAUCCAACAUCAGAGUUUUACAAGUUUUCAAGGAAACAACAGAGAAAACACUAGCGGAAGACUUCGUCGGGGUCGGACAUCCUUGGUGAGGCCAACCGGGACAUCACUAGCUCCUUCCCUCGCCGUCCGAGGAAGGAUCCCACUCGACCGUCCAGCCUGGCGGGAGCUGGGGCGGCCAAGCACCAACCAGAGAGGGGUCGGAAGCAGCAACUUCACCUGAAAACAGGAGCCACAACAAGGCUGAGCUACUAAGCUCAACAAGACUUAACCGAUAGGAGGAAGGGCUACUCCUCCUUCUAGACAUGCAAGGCUGUUUGGCUGAGGGGGUUGUUUGCCAAAAGCACUAAGUAACCCUAUUUUCAAGUUUUAGCUCCGGUUCUAGGUUCAUUUACCAAUCUAGGUUGUGCCACCUAUACUAAGCAUUCAUAGAAUCAAACAAGAUGUAUAGAUACAACAACAAACAUUGCCAUCAUCAGAUUCCUCAUUUACUCAGGGUGACAUAGCGAUCAAGCAAUCUCAAACUAUGAAAGGCAGACGAAUCGAUUCAAGUUCUUUAACCAUGCAUGGUGAACCUAGCCUCACGACAUCCGCGCACCCGGAGGUCGCUUCCUGUGUCGGCCUUCCCCAUCAAUCCCCUAACCCGUGUCGGGCCCAUUUCCUUUGGUGCAAGGUUCCACAGACCCGGCCUCUGCCAUUCUGUGACCACGCUUGCCACCACGUGCGACAACCAGCAGGGGAAACUCCGUUCCAAGAACAAUGGGGCGAUCGCUCACGUAUAGGUUCAAUCCGGUACUAGGCUUCCUCAUCCCAUACUAAGUAUGAGGCUAGUACUUUCAAACACUUGAUCACGAACACCACCACUGUCGGGCCUUAGCAAGUUUUCAUAGACAGACGUGGCAACCAUCUGACCACCAAAAAGUUACCAAAACCCUGCCCCGUCCAUCGUCCUUAUAGUUAUAACAGGACAGUAAACAUGCAACUCCUACAACUCGCGAGAGAUAGGAAAUCACUCGACUUUUACCGUCUCCUAGUUAAGCAAUGCAGCUACUCGGUCCAACAGCUAGUGCUCAGAUCACUGGGAUAACUAAGUCAUGCAUCUAGGGUUUCACACAACUCCUAUACGUAAAUGCACAAGCAUGUUACAGAAGGCAUGCGCAAGUCUGGUAAAACACAUAGGACUUUCAUGCAACCGGGGCUUGCCUUCAAGCAAGGAGGACGGAAACUGCUCGACUUCGGGGGCGACUUCGGCUUCGGAGGACAGGAGCUCGGCUACAGCUUCUUCUUCUGGCGCCGGGUGAAGCUCGUAGAAGCCGUCGGCGAGGUGCAGCUCUACACGAAUGCAAUGCAGGGGUUAGCAUAGACAGUUACUUCAACAGCAACACUGGCUCGCCUGAGCCCAGAAACUCGCGACAAAGAGCAGGAGGUUAAGGCGGUUCGAGAGCUGAUGAUGAUCAAGGGGUAAGGGUAGGAAGGAACUAGUGGUCUGAUCCUUGAACUAGAGGAUGUGAUAAACUGGGGGUCCUUAGACGCAAGCGUUGAAGGGUUCCCAAGUUUUACACAUACACCCUCGAGUUGAAGAAAAAGAUCACAGCCAAGCCCUCGGGCGAGACGGACAAGGGUCGGCGGAACAGACAGGGUCGGGCGAGACGGAACCGGGGUCGGGCGGAUAGGAGGGGUCGGGCGAGGCGGACUGGGGUCGGCAACUCACCUUCUUCCUGAAAGGAAAGCUUGGGGUCGGAACGAAGCGGACUUGGGCGGAGGGACUACGGUUUGAUCAGAAGCUAAGACCGGCGAUGCUCCGGCGGCGGCGCUGCUUCUUGCGGAUCACAAGAGAGCUUUUACGCAGCACGGAGGAGCAAGCUGCUGGGUGACUUGGAGAAGAACUGAGGGAGAACUGAGAGAAGAACUCCUCAAGAACUGGGUGGGUGGCGCUAGGAGCUUGAGCAGGGAGCUAGAGGAGGCUGAAGGCAACGAGAGCGGAGGGAACUCCAGCGACGGGGGCAUUCCUUUUAUAGCUGCUGGAGCAGAGGAAAGGAAACGGCACGGAGAGAGAGAAGGAGAGCGGCGCGAAGGCCGGGGAGAGGCAAUGGAGUGCUCUGCUGGGGCGGCGAUUAAGCAAAGAGGGCGGUGGUGCAGAACUCCGGGGGUGACGCCAGCAAUCAUGGCGUUCUGCCGUCAGGGCGGCGUAGGAGCGGGUAGACUGGUGGUUGAGAUUUGGCGGAAAGCGGGCGUCAUCGUGCGGAAGAUGUGAUAGAAGUGACCGGCUUAACGGCGCUAGAAUCGAGGGUGCUCGGGUGAGAAGGCAGGCGGACGCGGGCGCGUGGGAGAGUGCGGAACAACAGAUUGUCGGGCGGCUUCUGACAGAGCGGGGGAAAGGAACUGUCGCGGCCGCGGUCGGGGUUGGCGGUGGAGGAAUCAUCGUGUAGCGGCGACCAGGCGGCGCAACUGUGGCUGAAGGGACGGAAAAGACGGGCGACAUCGGGCUCUGGGGCUGGGAUCUGGUGGCGUGAUGAUGGGCGCGGGAGGCGAGGUUCUGCAGAAAGGGGUGCAGAGGGCUUCCGCUGCCAUUGGGGAAAGGGGGCACGGGAACCCACUCGGUCGCUGGCCAGAGACAAAACUGAGCGGCAGGCGUCGGAGAAGACGAGCCACGCGGCAGGAAGACUCUGAAGCAGCCAAGCAACUCGAGUGCGGCUGUCGCGGGGGAUCUGGAAAAGAUCUCGCGGGUCCACCAGUGGAUAGAUCGGACGGGUGAGGAAGAUUAACAGAAUCCGACGGUGGGCUGAGCUCGCCGGGGUCAGGAGAGGAGCGAAGCCGGAAGGGGUCGGAUCUCAGGGGUCGGGACCGGCGGGAAACUGAGCACUUAGGUGCGGUCAAGCAAGACAGCUGACUAAGGUUAAGGGCUGUGAUCAAGACUAACUGGAAGGCUUAGGGGUCGGUCGUUACAGCCUACCCCUCUUAAAAAGAAUCUCGUCCCGAGAUUUAGAGAUCAAGGGGGUGUGUUGUCCUUACCUCCUUAAGAGGAUAGAAAACCUGGGAAACGCUUGCUCAGAUAUUUGUCCGUUUCCCAUGUUGCUUCAUCCUCGGUGUGGUUUCUCCAGAGGAUCUUGUACAUCUUUACCACUUGGCGUCGGGUGUGCCUUUCCUUUUGGUCAAGAACUCGAUCUGGGUACUCGGCGUAGGUCAGGUCGGGCUCUACCUGAAGCUGUUCUUGCUCUAAGAUCUCUGCUAGAACUCGGACACAUUUCUUCAGUUGAGACACAUGGAAAACAUCAUGUAUUGCCGACAGCUGCUCUGGGAGUUGGAUCCGGUAAGCAACGGGUCCACAUAUCUCCACAAUCUCAUAAGGGCCAAUAUAGCGGGGAGCUAACUUGCCUUUUAUUCCAAACCGCUGCACUCCUUUGGUCGGGGAGACUCGAAGGUACACAUGAUCACCAAGGUCAAAUUGCAGGGGUCUUCUCCGCUGGUCGGAGUAACUCUUUUGUCGAGAUUGGGCGGCCUUGAGAUUUGCUUUAAUUACCUUCACUUGCUCUUCGGCUUCUGCCACUAAAUCAGGGCCAUAGACCUGUCUUUCUCCUGGUUGGGACCAGUUCAGGGGUGUCCUGCAUCUUCGGCCAUACAGAGCUUCAAACGGUGCCAUUUUCAAACUGGCUUGGUAGCUGUUAUUGUAGGAGAAUUCUGCUAAGGGCAGACACUUGUCCCAGUUCUUAUCAUAGUGGAUAACACAAGCUCUUAACAUGUCUUCAAGAAUCUGGUUGACUCUCUCAGUUUGGCCAUCGGUUUGAGGAUGAUAUGUUGAGCUUCGGAUGAGCUUGGUGCCCAUAGAUGCUUGUAGCUGCUCCCAAAAACAUGCCACAAACUGAACUCCUCGAUCAGAGACGAUAGUCUUGGGUACACUAUGUAGGGAAACUAUACGGUCGAGGUACAACUCUGCAUACUGCUUGACUGUGUAGGUGGCGCGAAUAGGAAGGAAAUGUGUUGUCUUGGUCAGACGGUCCACUAUAACCCAGAUGGAAUCAUAUCUUUGUGUUGUAAGGGGUAACCCAACUAUGAAGUCCAUGCUGAUGUCUUCCCAUUUCCAAGAGGGAAUAGGUAGCGGCUGCAAGGUUCCUGCUACCUUCAAAUGACUGGCCUUGACACGUUGACAGGUGUCACAUUCUGAAACAUAACGAGCUAUCUCUGGUUUCAUUCCAUUCCACCAAAAGGUUUGACGAAGAUCAUGGUACAUCUUAUUGCUGCCAGGAUGGAUCGAGAACUUGGAGAGAUGAGCUUCAUCUAGGAUUUGCUUCCUUAACUCGGGGUCGGCGGGCACUACUAGCCGGUUUCCAUAAUACACACCUCCUGUUUUGUCCUGAUGGAAAUGGUUAUAUCCCUCAUCCUUUACUGAGAUCUUACCGAUGAUCCAUUGUACUUCUGUAUCUCUUACCUGUGCUGACCGAACUUGGUCUUCCAAAACUGAGUCAAGGAUGAUGUGACCAAGGGUUCCUUGAGGAAUAAUCUCCAGACUUAGUUUUCCCAUCUCAUGACACAGAGUCUUGGUGAAGGCUGUUGACAACAAGCAGUUGCAAUGGGGUUUGCGGCUGAGGGCAUCAGCUACCACAUUGGCUUUGCCAGGAUGAUAGUGUACUUCCAAUUCAUAAUCCUUUAUCAACUCCAGCCAUCUUCUCUGACGCAUGUUGAGGUCGGCUUGAGUGAAGAUGUACUUGAGGCUCUUGUGGUCGGUGUAGAUGUUGCAGUGAGUUCCCAUUAGGUAGUGCCUCCAUAUCUUCAAGGCAUGUAUCACUGCUACCAACUCAAGGUCAUGUGUCGGGUAGCUUAGCUCAUCAGGUCGUAACGCACGUGAGGCAUAGGCAAUGACUCGGCUGUCUUGCAUAAGAACACAUCCGAGUCCAGUGCCAGAGGCGUCACAGUAUACGUGUAACGACCGACCCCUAAUCUUUCCCAGUUAGGCUUGAUCUCAGCCCUUAACCUCAGUCAGUUGCUCUGUUGACCGCACUUAAGUGCUCAGUCUUCCGCCAGUUCCGACCCCUGAGGUCCGACCCCUACCGUUCGUUCCUUUUUCCCGACCCUGGCGAGUUCAGCCCUCCGUCGGAUCCUGCUAAUCUUCCUCACCCGUCCGAUCUUUUCCCCCGGUGGACCCGUGAGAUCUUUUCCAGAUCCCCCGCACCAGCCGCACUCGAGUUGCAUGGCCGCCUCAGAGCUUUCCUGCCGCGUGGCUCGUCUUCUCCGAUGCCACCGCUCAGUUUUGUCUCUGGCAAGCGACCAAGUGGGUUCCCGCGCCCUUUUCCCCAAUAGCAGUGGAAGCCCUCUGCACCCCUUUCUGCAGAUCCUCGCUCCCCGCGCCCAUCAUCACGAUACCAGAUCUCGGCCCUGGAGACCGAUGUCGCCCAUCUUUUCCGUCCUUUCCAGCAACAGUUGCGCCGCCCGGUCGUCGCUACACGACGAUUCCCCAACCGCCAACCCCGACCGCGGCCGCGACAGUUCCUUUCCCCGCCCUGUCAGACGCCGCCCGACAAUCUGUUGUUCCGCGCUCUCCCCCGCGCCGCGUCCGCUUGUUCUCCCACCUGUGCGCCCUUGAUUCUAGUGCCGUUUAACCGGUCGCUUCUAUCACUUCUUCCGCACGACGACGCCCGCUCUCCGCCAAAUCCCAACCACCGGUCUACCCGCGCCUACGCUGCCCUGACGGAGUAGCGCAAUGAUCGCUGGCGUCACCCCCGGAGUUCUGCAGCACCGUCCGGUUUGCUCAAUCGCCGCCACGGCAGAGCACUCCAUUGCUUCUCCCCGGCCUUCGCGCCGCUCCCCUUCUCUCUCUCCGCGACGUUUCCGUUCCUCUGCUCCAGCAGCUAUAAAAGGAAGGCCCCUGUCACCGGAGUUCCCUCCGCCUUUGUUGCCCUUAGUUUCCUCUAGCUCCCUGCUCAAGCUCCUAGCGCCAUCCGCCCAGUCUUGAAAAGUUCAUCUCCCUAUUCCUUCUCAGUUCAUCCAAGUCACCAACAGCGUGCUCCCUUGUGCUGCGUAAGAGCUCUCUUGUGAUCCGCAAGCAGCACCACCGCCGGAGUAUCGCCGGCCUUAGUCCCUGCUCAAAGCUUUAGUUCCGCGCCCAAGUCUGCCUCUUCCCGACCCCAAGCUUUCCUUUCAGGAAGAAGGUGAGUGCCGACCCUAAGUCCGCUUCGCCCAACCCCUCCUAUCCGCCCGACCCCAGUUCCGUCUCGUCCGACCCUGUCUGUUCGCCGACCCUUGUCCGCCUCGCCCGAGGGUCUGGCUGUGAUCUUUUCUUCAACUCGAGGGUGUAAGUGUAAAACGUGGGAACCCUUCAGCGCUUCCGUCUGAGGAUCCCAGUUAUCACAUCCUCUAGUUCAAGGAUCAGACCACUAGUCUCCUUCCUAUCCUUACCUGUUGAUCAUCAUCAGCUCUCUCAAACAGCCUCCACCUCCUGCUCUUUGUCGCAAGUUUCUGGGCGCAGGAGAGCCAGUGUUGCUGUCGACUUAAACGUUAAGCUAACCCUUGCAUUGCAUUCGUGUAGAGUUGCAUCUCGCUGACGGCUUCUACGAGCUGCACCCGGCGCCCGAAGAAGAAGCUGUAGCCGAGUUCCUGCCCGCUGAAGUCGAAGCCGCCCCCGAAGUUGAGCAGUUCCAGCCUUCUUUGUUUGCAGGCAAGCACCGGUUGCAUGAAAAUCCUACGUGUUUUUGCCAGACUUGCACAUGCCUUCCGAAUAGCAUGUUUGUGCAUUUACGUUUAGGAGUUGUGUGAAACCCUAGAUGCAUGACUUAGUAACCCUUGAUAUGAGCACUAGCUGUUGGACCGAGUAGCUGCAUUGCUUAAAUAGGAAACGGUAAAAGCCGAGUGAUCUCCUGUCACUCGCGAGUUGUAGGAGUUGCAUGUGUUACUCUCCUGUUACAACUAUAAGGACGAUGGACGGGGCAGGGUUUGGUAACUCUUUGGUGGUCGGAUGGUUGCCCCGUCUGUCUAUGAAAACUUGCUAAGGCCCGACAGUGGUGGUGUUCGUGAUCAAGUGUUUGAAAGUACUAGCCUCAUACUUAGUAUGGGAUGAGGAAGCCUAGUACCUGAUUGAACCUAGACGUGAGCGGUCGCCCCAUUGUUCUUGGAACGGAGUUUCCCCUGCUGGUUGUCGCACGUGGUGGCAAAGCGUGGUCACAUAACGGCAGAGACCGGGUCUGUGGAACCUUGCACCAAAGGAAAUGGGCCCGACACGGGUUAGGGGAUUGAUGGGGAAGGUCGACACGUGAAGCGACCUCCGGGUGCGCGGAUGUCGUGAGGCUAGGUUCACCAUGCAUGGUUAAAGAACUCGAAUCGAUUCGUCUGCCUCUCACAGUUUGAGAUUUCUUGAUCGCUAUGUCACCCUGAGUAAAUGAGGAAUCUGAUGAUGGCAAUGUUGUUGUUUUUAUCUACACCCUUGUUUGGCUUGAUGGUUGCUUAGAAUAGGUUGCACAACCUAGACUGGUAAGUAAAUCUAGAACCGGAGCUAAAACUUGAAAAUAGGUUACUUAGUGCUUUUGGCGAAACAAACCCCUCAGCCAAGAAGCCUUGCAUGUCUAGUUGGGAGAGUAGUUGACUCCUCCCCGGUUAAGUCUUGUUGAGCUUAGUAGCUCAGCCUUGUUGUGGCUCCUGUUUUCAGGUGAAGUUGCAGUUCCCGACCCCUCCCUUGUUGGCGCUUGGCCGCCCCAGCUUCCGCCAGGCUGGACGGUCGAGUGGGACCCCUCCUCGGACGGCGAGGAGAGGACUCAGUGAUGUUCUGACUGGCCUCGCCCAGACGUCCGACCCCGACGAAGUCUUCCGCUAGCGUUUCCCUGUUGUUUUCUUGAAAACUUGUAAAGCUCUGAUGUUGGAUUUUAUGGUCGAAUUAAGUGGGUAAAACUUGUUCAACUCAGUGGACUCGUUGUAUUCUCUGUAACCGCUCACCUUCGUGUGGGUUUGCUGAACUCGAUCCUGUUUAAGUGGUCAAAUCGGAUGAAGUCCGACGGCGCUUCGUGUUAGCUCGAGUUAAUCAAGAGUGUCGCAUGUUAGGCGGCUAAACUCUGAUUAAUCAAGCUGAUCCGAGGUGGUUCCACCACAGCUUGGUACCAGAGCCGAGUUUAGCAUAUCAGAGAACCCGAUGAGCCCGAAACACUUCUUUGAAAUUAAAAGUUGCAAGGACCUUUCGAAAAUCUCGUACCAACGUUAAGGAUGACUUAGUGCGAGAGGCCCUAGGGGAUUUUGGGGUUGUUUUAGGUGACUAAUAAGUAUCUGGUUAUGUUGCUAACCCCUCCAGCACUUCGCCACGUCUAUUAUACGUGUGCCGAGUUCCGCAUCACGAGCAUGCGAGGGUUGAUAGGGAGUUCCAUUCAAGGGACCCUAUCUUCGCGGUUGUUUUCGCCCACAUCUAUUAUACGUGCGCAGGUUCCGUAUGUGAUCCAUACGAAGGUUGAUAUGGUUCGAUUCCAACGAACCUAUUGGCACGGUUGUUUCGCCACAUUUGUCAUACGUGUGCCGAUGCCGCAUCACAAGUAUGCGAAGGGUUAUAUGGUUCUAUUCGGAAGGAACCUAUUUCCACGGUUGAGUGCUGUCCAUGCAGCCUUAAACGCAUGGGUGCCGUUCCUAUAGUGAACGGUAAUGUUUGGGAACGCUUUCAUGGGUGCUGGCACGAAAGGUUCGGGUGUGUGUUUUCUGCAGGUUGCUAACCGCGCUCGUUAAGACGUUGCUAGAACCGACUAGAUAAUAUAGGGAGAGACGUAUUGUUGCCUUGUCACCGGCACUGACCGCGUAAGACCCAAGGUUUGGGCAGUUGUUUUUGGUUAAGAGCAUAGUAGGCCGUGCAUGCGUCAUACAAAAUCGGUAAUGUUCUCUUCUCAACAGCAACCCUGUCCGACAGAGUUCUUUUGGAUCUAAGGAUUUCUAGCUCCCCUUAGUUGCUCUCGGUUAAGCCCUUCUGCUUCUCUAUCCGACCCCUGAUCUUCGGAGUUAUCUCACGUGGCUUCGGUUUUCUUGGUUCCAGAUGGCUGCUCCCGGGCAUGUGGUGUUUGGAGCGGACGGUACCUUCCAAUCAACAUGCCUACAUUUCGAGGGGUUUCCCGCGAUCUUGUGGGAUACGUUGAGAUGGUUUGGGUAUCAGUCCACACCCCUGUAUUCUGGGCGGCUGUAUGUGGAGCAGGGCAUCCAGACGUGCCAGGUGCAAGCACUGGUGCCACCCCCUUUUGCGCGGCCCGACUGGCCCUCUCUGGGCAUCAUAGCCUACGGUCUUUCUCCGGAAGAUACGUGGGAAUCCGCCGCUCUCCAGUUGCUCACGCAGUUCUGUCAGUUCCACCCUGUGGAGAUCACCCUGGACCCGAUCGGACUUUUUCCCGUCAGAAGUCGGAUGGACCCGGCCUGGCUGGACCGCAUCGGAAACCUCGAGGUGUUGGCCACUACUUGUGCCACACUCACCAUCUCCACCAACAUCCGUUGCAUGGCUGCUUUCUACCAGCUGAUAGAGCUCCAAGGAAGGGCCAUGACUCUCUUUGCCCGGACUGCUGCAGACACCGACGGGUACCUCCAGGCAGCUAGAAGAGACCUGGUAGGCCAAACCUACCAGCUGAUCCAACGUGGAAUCCAGAUCCAUGACAUGCAAGACCGGAUCUCCGAGCUGGAAGGAGAAGUUGCCGACCUUGUGGACGGUAUGAUCGAGCUCUCCGAGGAGAAAAUGGAGGUGGAAAUGGAGUUGGCCGUUGCCAAUGCCCACCUAGAGGAGCACCAAGCUGAGCUUGAAGAUAUGCAUGCCCUCAACAUGCAGCUUGAAGCUCAGGAGGACCCUGAGGAAGACGAGGGAGCGUCCAGCAUGGACAUAGAAGAAAAUGGCGCCCCUUCUCCGACUCAUAGUGUCCAGUGGUAGCUUAAGGGUUCUCGGGGAACCUUCUUUCUUUUGUUGUACUCCUCGGCAGCCUAGUUUUGGAAAGUUGUAAUAGGUUAUCCUUGAGUUGAGUACUCCCUGUGUUGAAACGUCGUUGUGUAUAAAGUCAACCCAGUGCAGUGCAUAGUUUCAUCCUUUUCGUAUGAUGUGGAUGCUAAAGUUAAGAAAGUGGUGCCGUGACCCUGUGUUGUUUUCGGGGAGCCUGUUCAGUUGGCCGACCCUAGUUUGCGAACCAGAGUGCGCCGACCCUUAAGACAGUUACCGCCUUGUCCGACCCUCUUUGAGUACGGACCGUAUCCGAUCCCUCGGUUCGAGUGGACCCGACCCUAGGAGUCUGUAUGUGGUGUGGUUACCUGAGGUGGAGUACCAGGGCAAGUAAGGGCUAUCUGUGAUGAAAAUGGGAGGAAUGUGCUUCCUCUGUAAGGACGUAUGAUGCACCAUUGGCAAGAGUCGCAUUAAAGGACUUAAUUCAUACGUUCCCAAUUGCUGGAGUACCCCUAAGGUUAUGAGAUUGAUGGGCGUUAACUCUUGCAGAUGGCGCACCGCACAAGGUCUGGAACUAUGCCCAGUGGCAGGGAUCAGCAACAAGAUCUUCCCCCGCCCCCGCCACCAUUGCCAUUGGAGGCAAUCCUAGCAACUCAAACCGAGCUGCUCAGGCAUCUGGUACAAGGACAACAGCAGCCACACGGUGGUAGAGCACAGCAGCAGCAGCAUGUCGCAAGAUAUGAGGACUUUUUGGGGACACAGCCCCCGCUGUUCCAAAAGACCCAAGAACCGCUCGACGCUGACGCAUGGGUUCGUACGAUCGAAUCCAAGUUCGAGCUCCUUACCGCUCCAUGCCCUGACAACAACAAGGCGCGGUUCGCAGCUCAGCAGCUGCAUGGUUCCGCACGGCUUUGGUGGGACCACUACCAUGCCAUGCUACCUGCUGACCACGUAGUCAGUUGGAACGAGUUUAAGACGGCGUUCAAGGCGCAUCACAUUCCUGAAGGUCUCCUGGAGCGCAAGCUCAACGAGUUUCUAUCCCUCACCCAGGGAACUAGGGAUGUGCUGCACUACGCCCAGGCGUUUAACGACCUGUGCCGUUAUGCGGGAUAUCACGCGGACACCGAUGAGAAGAAGCAGGACAGAUUCCGCCGAGGUUUGAGCUUGGAGCUCAGGGAAAGGCUGAAUCCCAUCCGAGUGGACACCUAUAACGAGUUGGUCAACCUGGCCAUCUCCCAGGAGGAUUGCAUGCAAGCUCUAAAGGCCGACCAGAAGAGGAAAGCCUCUGUGGCUCUUCCGAGCCCGCCAGCCCGAAGGUUUCGGAUGAUCCCUCCACAAGCCCCUGGCCGACCCCAACAGUCAGGGAAAUGGAUCGCCCGACCCCCGCCGGCAACAAUGCCUAGUUCUCCAGGCUUCCAACCACAAGUACCCCGGCCGACCUUGCCAACGCCACCUCGUCCAGCAGCCAGUAACAGAUGUUUUACCUGCGGCAAUGAGGGGCAUUUUGCAAGGGAUUGCCCCAGGAGCAAGACUCAGCAGCAAGGCCAGAACCCCAUGGCAGCCAGAGGGAGAAGGCCCAAGGUGCAAGUCCGACAAGGCCGACUCAACUACACCAGCUUGACCGAACUUCCCGAAGGUGCGUCAGUAAUGAUGGGUACUUUCCUUGUUUUAAAUCAAGCUGUUGUGGUGUUGUUUGAUUCGGGAGCCUCUCAUAGCUUUAUCGGGAGUAAGGCAAGGGAAAGGUGUGGGCUAAGUGUAGGUCACACUAAGGAACCCUAUGUGAUCGCCACUCCUGGAGGGAGGAUAACGUCGGAUCAGAUCGUUAUUCUGGUACCUCUCCAGCUAGGCCCCACCCUUUUCAAGGAAAACCUUAUCCUCCUUGACCUUGAAGGCCUAGACGUCAUCCUUGGCAUGGAUUGGAUGGCCCGACAUCGUGUUGUUUUAGAUACCUCAGCCCGAUCUCUUUUCAUCAGCUCGCCCUCUCAUGGCAGUGCUACCCUAUCCUUGACCCAUCCUGAGUCUUUGACCCCUUGUGCGUUUUCUCUCUUGGGAACCCGUUUAGAAGACCUCCCUGUUAUCUGUGAGUAUCCAGAUGUGUUUCCAGAGGACUUGCCAGGCAUGCCACCUGACAGAGAAGUGGAGUUUUCUAUAGAGUUAGUUCCUGGCACAGCUCCGAUAUCUAAGAGACCCUAUCGGAUGCCACCCGCUGAGUUAGCAGUGUUAAAGACCCAGUUGCAUGAUCUGUUGGAAAAGGGCUUCAUUCGACCCAGUACGUCAUCUUGGGGAUGCCCCGCCCUGUUUGUGAAGAAGAAAGACGGCAGUUUACGGAUGUGUGUGGAUUACCGACCCCUCAAUGCGGUAACAGUUAAGAACAAGUACCCACUGCCCCGCAUUGAUGUCUUGUUCGACCAGUUAGCCGGAGCAAAAGUGUUCUCCAAGAUCGAUCUUCAUUCUGGUUAUCACCAAAUCAAGAUUCGACCUUGUGACGUACCCAAGACAGCUUUCUCUACCAGAUAUGGAUUGUAUGAGUACCUAGUCAUGUCCUUUGGACUCACCAAUGCACCCGCUUACUUCAUGUACCUUAUGAACUCGGUGUUCAUGCCCGAGCUGGACAAGUUUGUAGUGGUGUUCAUUGAUGAUAUCCUAGUGUACUCAAAGGACAAGGAAGAGCAUGCCAACCAUCUUCAUAUAGUUCUUCAGCGACUGAGAGAUCACCAGCUUUAUGCAAAGUUCUCCAAGUGUGAGUUUUGGUUGGAUAGUGUCAAGUUUCUAGGACACGCUAUCUCCAAGGACGGUAUUGCCGUGGAUCCCAGUAAGGUGCAAGAGGUCAUGGAAUGGAAGUCUCCUGUCUCGGUACACCAGAUCCGGAGUUUCCUCGGACUGGUAGGGUACUAUCGGCGUUUUAUACCGGAUUUCUCCAAGAUAGCUAAGCCGAUGACCGAGUUGUUGAAGAAAGAGGCCAAGUUUGUGUGGGACACCAAGUGCGAAGAAGCUUUCAAAACCCUGAAGCACUUGUUAACCACCGCCCCAGUUUUGGCUCAACCCGACCCCUCUAGGCCGUACGACGUAUACUGUGACGCCUCUGGCACUGGACUCGGGUGUGUUCUUAUGCAAGACAACCGAGUCAUUGCCUAUGCCUCACGUGCGUUGCGACCUCAUGAGCUGAACUACCCGACACAUGACCUUGAGUUGGCAGCAGUGAUACACGCCUUGAAAUUAUGGAGGCACUACUUAAUGGGAGCUCACUGCAACAUCUAUACCGACCACAAGAGCCUCAAGUACAUCUUCACGCAAGCCGACCUCAACAUGCGUCAGAGAAGAUGGCUGGAGUUGAUAAAGGAUUAUGACUUGGAAGUGCACUAUCAUCCUGGCAAGGCCAAUGUGGUGGCCGACGCCCUCAGUCGCAAACCUCAGUGCAACUGUUUGUUGUCCACCGCCUUCACCGACACUUUGUGUCACGAGAUGGGAAAACUAAGUCUAGAGCUUGUUCCCCAUGGAACCCUUGAUCACAUCAUCCUUGACUCAGUUUUAGAGGACCAGAUUCAGUCAGCCCAAGCUAAGGAUGAAGAAGUAAAACGGAUCAUCAGUAAGGUCUUGGUAAAAGACGAGGGAUAUAAGCUUUUCCGGCAGGACCAAACGGGAGGUGUGUACUAUGGAAACCGACUAGUAGUGCCCGCCGACCCCGAGUUAAGGAAGCAAAUCCUAGAUGAAGCUCAUCUUUCCAAGUUCUCCAUCCACCCUGGCAGCAACAAGAUGUACCAUGAUCUCCGUCAGACCUUUUGGUGGAGUGGGAUGAAACCGGAGAUAGCUCGUUAUGUUUCAGAAUGCGACACUUGUCAACGUGUCAAGGCCAGUCACUUGAAGGUAGCAGGAACCUUGCAGCCGCUACCCAUCCCCUCUUGGAAAUGGGAAGACAUCAGCAUGGACUUCAUAGUUGGGUUACCCCUUACAACUCAACAGUAUGAUUCUAUCUGGGUUAUAGUGGACCGUCUGACCAAGAAGGCACAUUUCUUUCCUGUUCGUACCACCUACACAGUCAAGCAAUAUGCAGAGUUGUACCUCGACCGUAUCGUUUCUCUACAUGGUGUACCCAAGACCAUCAUCUCGGACAGAGGAGUUCAGUUUGUGGCACGUUUUUGGGAGCAACUACAAGCAUCUAUGGGCACCAAGCUCAUCCGAAGCUCAACAUACCAUCCCCAAACCGAUGGCCAAACCGAGAGAGUCAACCAGAUCCUUGAAGACAUGUUAAGAGCCUGUGUUAUCCAUUAUGACAAAAACUGGGACAAGUGCCUGCCCUUAGCAGAGUUCUCCUACAAUAACAGCUACCAGUCCAGUUUGAAGAUGGCACCGUUUGAAGCCUUGUACGGCCGAAGAUGCAGGACACCCUUGAACUGGUCCCAACCAGGAGAGAGACAGGUUUAUGGCCCUGACUUAGUGGCAGAAGCCGAGGAACAAGUGAAGGUAAUUCAGGCAAAUCUCAAGGCUGCCCAAUCUCGACAGAAGGGUUACUCUGACCAGCGGAGAAGACCCCUGCAGUUCAACCUUUGUGACCAUGUGUACCUUAGAGUUUCCCCAACCAAAGGAGUGCAACGGUUUGGAAUAAAGGGCAAGUUAGCUCCCCGCUAUGUUGGCCCUUACGAGAUUAUGGAGAAGUGUGGACCCGUUGCUUACCGGAUCCAACUCCCAGAACAGCUAUCAGCCAUACAUGAUGUUUUCCAUGUGUCUCAGUUGAAGAAAUGCGUCCGAGUUCCAGCAGAGAUCCUAAAACAAGAACAACUUCAAGUAGAACCUGACCUGACCUACGCCGAGUACCCAGAUCGAGUUCUUGACCAUAAGGAAAGGCACACCCGACGUCAAGUGGUGAGGAUGUACAAGAUCCUCUGGAGAAACCACACCGAAGAUGAAGCGACAUGGGAGACGGAAGAAUAUCUGAACAAGCGUUUUCCAGGUUUUCUAUCUCAUCCAGGAGGUAAGAGCAGCACACCCUUGAUCUUGAAUCUCGGGACGAGAUUCCUUUUAAGAGGGGUAGGCUAUAACGACCGACCCCUAAUCUUUCCCAGUUAGGCUUGAUCUCAGCCCUUAACCUUAGUCAGUUGCUCUGUUGACCGCACUUAAGUGCUCAGUCUUCCGCCAGUUCCGACCCCUGAGGUCCGACCCCUACCGUUCGUUCCUUUUUCCCGACCCUGGCGAGUUCAGCCCUCCGUCGGAUCCUGCUAAUCUUCCUCACCCGUCCGAUCUUUUCCCCCGGUGGACCCGUGAGAUCUUUUCCAGAUCCCCCGCACCAGCCGCACUCGAGUUGCAUGGCCGCCUCAGAGCUUUCCUGCCGCGUGGCUCGUCUUCUCCGAUGCCACCGCUCAGUUUUGUCUCUGGCAAGCGACCAAGUGGGUUCCCGCGCCCUUUUCCCCAAUAGCAGCGGAAGCCCUCUGCACCCCUUUCUGCAGAUCCUCGCUCCCCGCGCCCAUCAUCACGAUACCAGAUCUCGGCCCCGGAGACCGAUGUCGCCCGUCUUUUCCAUCCUUUCCAGCAACAGUUGCGCCGUCCGGUCGUCGCUACACGACGAUUCCCCAACCGCCAACCCCGACCGCGGCCGCGACAGUUCCUUUCCCCGCCCUGUCAGACGCCGCCCGACAAUCUGUUGUUCCGCGCUCUCCCCCACGCCGCGUCCGCUUGUUCUCCCACCUGUGCGCCCUUGAUUCUAGCGCCGUUUAACCGGUCGCUUCUAUCACUUCUUCCGCACGACGACGCCCGCUCUCCGCCAAAUCCCAACCACCGGUCUACCCGCGCCUACGCCGCCCUGACGGAGUAGCGCAAUGAUCGCUGGCGUCACCCCCGGAGUUCUGUAGCACCGUCCGGUUUGCUCAAUCGCCGCCACAGCAGAGCACUCCAUUGCUUCUCCCCGGCCUUCGCGCCGCUCCCCUUCUCUCUCUCCGCGACGUUUCCGUUCCUCUGCUCCAGCAGCUAUAAAAGGAAGGCCCCUGUCGCCGGAGUUCCCUCCGCCUUUGUUGCCCUUAGUUUCCUCUAGCUCCCUGCUCAAGCUCCUAGCGCCAUCCGCCCAGUCUUGAAAAGUUCAUCUCCCCAUUCCUUCUCAGUUCAUCCAAGUCACCAACAGCGUGCUCCCUUGUGCUGCGUAAGAGCUCUCUUGUGAUCCGCAAGCAGCACCGCCGCCGGAGUAUCGCCGGCCUUAGUCCCUGCUCAAAGCUUUAGUUCCGCGCCCAAGUCUGCCUCUUCCCGACCCCAAGCUUUCCUUUCAGGAAGAAGGUGAGUGCCGACCCUAAGUCCGCUUCGCCCGACCCCUCCUAUCCGCCCGACCCCAGUUCCGUCUCGUCCGACCCUGUCUGUUCGCCGACCCUUGUCCGCCUCGCCCGAGGGUCUGGCUGUGAUCUUUUCUUCAACUCGAGGGUGUAAGUGUAAAACGUGGGAACCCUUCAGCGCUUCCGUCUGAGGAUCCCAGUUAUCACAUCCUCUAGUUCAAGGAUCAGACCACUAGUCUCCUUCCUAUCCUUACCUGUUGAUCAUCAUCAGCUCUCUCAAACAGCCUCCACCUCCUGCUCUUUGUCGCAAGUUUCUGGGCGCAGGAGAGCCAGUGUUGCUGUCGACUUAAACGUUAAGCUAACCCUUGCAUUGCAUUCGUGUAGAGUUGCAUCUCGCUGACGGCUUCUACGAGCUGCACCCGGCGCCCGAAGAAGAAGCUGUAGCCGAGUUCCUGCCCGCUGAAGUCGAAGCCGCCCCCGAAGUUGAGCAGUUCCAGCCUUCUUUGUUUGCAGGCAAGCACCGGUUGCAUGAAAAUCCUACGUGUUUUUGCCAGACUUGCACAUGCCUUCCGAAUAGCAUGUUUGUGCAUUUACGUUUAGGAGUUGUGUGAAACCCUAGAUGCAUGACUUAGUAACCCUUGAUAUGAGCACUAGCUGUUGGACCGAGUAGCUGCAUUGCUUAAAUAGGAAACGGUAAAAGCCGAGUGAUCUCCUGUCACUCGCGAGUUGUAGGAGUUGCAUGUGUUACUCUCCUGUUACAACUAUAAGGACGAUGGACGGGGCAGGGUUUGGUAACUCUUUGGUGGUCGGAUGGUUGCCCCGUCUGUCUAUGAAAACUUGCUAAGGCCUGACAGUGGUGGUGUUCGUGAUCAAGUGUUUGAAAGUACUAGCCUCAUACUUAGUAUGGGAUGAGGAAGCCUAGUACCUGAUUGAACCUAGACGUGAGCGGUCGCCCCAUUGUUCUUGGAACGGAGUUUCCCCUGCUGGUUGUCGCACGUGGUGGCAAAGCGUGGUCACAUAACGGCAGAGACCGGGUCUGUGGAACCUUGCACCAAAGGAAAUGGGCCCGACACGGGUUAGGGGAUUGAUGGGGAAGGCCGACACGUAAAGCGACCUCCGGGUGCACGGAUGUCGUGAGGCUAGGUUCACCAUGCAUGGUUAAAGAACUCGAAUCGAUUCGUCUGCCUCUCACAGUUUGAGAUUUCUUGAUCGCUAUGUCACCCUGAGUAAAUGAGGAAUCUGAUGAUGGCAAUGUUGUUGUUUUUAUCUACACCCUUGUUUGGCUUGAUGGUUGCUUAGAAUAGGUUGCACAACCUAGACUGGUAAGUAAAUCUAGAACCGGAGCUAAAACUUGAAAAUAGGUUACUUAGUGCUUUUGGUAAAACAAACCCCUCAGCCAAGAAGCCUUGCAUGUCUAGUUGGGAGAGUAGUUGACUCCUCCCCGGUUAAGUCUUGUUGAGCUUAGUAGCUCAGCCUUGUUGUGGCUCCUGUUUUCAGGUGAAGUUGCAGUUCCCGACCCCUCCCUUGUUGGCGCUUGGCCGCCCCAGCUUCCGCCAGGCUGGACGGUCGAGUGGGACCCCUCCUCGGACGGCGAGGAGAGGACUCAGUGAUGUUCUGGCUGGCCUCGCCCAGACGUCCGACCCCGACGAAGUCUUCCGCUAGCGUUUCCCUGUUGUUUUCUUGAAAACUUGUAAAGCUCUGAUGUUGGAUUUUAUGGUCGAAUUAAGUGGGUAAAACUUGUUCAACUCAGUGGACUCGUUGUAUUCUCUGUAACCGCUCACCUUCGUGUGGGUUUGCUGAACUCGAUCCUGUUUAAGUGGUCAAAUCGGAUGAAGUCCGACGGCGCUUCGUGUUAGCUCGAGUUAAUCAAGAGUGUCGCAUGUUAGGCGGCUAAACUUUGAUUAAUCAAGCUGAUCCGAGGUGGUUCCGCCACAAUACGUCAUACGGCCUAGAGGGGUCGGGCUGAGCCAACAAGGGGGCGGUGGUCAGCAAGUGCUUCAGGGUCUUGAAAGCCUCUUCACACUUGGUGUCCCACACAAAUUUGACCUCUUUCUUCAGCAACUCGGUCAUCGGCUUAGCUAUCUUGGAGAAAUCCGGUAUGAAACGCCGAUAGUAACCUGCCAAUCCAAGGAAACUCCUGAUUUGGUGUACUGAGGUAGGAGACUUCCAUUCCAUGACUUCUUGUACCUUGCUGGGAUCCACGGCAAUACCAUCCUUGGAGAUAGUGUGUCCGAGAAACUUGACACUAUCUAACAAAACUCACACUUGGAGAACUUGGCAUAGAGCUGGUGAUCUCUCAGCCGUUGGAGAACUAUAUGAAGAUGGUCGGCGUGCUCUUCCUCGUUCUUCGAGUAAACUAGGAUAUCAUCAAUGAACACCACCACAAACUUGUCCAGCUCGGGCAUAAACACCGAGUUCAUAAGGUACAUGAAAUAGGCGGGUGCAUUGGUGAGUCCAAAGGAUAUGACUAGGUACUCGUACAGUCCAUAUCUGGUAGAGAAAGUUGUCUUGGGUAUGUCGCAGGGUCGAAUCUUUAUUUGGUGAUAACCAGAACGAAGAUCGAUCUUGGAGAACACUUUUGCUCCGGCUAACUGAUCGAACAAGACAUCAAUGCGUGGCAGCGAGUACUUGUUCUUGACUGUCACAGCAUUGAGGGGUCGGUAAUCCACACACAUACGUAGACUGCCAUCUUUCUUCUUCACAAACAGGGCGGGGCAACCCCAAGAUGAUGUACUGGGUCGAAUGAAGCCCUUUUCCAACAGAUCAUGCAACUGGGUCUUCAACAUGGCUAACUCAGCGGGUGGCAUCCGAUAGGGUCUCUUAGAUAUCGGGGCUGUGCCAGGAAUCAACUCUAUGGAAAACUCCACUUCUCUAUCAGGUGGCAUACCCGGCAAAUCUUCUGGAAACACAUCAGGGUACUCACAGAUAAUAGGGAGGUCUUCUAGACGGGAUCCCAAGAGAGGGUAGGCACAAGGAGUCGAAGACUCAGGAUGGGUCAAGGAUACGGUAGAACUACCAUGGGAGGGUGAGCUGUGUUGGGAUACGAGGUAGGCUACACUAGCGCAAUUCAAAAAAAUCUACCGCGUAUAACCAGGAAGAACUGCCGUAUAAGGAUCACGGGAUUACCACUCGACGCACUACUGGUGCGGAAGAUGUAGAUAUGCGUCGAUGCAGUGAAGACAAUCACGUAGUCGUACGUAGUCGAUCACGUGCAGCAGCUCCUCAGCAGCUCGUCCACGUGCAGCAAGAUCGCCUCCGGUACCGUGGCUCGUCGUCGGCUCGUCGUGGCUCGUCGACGGCUCGUCCAAGUGCUGCAGGCGCAACACCUCCAAGGUAUCCACAUGUGCAGGGAGGAAGCAUCGCAAGUCGGACUGCUAGAUCUGCGAGUUGCAACAGGCGAGGGCGUGGGAGGCGCGGCAGGUGUGUUUCGCCAAAAAGGUGUAAACCCUAGGGCGCCCCCACCCCUCUAUUUAUAGAGGUUCCUGAUGGGCCUCUGGAUCCGAGGCCCAUUAGUACUCCUAAACCUAAUCCAACUCGGAUCAGAUCCGAAUUGGGCUUCCAGCCCCUUAAGUGUGUGACCCUAUGGGUUCGGAUACGUAUAGACAUGGCCCGAGUACUCCUACUCGGCCCAAUAGUCGGUAGCGGCCUCUAGCAAGACGUGCCAACUCCUAUACGCACACAAAGAUCAUAUCAGACGAACCAUCACAACAUAAUAUACAUGCUAUUCCCUUUGCCUCACGAUAUUUGGUCUAGCUUCAAGCCGACCGCUCUUUCUCGAUCCUGUGAUUCGGAAUCCCUUUGUAGGUUAACUCUUAACCGUACGUAGCAUGGCCAUGCAUUUUCGGAUCCGAUCACUCGAGGGGCCCAGAGAUAUCACUCUCAAUCAGAGAGGGGCAAAUCCCAUCUUGACUGACCAUGUCUCAUAGCAUGCUUCUUGACAAACCCGAAAGCUACCUUUAUAACUACCGUGUUACGGUGUAGCGUUUGAUAGCCCCUAAGUAGGUCGAUCCACAUCUAGAAUACAUGUGACAAUCUCAGGUCUAAGGACAAAGCGUAUAUGUUGUUUUAAAGAGAGAACUACUUCUCGUGUUGGGUCAGUCCUAACACAUGUCUCCACAUGUGUCCACAUUAUUAGUUCAACAUCUCGAUGUCCAUGACUUGUGAAACAUAGUCAUCAACUAAUACAUGUGCUAGUCUAAUAUUCAUGUGUGUCCUCACAUGAACUCCGACUAGGGACAACUUUAGAAUAACCAUACAAGGAAAGAGUUUCACAUACAAUUCACAUAAUUGCAAAUCAAUUCAAGUAGCCUUCAAUGGAUAUUCAAUGAACACAACAUACAAAUCAUGGAUACAAAUGGAAUAUCAUCAUCUCUAUGAUUGCCUCUAGGGCAUACCUCCAACAGUCUCCCACUUGCACUAGAGUCAAUCUAGAAGGUACCUAAUACCCAUAGCUCUUACAUGCGCAUCAUGCUUAGCCUGCGGGAGUGGUUUUGUCAACGGAUCAGAAAUGUUCAGAUCCGUGUGUAUUUUGCAUAUCUUGAUCUCACCCCGGUUAACGAAGUCUCGAAUGAGAUGAAAUCGCUGCAUUACGUGUUUGUUCUUCUAGUGGUUCCUUGGCUCCUUUGCUUGCGCAAUUGCCCCAUUGUUAUCACAGUAGAGAUUCAAUGGGCUGGACGCACUCGGGAACACACCAAGCUCAAUGAGGAAAUUCCUUAUCCAAACACCUUCCUUCGCGGCUUCCGAAGCCGCGAUGUACUCGGCUUUUGUCGUAGAAUCGGCCACCGUCUCCUGCUUGGAACUCUUCCAACUAACAGCACCACCAUUUAGCGUGAACACAAAUCCUGAUUGUGACUUUGAAUCAUCUCUGUCGGUUUGGAAACUAGCAUCGGUGUAACUUGUUACAACGAGCUCCUCCUCACCUCCAUAGACGAGGAACAUAUCUUUAGUCCUUCUCAAGUACUUAAGAAUAUUUUUCACCGCUGUCCAGUGACUCUCACCCGGAUCAGAUUGGUGUCUGCUUGUCAUACUUAGCGCAUAUGAAACAUCUGGGCGAGUACUUAUCAUUGCAUACAUGAUAGAUCCAAUAGCCGAGGCGUAUGGCACUCUACUCAUGCGAUCCUGCUCAUCAGUAGUCGAAGGACACUGAGUCUUGCUGAGAUGUAUGCCAUGUGACAUAGGCAAGAACCCUUUCUUUGCCUCUUCCAUGCUGAACCGCUUCAACACUUUGUCAAUGUAAGUAUCUUGGCUUAAACCUAUAAGCCUUCUUGAUCUAUCUCUAUAGAUCUUAAUGCCCAGAAUAUAUGCCGCUUCCCCUAAGUCCUUCAUCGAAAAACUAUUUUUCAGUGAAGUCUUUACAGACUCAAGCAUAGGAAUGUUAUUUCCAAUCAGUAAUAUGUCAUCCACAUAUAAGAUUAGAAAUACUACAGAGCUCCCACUAACCUUCUUGUAAACACAAAACUCUUCUUCGUUCUUGGUGAAGUCAAACCCUUUGACCACUUCAUCAAAACGAAUGUUCCAACUCCUAGAUGCUUGCUUCAAUCCAUAAAUGGAUCUCUGAAGCUUGCAUACCUUUCCAGCAUUUUUCGGAUCGACAAAACCCUCGGGCUGUAUCAUAUACACGUCCUCAGCUAGGUUUCCAUUCAGGAAAGCUGUCUUGACAUCCAUCUGCCAUAUCUCAUAAUCGAAAUAUGCAGCUAUAGCUAGAAUAAUCCGAAUGGACUUAAGCAUCACUACGGGCGAGAAGGUCUCGUCGUAGUCAACUCCUUGAACUUGUCGAAAACCUUUUGCGACAAGUCGUGCUUUAUAGAUGUGAACAUUUCCAUCCAUGUCCUUUUUCUUCUUAUAGAUCCACUUGCACUCUAUGGCUUUAACACCAUCAGGCGGGUCAACCAAGUUCCAAACUUGAUUGUCUCCCAUGGACUCUAUUUCGGAUUGCAUGGCAUUCUGCCAUUUUUCGGAGUCUGGGUCCAUCAUUGCUUCUGCAUAUGUCGCAGGCUCAUCAUUGUCCAACAAUAAUAUUUCCCGCAUUUCGCGGAGCCUUGCCGACCUUCGUGGUUGUGGCGGUGCUUCUCUUGCCAUGGGUAUCUCAACUUGUUCUGCUACGUUAGCAUCACUUAUUGAUUCUUGCCCAAUCGGCUCAUCUUGAACUUCUUCAAGAUGCACUGUCUUUCCACUAUUUUCUCCUUUGAGAAACUCUUUCUCUAGAAAAACCCCGUUCCGAGCGACAAACACUUUGCCUUCUGAUCGGUUGUAGAAAUAAUAUCCCAAAGUUUCCUUUGGAUAUCCCACGAAAAUGCACUUAUCCAACUUGGGUGUGAUCUUGUCCGACUGAAGUCGCUUGACAAACACUUCACAUCCCCAAAUCUUUAGAAAAGACAAACUAGGAACCUUUCCAGUCCAUAUCUCAUAUGGUGUCUUAGCUACGGAUUUAGAUGGUACCCUAUUAAGUGUGAAAGCUGCUGUUUCUAGAGCGUAUCCCCAAAAUGACAACGGUAGGUCCGACUGGCUCAUCAUUGAUUGAACCAUGUCUAACAAAGUUCGAUUACGUCGCUCGGACACACCGUUUCUCUGAGGUGUUCCAGGCGGCAUAAGUUGUGGAACAAUUCCGCAACUCUUUAGAUGAUUGCUAAACUCGUGGCUCAAAUACUCACCUCCACGAUCAGAUCGUAAGGCCUUAAUUUUCUUGCCACGCUAAUUUUCAACUUCAUUAUGAAAUUCCUUGAACUUUUCAAAGGUUUCAGACUUGUGCCUCAUCAAGUAGACAUAGCCAUAUCUACUAAAAUCAUCAGUGAAAGUUAUGAAGUAUUGGAAUCCUCCUCUAGCCGUCGUGCUCAUUGGUCCGCAUACAUCACUAUGUAUGAGUUCCAACAAGUCUACUGCUCUCUCAGGAAAACCUGUGAAAGGCGUCUUGGUCAUCUUGCCUAGCAAGCAAGCCUCACAUGUCUCGUAUGAUUCAAAAUCAAACGAAGUUAGAAGUCCAUCAGAAUGGAGCUUCUUCAUGCGCUUUUCACUUAUAUGACCCAAACGACAAUGCCACCAGUAGGUAGGACUCAAAUCAUUAGGCCGAGGCCUUUUAGCACUUACAUUACAGACAGGUGAACCAUCAAGAUGUAAAACAAAUAAUCCAUUCACAAUGGGUGCAAAAGCCAUAAACAUAUUAUUCUUAGAGAUCACACAACCAUUAUUUUCACUCGCAAAUGAAUAACCAUCCUUCAUCAAGCAUGAAGGAGACAAAAUGUUUCGACUUAAACUAGGAACAAAAUAACAAUUAUUCAACUCCAUAAUAAAUCCUGACGGGAGGUGGAGUUGCAUCGUCCCGACGGUCAACGCAGCAACUCUUGCAUUAUUGCCCACGCGGAAAUCAACUUCUCCUCUUUCCACGCUUCUACUUCUUAUCAUUCCCUGCAUCGAAUUGCAAAUAUGAGCAACCGAUCCGGUAUCAAAUACCAAAGAAUUAAUAAUUGUAUCAGCGAGAAAUAUGUUGUCUAUAACAUUAACAACAAGCGUACCUGAGGUAGAAGUACUCUUACUUCCGCCAUUCUUCAAGGAAGCUAGGUACUGCUUGCAGUUUCUCUUCCAGUGACCAAGUUCAUGACAGUAAAAGCACUCUUUGUCUGGAGCAGGUCCAGGUCCAGCUUUAACCUUGGGCGGUGGGUUUGGCUUGGACGUUCCAGCCUUGGCCUUCUUCUUCCAAGAAUUGCCCUUCUUCUUAAAGCUGGGCUUGUUCUGUAUCGCCAUCACAUGGCUGGUACUAGCGCUUUUCUUGAUGUCAGGCUCUGCUAUUUUAAGCAUGCCACACAGCUCAUUCAGACCCUUCUCCGUCCCAUGCAUAUGGUAGUUCGAGAUGAAGUUCCCAUAGCUAGGCGGAAGAGACGAAAGAAUGAAAUCAGUGGCCAACUCUUGGCCCAGUGGGAAGCCUAGCUUCUCCAACCGUUGAGUGUAACCAACCAUCUUGAUUACGUGUGGUCCUACUGCUGCGCCUUCUGCUAGCUUGCUCUCAACAAAGGCCUUAGACACAUUGAACCUUUCAGUCCUGGCCUGUGUUUGGAACAUGUCUCUAAGCGCCACGAUCAUAUCGUGCGCCUCAUGGUUUGUUUCGAACUGCAUCUGCAGCUCGGGUUCCAUGCAAGCAAGCAUAAGGCAGCUUACUUCGAGGUUAGCAUCACAUGCUUUCUUGUAAGCAUUCUUAGCAGCAGCGGGUGCAUCAUCAGCAGGUUCUUCUGGUAGUGGGUUUUCUAGAACAUCUUCCUUUUUCUCAGCCCUGAGAACAAUUCUCAGGUUACGGAUCCAAUUCGAGUAGUUUGUUCCAUUCAACUUGUCCUUCUCAAGGACCGAACGCAAAGCAAACGAUGUGGUGGUGUUGCUAGGUGCCAUUUAAUCUACAACAAAAGUAAUGCAAAAUACACUAAGACAAACAUAUCCAUGAUAGAGCAAAUUAUAUUAAACUACUUUAACAGAAUCUACUCCCACUAAAAUCAAUAUCCCUCUAUUGAAACUUAGUGAUUCAGGAUCCACAACUAACAAGUCUACUAGUGAGCUUUAGCAUCACCGCUAGCAAACGAGGUAGAUCGGUAAGCAACUUUUGCUAAUCAUAUCACAUAUGACUCCUGUUGUUGGGUGACAUCUCUAUGUCUCGGCGCCCAACCUUUAUGCCCCAAGGUCCUUAACCGUUAAGAUAACCUUGUUAAGCAAACCAACCCUUAUGCGUGUAAGUGUCCGACACAAACCCGUCUAGUCAAGGAAAACUAGUGGCACCCUAAUUUCAUAGACCCACCACUAAUUGUACAAGACAUGGGAUGGUGCAAGUUUUAGUUGGGAGGGCAUACUAACUUAAACUUUGUGAGGGAUCGUUCUACUUCUAACAUCACAGCAUGCAGAAAGUAAAACAUAAACAGAAUAGCAUUCACACAGUUGUGACACAGUAUGGCCCAUUUUCAUAUGGUGAUCUCCAUCUCCAUAGAACCUGUUCACCAUGGUGAUCUCCAUCUCCAUGUUCCAUGUGCGCCAUCCUCCUGGUGAUGAGUCCUCCAAGAACUAGAGCAUGCUAUUACGCCUAAUAGCUAGUAAAGAAUCUAGUAAUGAAGAUUACAUAGUUGCUUGGAUCAUCACAGAUUGGUACGCAGACCAUUAAAUACAAUAAAGUGACAACACAUAUGGCUCCUGCCGUGUUGCCGUACGCGCGACACGCAGGUCACGAAUGAGUUACACACAUGCAUCACAUACACAAGGGGGCCAUACUGAUCACAAGAUACAUACAUACAUCCUGCAAAAGAGAGUUAGGCGUCCUAACGUUCCAAACUUCGGAGGCCCAAAACUCCAUCUUCCAAGCCGAAUUUGGGAAAUCUAAUCUCGCCGAAAAUGGCGAAGCGGUUGAAAUUCAUGUGUAACUUUUUCUAUAGAUCAAUUUUCGUAUAAAAAUCGCCCCGAUCCGAGAUCGUACCGAAAAGUUACGGCUGAUUUACCGAAGCAUACGCAUACGGCAAAAUCCCGACCCCGGCAGUAGAUCCCAUCUACUAUUGCACAUCUAAUGUGCCUGGCGUAUGACCCUGGAUCUCGAUUCGACCAAUCAUAUUGAUCUUCCCUCACUGCAACUGGAUUUACGUGUAUCACUUAACUCCGAUGGCGGAAACCGACCGGUAGGAGUAUGUCGUUACACUACCAUUGCAACAAGGGCACGAAACCAGGACAUAGAUCAAACUGAAAACUCGCAUAUCUCCAUAUGCACACAUCCCGAAUCCAAAACUAAGCAGCUACGGCUCUGAUACCACUGUUGGGAUACGAGGUAGGCUACACUAGCGCAAUUCAAAAAAAUCUACCGCGUAUAACCAGGAAGAACUGCCGUAUAAGGAUCACGGGAUUACCACUCGACGCACUACUGGUGCGGAAGAUGUAGAUAUGCGUCGAUGCAGUGAAGACGAUCACGUAGUCGUACGUAGUCGAUCAACGUAGUCGUACGUAGUCGAUCACGUCCAGCAGCUCCUCAGCAGCUCCUCCACGUGCAGCAAGAUCGCCUCCGGUACCGCGGCUCGUCGUCGGCUCGUCGUGGCUCAUCGGCGGCUCGUCGACGGCUCGUCCAAGUGCUGCAGGCGCAACACCUCCAAGGUAUCCACACGUGCAGGGAGGAAGCGUCGCAAGUCGGACUGCUAGAUCCGCGAGUUGCAACAGGCGAGGGCGUGGGAGGCGCGGCAGGUGUGUUUCGCCAAAAAGGUGUAAACCCUAGGGCGUCCCCACCCCUCUAUUUAUAGAGGUUCCUGAUGGGCCUCUGGAUCCGAGGCCCAUUAGUACUCCUAAACCUAAUCCAACUCGGAUCAGAUCCGAAUUGGGCUUUCAGCCCCUUAAGUGUGUGACCCUAUGGGUUCGGAUACGUAUAGACAUGGCCCGAGUACUCCUACUCGGCCCAAUAGUCGGUAGCGGCCUCUAGCAAGACGUGCCAACUCCUAUACGCACACGAAGAUCAUAUCAGACGAACCAUCACAACAUAAUAUACAUGCUAUUCCCUUUGCCUCACGAUAUUUGGUCUAGCUUCAAGCCGACCGCUCUUUCUUGAUCCUGUGAUUCGGAAUCCCUUUGUAGGUUAACUCUUAACCGUACGUAGCAUGGCCAUGCAUUUUCGGAUCCGAUCACUCGAGGGGCCCAGAGAUAUCACUCUCAAUCAGAGAGGGGCAAAUCUCAUCUUGACUGACCAUGUCUCAUAGCAUGCUUCUUGACAAACCCGAAAGCUACCUUUAUAACUACCCUGUUACGGUGUAGCGUUUGAUAGCCCCUAAGUAGGUCAAUCCACAUCUAGAAUACAUGCGACAAUCUCAGGUCUAAGGACAAAGCGUAUAUGUUAUUUUAAAGAGAGAACUACUUCUCGUGUUGGGUCAGUCCUAACACAUGUCUCCACAUGUGUCCACAUUAUUAGUUCAACAUCUCCAUGUCCAUGACUUGUGAAACAUAGUCAUCAACUAAUACAUGUGCUAGUCUAAUAUUCAUGUGUGUCCUCACAUGAACUCCAACUAGGGACAACUUUAGAAUAACCAUACAAGUAAAGAGUUUCACAUACAAUUCACAUAAUUGCAAAUCAAUUCAAGUAGCCUUUAAUGGAUAUUCAAUGAACACAAUAUACAAAUCAUGGAUACAAAUGGAAUAUCAUCAUCUCUAUGAUUGCCUCUAGGGCAUACCUCCAACAAGCUGAUGUAAAGAGAUCGGGCUGAUGUAUCUAGAACAACAUGAUGUCGGGCCAUCCAAUCCAUACCAAGGAUGACAUCUUCUAGGUCAAGGAUGAUAAGGUUUUCCUUGAAGAGGGUGGGACCUAGCUGGAGAGGUACAAGAAUAACGACCUGAUCUGACGUUAUCCUUCCUCCAGGAGUGGCAAUCACAUAGGGUUCCUUAGCGUGACCGACACUUAGCCCACAUCUUUCCCUUGCCUUACUCCCGAUAAAGCUAUGAGAGGCUCCCGAAUCAAACAACACAACAACAGCUUGAUUUAAAACAAGGAAAGUACCCGUCAUUACUGGCGCACCUUCGGGGAGCUCAGUCAAGCUGGUGUAGUUGAGUCGGCCUUGCCGGACUUGCACCUUGGGCCUUCUUCCUCUGGCUGCCAUGGGGUUCUGACCUUGCUGUGGAUUCUUGUUCCUGGGGCAGUCCUUCGCGAAAUGUCCUUCAUUGCCGCAGGUAAAACAACGAUUACUGGCUGCAGGGCGGGGUGGCGUUGGCAGGGUCGGCCGGGGCACUUGCGGUUGGAAGCCUGGAAAACGAGGCAUUGUCGCCGACGGGGGUCGGGCGAUCCAUUUCCCUGACGGCUGGGGUCGGCCAGGGGCUUGUGGAGGGAUCAUCCGGAACCUUCGAGUCGGUGGACUCGGAAAUGCCACAGAGGCUUUCCUCUUCUGGUCAGCCUUGAGGGCUUGCAUGCAGUCCUCCUGAGAGAUGGCCAGGUUGACCAACUCGUUGUAGGUGUCCACCUUGAUGGGGUUCAACCUUUCCCUGAGCUCCAAGCUCAGUCCUCGGCGGAAUCUGUCCUGCUUCUUCUCGUCUGUGUCCGCAUGAUAGCCAGCAUAACGCCAUAGGUCAUUGAAAGAUUGGGCGUAAUGCAGCACAUCCCGAGUUCCUUGGGUGAGGGCCAAAAACUCGUUGAGCUUGCGCUCCAGGAGACCUUCGGGAAUGUGAUGCGCCUUGAACGCCAUCUUGAACUCGUUCCAGCUGACCACGUGGCCAGCCGGCAGCAUGGCAUGGUAGUGGUCCCACCAAAGCCGUGCGGAGCCACGCAGCUGCUGAGCUGCGAACCGCGCCUUGUUGUGAUCGGGGCAUGGAGCGGUGAGGAGCUCGAACUUGGAUUCGAUUGUACGAACCCAUGCGUCAGCAUCGAGCGGUUCUUGUGUCUUUUGGAACAGCGGGGGCUGUGUCCCCAGGAAGUCCUCAUACCGCGCGAUAUGCGGCUGCGGUUGUGCUCUUCCACCAUGUGGCUGUUGUUGCUGUCCUUUCACCAGAUGCCUUAGCAACUCAGUUUGAGUUGCUAGGAUUGCCUCCAAUGGCGAUGGGGGCGGGGGCGGGGGAAGAUCCUGUCGCUGUUCACUACCGCUGGACACAGCACCAGACCUAGUGCGGUGCGCCAUCUGCAAGAGUUAACGCCCCAUUAAUUUCAUGACCUUAGGUAUACUCCAACAAAUGGAACGUAUGGAUUAAAUCCCUUAAUGCGACUCUUGCCAAUAGUGCAUCACACGUCCUCAUAGAGAAAGCACAUUCCUCUCAUUCUCAGCAUAGAUAACCUCUACUUGACCUGGUACUCCACUUCAGGCAACACAUGCCACAUACAGACUACAGACUCCUACGAUCUGAUCCACUCAAUCCAAGGGGUCGGACACGGUCCGUACUUGAAAAGGGUUGGACGAGGCGGAGACUGCCUCAAAGGGUCGGCGCACUCGGCCUCACAAACUGGGGUCGGCCAACUGAACAGAUCCUCAGAACACAGCAUAUGGUCACGGCACAACUUACUCAACCUAGCAUCCACGCCAUACAAAGAUGAGAAAGCUAUGCACCGGGGUUACUUUAUAUACAACGGUGUUUCAACACAGGGAGCACUCAACUCGAGGCUAACCUAUUACAACUUUUCCAAAAUCUAGGCUGCCGAGGAGUACAACAAAAAGAUGGUUCCCUGAGAACCCUUAAGCUACCAAUGGACACUAUGAGUCGGAGAAGGGGCGCCAUCUUCUUCUAUGUCCAUGUUGGACGCUCCCUCAUCUUCCUCAGGGUCCUCCUGUGCUUCGAGCUGCAUGUUGAGGGCAUGCAUAUCCUCGAGCUCGGCUUGGUGCUCCUCUAGGUGGGCAUUGGCAACUGCCAACUCCAUUUCCACCUCCAUGUUUUCCUCUGAGAGCUCUAUCAUGCCGUCCAUGAGGUCGGCAACUUCUCCUUCUAGCUCAGAGAUCCGAUCUUGCAUAUCGUGGAUCUGGAUACCACGCUGGAUCAGCUGGUAGGUUUGGCCUACCAUAUCUCUUCUUGCUGCCUGGAGGUGACCGUGGGUAUCUGCUGCCGUCCAGGCGAAAAGGGUCAUGGCUCUCCCCUGAAGCUCUAUCAACCGGUAGAGAGCGGCCAUGCACCGGAUGUUGGUGGAGAUGGUAACCAUGGCACAGGUGGUGGCUAACACCUCGAUGUUCCCGACACGGUCAAGCCAGGCCGGGUCCAGCCGGUUCCUGAAGGGGAAGAGGCCGAUCGGGUCUAGCGUGAUCUCCACGGGAUGCAGCUGACAGAACUGGGUGAGCAACUGAAGGGCGGCAGACUCCCAUGUAUCUUCCGGGGCAAGACCAUAGGCUAUUAUGCCCAGAGAGGGCCAGUCGGGCCGGGCAAGGGGAGGUGGUACCAACGCUUGCACCUGGCACGUCUGAAGGCCCUGUUCCAGAUAUAACCGCCCGGCAUACAAGGGCGGGGACUGAUACCCAAACCACUUCAGCGUAUCCCACAGAAUCGUGGGAAACCCCUCGAAAUGCAGGCACGUUGACUGGAAGGUACCGUCCGCUCCAAAAACAACAUGUCCGGGAGCAGCCAUCUGGAACCAAGAAAACCGGAAACCACGUGAGAUAAACUCCAAGGAUCAGGGGUCGGAUAGAGAAGCAUACGGGUUUAACCGAGAGCACUAAGAGAAACUAGAAAUCCUUAGAUCCAGAAGAACUCUUUUGAACAGGGUUGCUGUUGAGAAAGGGAACCGUACGACCUUGAAGAUGUGACACAUGCACGGCCUACCUUACUCUUAACCAAAAACAACUGCCCGAAACUCGGGUCUUACGCGGUCAGUGCCGGUGACAAGGCAACAAUACGUCUCUCCCUAUAAUAACUAGUCGGUUCUAGUAACGUCUCCUAAACGAACGCGGUUAGCAACCUGCAGAAAACACCACACACGAACCUUUCGUGCCAGCACCCACGAAAGCGUUCUCAAACAUUACCGCUCCCUAUAGGAACGGCACCCAUGCGUUUAAGGCUGCAUGGAUAGCACUCAACCGUGGAAAUAGGCUCCCUUUGAAUGGAUCCGUAUAACCCUUCGCAUACUCGUGAUGCGGAAUCGGCACACGUAUGACAAACGUGGCGAAACAACCGUGCUGAUAGGUUCGUUGGAAUCGAACCGUACCAACCUUCGUAUGGAACACAUACGGAACCUGCGCACGUGUAAUAGACGUGGGCGAAAACAACCGCGAAGAUAGGGUCCUUCGAAUGGAGCUCCCUAUCAACCCUCGCAUGCUCGUGAUGCGGAACUCGGCACACGUAUGAUAGACGUGGCGAAGUGCUGGAAGAGUUAGCAAAAUAACCAAAUAUUUAUUAGUCACCUAAAACAACCCCAAAAUCCCCUAGGGCCUCUCGCACUAAGUCAUCCUUAACGAUUGUACGAGAUUUUUCAAAAGUUUCUUGCAACUUUUAUCCCUUUCAAAGAAUGUUUAGGGCUUGUUGGGUUCUCUGAAAUGCUAAACACGGCUCUGAUACCAGCUGUGGCGGAACCACCUCGGAUUAGCUUGAUUAAGCAGGGUUAAACCGCCUAACAUGCGACACUCCUGCCUAAACCGAGUUAAUACGAAGUGCCGUCGGAUUUCAUCCGAUUUAACCACUUAAACAGGAUCGAGUUCAGCAAACCCACACGAAGGUGAGCGGUUACAGAGAAUACAACAAGUCCACUGAGUUGAACAAGUUUUACCCAUUUGGUUUGGCCAUAAAAUCCAACAUCAGAGUUUUACAAGUUUUCAAGGAAACAACAGAGAAAACACUAGCGGAAGACUUCGUCGGGGUCGGACAUCCUUGGUGAGGCCAACCGGGACAUCACUGGCUCCUUCCCUCGCCGUCCGAGGAAGGAUCCCACUCGACCGUCCAGCCUGGCGGGAGCUGGGGCGGCCAAGCACCAACCAGAGAGGGGUCGGAAGCAGCAACUUCACCUGAAAACAGGAGCCACAACAAGGCUGAGCUACUAAGCUCAACAAGACUUAACCGAUAGGAGGAAGGGCUACUCCUCCUUCUAGACAUGCAAGGCUGUUUGGCUGAGGGGGUUGUUUGCCAAAAGCACUAAGUAACCCUAUUUUCAAGUUUUAGCUCCGGUUCUAGGUUCAUUUACCAAUCUAGGUUGUGCCACCUAUUCUAAGCAUUCAUAGAAUCAAACAAGAUGUAUAGAUACAACAACAAACAUUGCCAUCAUCAGAUUCCUCAUUUACUCAGGGUGACAUAGCGAUCAAGCAAUCUCAAACUGUGAGAGGCAGACGAAUCGAUUCGAGUUCUUUAAUCAUGCAUGGUGAACCUAGCCUCACGACAUCCACGCACCCGGAGGUCGCUUCCUGUGUCGGCCUUCCCCAUCAAUCCCCUAACCCGUGUCGGGCCCAUUUCCUUUGGUGCAAGGUUCCACAGACCCGGCGUCUGCCAUUCUGUGACCACGCUUGCCACCACGUGCGACAACCAGCAGGGGAAACUCCGUUCCAAGAACAAUGGGGCGACCACUCACGUCUAGGUUCAAUCCGGUACUAGGCUUCCUCAUCCCAUACUAAGUAUGAGGCUAGUACUUUCAAACACUUGAUCACGAACACCACCACUGUCGGGCCUUAGCAAGAUUUCAUAGACAAACGGGGCAACCAUCCGACCACCAAAAAGUUACCAAAACCUUGCCCCGUCCAUCGUCCUUAUAGUUAUAACAGGAGAGUAAACAUGCAACUCCUACAACUCGCGAGAGACAGGAAAUCACUCGACUUCUACCGUCUCCUAGUUAAGCAAUGCAGCUACUCGGUCCAACAGCUAGUGCUCAGAUCACUGGGAUGUGCAAAUGCACAAGCAUGUUACAGAAGGCAUGCGCAAGUCUGGUAAAACACAUAGGACUUUCAUGCAACCGGGGCUUGCCUUCAAGCAAGGAGGACGGAAACUGCUCGACUUCGGGGGCGACUUCGGCUUCGGAGGACAGGAGCUCGGCUACAGCUUUUUCUUCUGGCGCCGGGUGAAGCUCGUAGAAGCCGUCGGCGAGGUGCAGCUCUACACGAAUGCAAUGCAGGGGUUAGCAUAGACAGUUACUUCAACAGCAACACUGGCUCGCCUGAGCCCAGAAACUCGCGACAAAGAGCAGGAGGUUAAGGUGGUUCGAGAGCUGAUGAUGAUCAAGAGGUAAGGGUAGGAAGGAACUAGUGGUCUGAUCCUUGAACUAGAGGAUGUGAUAAACUGGGGGUCCUUAGACGCAAGCGUUGAAGGGUUCCCAAGUUUUACACAUACACCCUCGAGUUGAAGAAAAAGAUCACAGCCAAGCCCUCGGGCGAGGCGGACAAGGGUCGGCGGAACAGACAGGGUCGGGCGAGACGAAACCGGGGUCGGGCGGAUAGGAGGGGUCGGGCGAGGCGGACUGGGGUCGGCAACUCACCUUCUUCCUGAAAGGAAAGCUUGGGGUCGGAACGAAGCAGACUUGGGCGGAGGGACUACGGUUUGAUCAGAAGCUAAGACCGGCGAUGCUCCGGCGGCGGCGCUGCUUCUUGCGGAUCACAAGAGAGCUUUUACGCAGCACGGAGGAGCAAGCUGCUGGGUGACUUGGAGAAGAACUGAGGGAGAACUGAGAGAAGAACUCCUCAAGAACUGGGUGGGUGGCGCUAGGAGCUUGAGCAGGGAGCUAGACGAGGCUGAAGGCAACGAGAGCGGAGGGAACUCCGGCGACGGGGGCAUUCCUUUUAUAGCUGCUGGAGCAGAGGAAAGGAAACGGCGCGGAGAGAGAGAAGGGGAGCGGCGCGAAGGCCGGGGAGAGGCAAUGGAGUGCUCUGCCGGGGCGGCGAUUGAGCAAAGAGGGCGGUGGUGCAGAACUCCGGGGGUGACGCCAGCAAUCAUGGCGUUCUGCCGUCAGGGUGGCGUAGGAGUGGGUAGACUGGUGGUUGAGAUUUGGCGGAAAGUGGGCGUCGUCGUGCGGAAGAUGUGAUAGAAGUGACCGGCUUAACGAAACUAGAAUCGAGGGCGCUCGGGUGAGAAGGCAGGCGGACGCGGGCGCGGGGGAGAGCGCGGAACAACAGAUUGUCGGGCGGCUUCGAACAGAGCGGGGGAAAGGAACUGUCGCGGCCGCGGUCGGGGUUGGCGGUGGAGGAAUCGUCGUGUAGCGGCGACCAGGCAGCGCAACUGUGGCUGAAGGGACGGAAAAGACGGGCGACAUUGGGCUCUGGGGCCGGGAUCUGGUGGCGUGAUGAUGGGCGCGGGAGGCGAGGUUCUGCAGAAAGGGGUGCAGAGGGCUUCCGCUGCCAUUGGGGAAAGGGGCGCGGGAACCCACUCGGUCGCUGUCCAGAGACAAAACUGAGCGGCAGGCGUUGGAGAAGACGAGCCACGAGGCAGGAAGACUCUGAAGCAGCCAUGCAACUCGAGUGCGGCUGUCGCGGGGGAUCUGGAAAAGAUCUCGCGGGUCCACCAGUGGAUAGAUCGGACGGGUGAGGAAGAUUAACAAAAUCUGACGGUGGGCUGAGCUCGUCGGGGUCGGGAGAGGAGCGAAGCCGGAAGGGGUUGGAUCUCAGGGGUCGGGACCGGCGGGAAACUGAGCACUUAGGUGCGGUCAAGCAAGACAGCUGACUAAGGUUAAGGGCUGCGAUCAAGACUAACUAGAAGGCUUAGGGGUCGGUCGUUACACCUGCACUAUGCGCAGGCCUUCAAUGAUCUGUGCCGAUACGCUGGGUAUCAUGCGGACACAGAUUAGAAGAAGCAGGACAGGUUCCACAGAGGGUUAAGCUUGGAGCUCAGAGAGAGAUUAAACCCAAUAAGGGUGAAUACGUACAACGAGUUGGUCAACUUGGCCAUCUCACAAGAGGACUGCAUGAAGGCUCUGGUAGCCGAGAGGAAGAGGAAGGCUCCACUGCCAACGCCCAGCCCACCUACACAACGUUUCAGAAUGGUUCCACCACAGGCACCCAGCCGACCUCAGCAGCCGGGAAGAUGGGUUGCCCGACCCCCACCAGCGGUAGCACUUCAUUUUCCGGGAUUUCAACCUCAGGCUCCGCGGCCGACCCUACCGCCACCACCGUGCCCUGCAAAUGGUAACCACUGCUUCACCUGCGGCAAUUUGGGGCAUUUCGCCAAGGACUGCCCCAGGAAUCAGAAUCAGCGCCAAGGGCAAAGCAAUGCGAUGCUCAAUAAAGGGAAGAGGCCCAAGAUGCAAGUUCGCCAAGGUCGGUUGAACUUCACCAAUGCAGCAGAGCUUCCUGAAGGUGCACCGAUAAUGACGGGUACCUUUCUUAUUCACAGUCUUUCAGCUUUGGUUUUGUUUGACUCAGGAGCCUCACAUAGUUUUAUUGGAAGAAAGACUAGUGACAAAUAUGGGUUAAAGGAAUGCCAAACAAGAGGAUCUUUUAGGAUAUCCACCCCGGGUGGGGUAAUCACAUCUGAUAGGAUGAGUGUCAAUGUGCCUAUCUAGCUAGGCCGAACCCUUUUUAAGGAGAAUCUUGUUAUUCUCGAUCUGGAGGGGAUUGAUGUCAUCCUAGGAAUGGAUUGGAUGACAAGGCACCAGGUUGUGUUAGAUAUUCCAGCCCGAGCUAUCCAUGUCAACUCACCCCACCAAGGCCCCUCUGUUGUCCAAUUGCCUCGCCGAGAAGAUGUGAAUUCUUGUGCGUAUCCCGCAAUUGAGACCCAAUUGAAGGACAUCCCUGUAGUCUGUGAGUACCCCGACGUGUUUCCCGAUGUUUUGCCGGGCAUGCCGCCCGAUAGAGAUGUGGAGUUUUCCAUAGAGUUGAUCCCCGGCACCGCCCCUAUCUCCAAAAGACCUUAUCAGAUGCCACCCGCUGAGUUGGCCGAGUUAAAAACCUAUUUGAAGGAUCUGUUGGAAAAAGGCUUUAUCCGACCCAGCACUUCACCUUGGGGUUGCCCAGCCCUGUUUGUGAAGAAGAAGGAUGGGAGUCUACGCAUGUGUGUGGACUACCGACCUCUCAAUGCGGUGACUGUCAAGAACAAGUAUCCACUUCCCCGCAUUGAUGUUCUGUUUGAUCAGUUAGCUGGAGCAAGAGUAUUCUCCAAGAUCGAUCUUCGUUCCGGUUAUCACCAAAUCAAGAUCAGACCCUGUAACAUUCGCAAUACUACCUUCUCCACAAGAUAUGGACUCUACUAGUACCUGGUUAUGCCUUUUGGAGUCACCAAUGCACCCGCUUACUUCAUGUAUCUCAUGAAUUCGGUGUUCAUGCCCGAGUUAGACAAGUUUGUGGUGGUGUUCAUUGAUGAUAUCCUAGUGUACUCGAAGAACGAAGAAGAACAUGCCGAUCAUCUUCAUGUGGUUCUUCAACGGUUGAAGGAUCAUCAGCUUUAUGCCAAGUUCUCCAAGUGUGAAUUUUGGUUAGAUAGUGUCAAGUUCUUGGGACACACUAUCUCUUGGAAUGGCAUAGCCGUUGACCCCAGCAAGGUACAGGAAGUCAUGGACUGGAAGCCUCCCACUUCAGUUCACCAGAUCCGAAGUUUUCUUGGAUUGGCAGGCUACUAUCGGCGCUUCAUUCUAGAUUUCUCCAAGAUAGCUAAGCCGAUGACCGAGCUGUUGAAGAAAAAGAGGUCAAAUUUGUAUGGAACGACAAGUGUGUAGAAGCCUUCAACACCUUGAAACACUUGCUAACCUCAGCCCCGGUUUUGGCUCAACCCGACACUUCUAAGUCGUUUGACGUAUACUGUGACGCCUCUGGCACUGGACUUGGGUGUGUUCUUAUGCAAGACAAUCGAGUCAUUGCCUAUGCCUCACGGGCGUUACGACCUCAUGAGCUGAACUAUCCGACCCAUGAUCUUGAGUUGGCAGCAGUGAUUCAUGCCUUAAAAAUAUGGAGACACUAUCUGAUGGGCACCCACUGUAACAUCUACAUCGAUCACAAGAGCCUCAAGUACAUCUUCACUCAGGCCGACCUCAACAUGCGCCAAAGAAGAUGGUUGGAGUUGAUAAAGGAUUACAAUUUGGAGGUGCAUUAUCACCCCGGCAAGGCCAACGUAGUGGCAGAUGCUCUUAGCCGCAAGACCCAUUGCAAUUGCUUGUUGGCAACCAACUUCACAGAGACUCUGUGCCAUGAGGUGGGAAAACUUAAUUUGGAAAUUGUCUCCCAUGGAACCCUCGGACACAUCUCACCCUUGAGUCUGCUUUGGAGGACCAAAUUGGGACGGCACAGUUAGAAUAUGAGGAAGUAAGGCGAACCAAAAGAAAGAUUUCAUGGAAGGAUGAGAGGUAUAAGCAAUUCUGACAGAAUGAGAAUGGGAGAGUGUACUUUGAGAACCGACUCAUUGUUCCGUCCGACCCCACCCUUAGGAAGCAACUCCUAGAUGAAGCUCAUCUCUCCAAGUUCUCAAUCCAUCCUGGCAGCAAUAAGAUGUAUCAUGAUCUCCGUCAAAUCUUCUGGUGGAGUGGAAUGAAACCUGAGAUUGCACGAUAUGUUUCAGAAUACGACACCUGUCAAUGUGUCAAAGCCAGCCAUUUAAAGGUAGCAGGUACCCUGCAACCCCUACCUAUUCCCUCUUGGAAAUGGCAAGACAUCAGCAUGGACUUCAUUGUUGGACUACCCCUUAUCGCAGCGGCAUGAUUCCAUUUGGGUGAUUGUGGAUCAUCUUACCAAGACUGCCUACUUUCUUCCGGUUCACACCACCUACACGGCCAAGAAAUAUGCAGAGUUGUAUCUUGACCGCAUUGUUUCCUUGCACGGUGUGCCUAGGACGAUCAUAUUUGAUCGAGGAGCUCAGUUUGUAGCGCGUUUUUGGGAACAGCUACAAGCAUCAAUGGGCACCAAGCUCAUUCGUAGCUCGACUUACCACCCUCAAACCGAUGGUCAAACUGAAAGGGUAAAUCAGAUCCUUGAAGACAUGUUGAGAGCUUGUGUCAUCCAUUAUGACAAAAAUUGGGAUAAGUGCUUACCAUUGGCAGAGUUCUCCUAUAACAAUAGCUACCAGACUAGCUUGAAGAUGGCACGAUUUGAAGCCCUAUAUGGUCGGAAAUGUCGGACACCGUUGAAUUGGUCACAAGAUGGUGAAAGACAGACCUAUGGCCCUGACUUAGUAGUAGAAGAAGAAGAACAAGUGAAGAUAAUUCAAGCAAAUCUCAAGGCCGCCCAAUCUUGACAGAAGAGUUACUCCGACACGAGAAGAAGACCCCUGCAAUUUGAUAUUGGUGAUCAUGUGUAUCUUCGAGUCUCCCCGACCAAAGGAGUGCAACGGUUUGGAGUAAAAGGGAAAUUGGCUCCCCGUUACAUUGGCCCUUAUGAGAUUGUGGAAAUUUGCAGACCCGUUGCUUACCGGAUCCAACUACUCGGGCAGCUCUCGGCCCUUCAUGAUGUUUUCCAUGUCUCCCAACUGAAGAAAUGUGUCCAAGUCCCAACUGAGAUCUUAGGGCAGGAGCAACUUCAAAUCGAACCCGACCUGACCUAUGCUGAGUACCCGGCCAAAGUUCUUAACCGUAAGGAGAGGCACACCCGACGACAAGUGGUGAAAAUGUACAAAAUCCUAUGGAAUAACCACACAGAGGAUGAAGCAACAUGGGAAACAGAAGAGUAUCUGAACAAGCAUUUCCAAGGUUUUCUUUUCAGCCAAGGAGGUAAGGACUGCACACCCCCAGUGGUCGCUCUUACACUCGAAUCUCGAGACGAGAUUUAUUUUAAGAGGGGUAGGCUGUAACGACCCUGGUCAAAUCAUUCGAGUUAAUCUAAAUUGGAAGCCCAAAUUCCUCUGUCUCAGCUCUUCCCGAGCAGGAGUGCUCCACUCCAGUUCCCGGUCCCGACCCUUGAAGACCCGAACCAACCCCGUCGGUUCCUUCUGAGUUCCCCGAGGCAGUGCUUCUUUCAAUCUUGGAGCUGUGGGACAACCGAGACUGAUCGGUGGACCCGCAAAUCUUUUCCCCGGAUCUCCCGAGGCAAACGCACUCGAGCGGCCUGCACCGCUUCAGAGCUCCCCCGCCGCGUGGCUCAACUUCUCCGACACCCGCCGCUUCGCCCAUUCGCCGGCCGCGACAGGAUGGAUUCUCGCGCCCUCCUCCCCAUUCGCAGCGAAAGCCCCUCUGCAACCCUUUCUGCAACGCCUCAUCUCGCUCGCGCCCUCGCCGGUCGUGCCUUGGUGCUCCGUCGCCGCUGUGGCAGAGCUUUGCCGCCUGCUGCGUCAAACCGCCUCGCGGCUCGCGCCCAUCAUCAUCUCACCAGAUCCCCGGCUGCAAGGCCCGAUGCCUUCCGGCUUUUCCGCCGCCUCUCCAUAGUCGCGCCGCCCACGAACUCGCUACGCGACGAUUCCUCCAUCGCCAACCCCGACUCCGGCCGCGACAGUUGUUGGUAUACGAGGUACGCUACACUAGCGCAAUUCAAAAAUUCUACUGCGUAUAACCAGGAAGAACUGCCGUAUAAGGAUCACGAGAUUACCACUCGACGCACUACUGGUGCGGAAGAUGUAGAUAUGCGUCGAUGCAGUGAAGAUGAUCACGUAGUCGUACGUAGUCGAUCAACGUAAUCGUACGUAGUCGAUCACGUCCAGCAGCUCCUCAGCAGCUCGUCCACGUGCAGCAAGAUCGCCUCCGGUGCCGCGGCUCAUCGUCGGCUUGUCGUGGCUCAUCGGCGGCUCGUCGACGGCUCGUCCAAGUGCUGUAGGCGCAACACCUCCAAGGUAUCCACACAUGCAGGGAGGAAGCAUCGCAAGCCGGACUGCUAGAUCCGUGAGUUGCAACAGGCGAGGGCGUGGGAGGCGCGGCAGGUGUGUUUUGCCAAAAGGUGUAAACACUAGGGCGCCCCCACCCCUCUAGGUUCCUGACGGGCCUCUGGAUCCGAGGCCCAUUAGUACUUCUAAACCUAAUCCAACUCGGAUCAGAUCCGAAUUGGGCUUCCAGCCCCUUAAGUGUGUGAUCCUAUGGGUUCGGAUACGUAUAGACAUGGCCCGAGUACUCCUACUCGGCCCAAUAGUCGGUAGCGGCCUCUAGCAAGACGUGCCAACUCCUAUACGCACACGAAGAUCAUAUCAGACGAACCAUCACAACAUAAUAUACAUGCUAUUCCCUUUGCCUCACGAUAUUUGGUCUAGCUUCAAGCCAACCGCUCUUUCUCGAUCCUGUGAUCCGGAAUCCCUUUGUAGGUUAACUCUUAACCGUACGUAGCAUGGCCAUGCAUUUUUGGAUCCGAUCACUCGAGGGGCCCAGAGAUAUCACUCUCAAUCAGAGAGGGGCAAAUCCCAUCUUGAUUGACCAUGUCUCAUAGCAUGCUUCUUGACAAACCCGAAAGCUACCUUUAUAACUACCCUGUUACGACGUAGCGUUUGAUAGCCCCUAAGUAGGUCGAUCCACAUCUAGAAUACAUGCGACAAUCUCAGGUCUAAGGACAAAGCGUAUAUGUUGUUUAAAGAGAGAACUACUUCUCGUGUUGGGUCAGUCCUAGCACAUGUCUCCACAUGUGUCCACAUUAUUAGUUCAACAUCUCCAUGUCCAUGACUUGUGAAACAUAGUCAUCAACUAAUACAUGUGCUAGUCUAAUAUUCAUGUGUGUCCUCACAUGAACUCCGACUAGGGACAACUUUAGAAUAACCAUACAAGUAAAGAGUUUCACAUACAAUUCACAUAAUUGCAAAUCAAUUCAAGUAGCCUUUAAUGGAUAUUCAAUGAACACAAUAUACAAAUCAUGGAUACAAAUGGAAUAUCAUCAUCUCUAUGAUUGCCUCUAGGGCAUACCUCCAACAACAGUUCCUUGUCCGCCUUGCCAGAACUGUGCCCGGCAAACCGCUGUUUCGCGCUUGCCCGCGCAGCCGCAGCCCACCUGUCUUUUCACCUGUUGCAACCUCGCUUGUAGUGCCGUUCUCCCUAUCACACCAAUCAGAUCCGCCGCUCGAUGAUGCCCACCUCCGCCAAAUCUCAACCCCGGCAAAAUCGCGCCUGCGCCGCCUUGUCUCCAGUGCCCAAUAGCCGAGGACGCUAUCUCCGAAGUCCUGUUCCGCCGCCCAUCGCCGCUCAAUUGCCGCCAUGGCAGUGCACUCCAUCCUUUUCUUCCGGUCUUAGUGCUACUCCAACUCUCUCUCUUCCGUGCAGCUAUAAAAGGGAAUGCCAGAGUCCUACUUGAGUUCCCUUCGCCAUCGUUGCCUUGCCGCCUUGUUCCUCUGUUUCGUGCUCGAGCGCCGCCACCUAAGUUCUUGAGGAACUCUCAUCUCUGCUCAACACCCGCCCCUCCCAAUCCACCUAGCCGCCUGCUCCUCCGCGCUGUGCUAGAGCUUCCUUGUUGCUCACAAGAAGCUCCACCGCCGUCGGAGCACCGCCGGACAUCGCCGCCACCCAAGCCUUAGUGCUUAAGACCUUCCGCCCAAGUCUACUCCUUCCCGACCCCAAAGCUUCACCUAUAAACCGAAGGUAAGCUGCCGACCCCUCACCGGUUCGCCCGACCCUAUCUGUUCGCCCGACCCCUUUUCCGUCUCGCCCGACCCUGUCUGUUAGCCGACCCUUAUCUGCCUCGCCUGAGGACUUGGCUGUAUCCUUUCCUUGGCCCGAGGGUACCUGUGUAAAAGAGCGGGGACUUCUCUACGUUAAUUCUGAGGACCCCCAGCACAGCUAUUCCUCUAGCUUAAGGGUCAGAUCAUAAGUUUCUUCCCAUCCGACCCUUUUAUCUUGCUCUCCACCAACUAAAGUAAACUUCCCCACAUUUUCUGUAGCCUUGCUGCAAGUGUCCGAGCUUAACUGCAAGUGUUGUUGAAAUAACCGUCUAAACACUAACUCCUGCAUUGCAUUCGUGUAGAGUCGCACCUCGCUGACGGCGUCUACGAGCUACACCCAGUGCCAGAAGACGGAGCUGUAGCUGAGCUACCAGUUCCAGAAGCCGAAGUCACCCCAGCUGAAGACUAGUUCUCCUCCCCUCCGCUUGAAGGCAAGCCCCAGAGCAUGAACCCCAAAUUUUUCCCAAACUUGCGCAUGCCUUCUUUCUCAUGUUUGUGCAUUUACGUAAAGGAGUUGUUUGCAACCUUAGAUGCAUGACAUAGUUCCUUUGAUCUGAACACUAGUUUGUUAGGCCGAGUAGUUGCUAUGCUUAAAUAGGAAACGGUAAAAGUCGAGUGAUUUCCUGUCACUCGCGAGUUAUAGGAGUUGGUUGUUUUCCUUCUGUUACAACUAUAAGGAUGAUGGACGGGGCAGGGUUUUGGUUAACUCUUUUGGUGGUCGGUUGAUCACCCCGUCUGUCUAUGAAAUCUGUUAAGGCCCGACAGUGGUGGUGUUCGUGAUCAAGUAUUUGAAAGUACUAAUCUCAUACCUAGUAUGGGAUGGGGAAGCCUAGUACCUGAUUGAACUAGGGCGUGGCUUAUACCCCUGCUGUCCCUGGAACGAGGUUCCCAUGGUGCAUCAUGUGGGUGCAAGUGCGGUUACAGUACGGUAGAGGCCGGGACUGUGGAGCAUUGCAUGCCAAGGGAAGUUUGGACCUGACACGUGCUUGGGAAUUGAUGGGGACGGCCGACAUAGGAAGCGACCCUUGUGGUGCGUGGAUGUCAUGAGAUUAGGUUCGCCAUGCAUGGUUAAGAAACUCGAAUCGAUUCAUCUGCCUCUCACAGUUUGAGACUGCUUGAUCGCUAUGCUACACUGAGUAAUGAAAGAGUCUGAUGAUGACAUGGUCUUGAUGAUGAGCUUAUAUACAUAAAGUUGGAUCUAUGUUUGCUUAGAGUAAGAUGCCAACGUAGACUGGUUAAUGAACUUAGAAGUUGAGCUAUAACUUGAAAGCAAGGACCUAACAUAGUCGCUUUUGGCAAACAAACCCCUCAGCCAAAGAGCCUUGCAUGUCUAGACGUGGUGGAGUAGUUUUACCACCGGUCGGUUAAGUCUUGUUAAGCUUAGCCGCUCAGCCUUGUUUGUGGCUCUCUUUUUUAGGUGAAGUCGUAGCUCCUGAGUUUGCUCCUGUUGGCACUUGGCCGCCCCAGCUCCCUCCGGGUUGGACGGUCGAGUGGGAUCCCUCCUCAGACGGCGAGGAAAGGGAUCACUGAUGUCCUGAUCAGCCUCAUCAGGAACAUCCGACCCCGGCGCUAGCUUCCGCUAUUUUACCUUUCCGCUGCUUUUGAAUCUUGUAAAACUCUGACUUUCGUUUUGAUGUUGAACUAAAUUGUCAAACUUGUUUAACUCAGUGGAUUUGUUGUAUUCUCUGGAACCACUCACCUUCGUGUGAGUUUUGCUAACUCGGUCCUGUUAAGUGGUUAAAUCGGAUGAAAUCCGACGGCACUUCGAGUUAACUUGACUAAGGCAUGAGUGUCGCGUGUCAAGCGACUUAACCGUGCUUUAAUCAAGGUAAUCCGAGGUGGUUCCACCACACUCCUGCAGGAUGUAAAUCAGUCCGGAUCGCCGCAAUUCUCGGAUAUGAAUGCACUUGAUCAUUGCUUAAGCAUCGUAGUGUAACAAAGAGAAGGGAACCGUUGCUUUUGAAUAAAUAUGUUGAAUGACUUAGUUCCAUCUGGUUGAUAAAAUAUUUUUCAUCAUCUAGACUGGUCAGGUAACAGACUCAAUCUGAAAUAAAAGAUAAAACUAAGGUUUUACAUAUGGUAAGCUUUUUCGGCAAAAUGUGAGUCAGCGAGUACACCAUAAAGCCAUCAUACAGUAUGACAGAAAUAUUUAUAUUGGUUAGACAAGUCAGACUUGCUGAGUACUUUGUACUCAGGGGAUCCUUUGUUGUUGUUUUCAGAAACCCAGCAGGGACCCACCGAGGAGGAAGCACCGAAGAACUAGGGUAUCUUAAGAGUCUCAUGAUACCCUAGAAUAAACUUAGAUGUUUAAUUACUUACCUCGGACUGUUUUAUAUUUUAAACUCUUAGCAAUGGUUUAACUUGCACUGUUAAGUUUCCUCAAUCUAUGGUUUGUAAAUCGUACCUCGGUUAUGUAUGUAAAAAUGUAAUAUUUGUUGAUGCUAUCCCAUCGUGGAAGCGGUCCUGAUGUAUGGCUAUGGAACACCCUAUGGAGGUUUUCAAGGAGUUCUGUGAACAGAACCCUUGAUGGACUACCAGAUUUACACUAUUUUAAGUGCGUUUUGGAUAAUUGUUGUUCUGACAGCAAUUAGGUGCACUUAAGUCAGUUUAAGUUGGGCAGUUCCACCAUAGCUGGUAUCAGAGCCAUAGGUUGGGAUAAUCAACAGAUAUUACUAUUUAAAAAUUGAGACUCUAUUUUAAAUAAAGAAAACGUGAGUCUUAGGUGGCAGUAGUAUUAAUUGGUUUCUUGUUUUGCAGAUGCUAACUGUUUGCUGCGUGUCGCUAGUAUUCGGUAGCAUAUUACUAGGGAGGGAUUACGAUGCCAUCAAUUUUCCUACGAGUGUGUAUAUGAGUCUGAAAGCACGUAGGAAUCGCUGCAUCAUAAUUGCAUAGCAUGUUUUAAAAACUUUUGGGUUUGGUGACUGUCGUUAGACCUAAAACCCGUUCCGUGCGUUAGAAGUUAGACGUGGUCAGGACCGGUGCAAACAGGGGACCGAAGAAGAAAGUACCAAGGAAGAUGAAUAGACCUAGAAUCCUUUGAUGCAACCAGCUUCACUAUAAUACUAUGGAAGGACAAAAGAAUGAAAAUACUUCGGGAACGAGUAAGCCAAGGUGAUGUUACUUGUUUUACCCAGAAUGAAAAAGGGGUGCUCUAUUUCAAAAACUGAAUAGUAGUACCCAAGAAGAUGGGCUUGAGAAAAAAGAUCCUAGAUGAAACUCAUUUGUCAAGAUUCUCUAUCCACCUUGGAAGUACUAAGAUGUAUCAAGACCUGAAGCAAUGCUUUUGGUGGACAAGGAUGAAGAGGGAAAUAGCCAAGUAUGUAUCUGAAUGUGAUACAUGCCAAAGGGUGAAGGCCACACAUCAGAAAUCAGCUGGCUUAUUGCAACCCUUAACCAUUCGUAAAUGGAAGUGGGAAGACAUUUCCAUGGAUUUUAUAGUAGGAUUGCCUACUACCUCAAAGGGGUAUGAUUCCAUAUGGGUUAUCGUGGAUCGACUCACUAAGUCGGCUCAUUUUAUUCCUGUCAAGACUACUUACCGUAUGCCAGUUUAUGUGGAACUCUAUAUGUCUCGAGUAGUGUCAGCACCUCGAACAUGUCAACGCCUCAUGGCUCCACAUGGCAGCCACGUGGCCAUCUAGUCUACAUGGCACUGCCACAUGGCGCACACGUGGUCGUCCCCAGCCGGCCGGGAUCCAUGUGUCGGGCGGAUCCUGUGCGUGUGGCGGAACUGCUCAAAUUAACUUGGCUAAAGCACACUUAAGUCGCCUAACACACGAUCAUGUACUUUAAUCAAGUCAACUCGGUAGUCCGUCGGAUUUCAUCCGAUAAACCACUUAUCACAGGAUCGAGAAAGCAUAGCUCACACGAAGGUGAGUGGUUACAGAGAUUACAACAGUCUAUCCAUAUUAAACAAGUGCAUCAAAUUGCUACAACAUCCAGUUUGAAAUUCAAACAUAGUUUGCAGAGUUUCAAGCAGCAGAAAUAAAUAAGCGGAAGCUAACGUCGUUGUAGGAUAUCAUGACGAAGCCGAUCAUGACAUUAAUGAUCCCUGUCCUCACCGUCCGAGGAAGGAUCCUACUCGACCGUCCAUCUCGGAGGGAGUUGGGUGGGCCAAGUUCUACUUGCAGCGAGCUCAGGGGUAACAACAUCACCUGAAAAGAUGUGCCACAAGCAAGGCUGAGCAACUAUGCUCAACAAGACUUAACCGACGGGUGGUAACUACAUCCACCAACACCUAAACAUGCAAGCUUUUUGGUUUUGGGGUUUGUUUUUGCCAAAAGCGACUAGAGUAGGUCUUUACUUUCAAUAUUUUAGCACCAUGUUCUAGUUGAUUAACCAUUCUAGGUAAGCAACUAUACUAAGCAGGCAUAGCUUUUCAAGCAAUUAAUAACAAGUAACAACAUUUAAUCAUCGUCACAUUCCUUUCUUACUCAGUAUAGCAUAGCGAUCAAGUAGUCCCAAACUGUGAGAGGCAGACGAAUCGAUUCGAAUUUCUUAACCAUGCAUGGUGAACCUAAUCUCAUGACAUCCAUGCACCACGAAGGGCCGCUUCACUUGUCAGCCGUCCCCAUCGAUUCCCAGACCUGUGUUGGGCCCACUUCCCUUGGUACAAGGCUUCAUAGACCCGGCCUCUGUCGUUCUAUGACCGCACUUGUCACCACAUGCAGCCACAAGGGAAACUCCGUUCCAGAGACAGUGGGGCGAUCCACUCAUGUCCUGGUUCAAUCAGGUACUAGGCUUCCCAAUCCCAUACUAGGUAUGAGAUUAGUACUUUAAAACACUUGAUCACGAACACUAUCACAUCUCGACCUUAGUCAAUUUCAAGUAGACAGACGGGGCAAUCCACCGACCACCAAAAAUAGUUCACAGAGCCCUGCCCCGCCCAUCGUCCUUACAGUUGCAGCAAAAGAAAAGGGCAUUCAACUCCUAUAACUUGCGAGUGAUAGGCAAUCACUUGACUUUUACCGAGUCCUAUUAAGCACUGCAACUACUCAACUUAAUAUACUAGUGUUCACAACAAGGGUACUGAGUUCAUGCAUCUACGAUUUCAAUCAACUCCUGGAACAUAAAUGCACAAUCAAGCAAUCAAUUGUAUUUCAAUAUUUAAAGAUAGGAAUUCAUGCUCCGGGACUUGCUUUCGCACGGGGAGUUAGCGAACUAGUCCUCGGCUUGCUCUGGUGCAGGCUCAGCUCUGGCGUGGUGCAGAUCUGCUACGGCUUCUUCUUCCGGCGCUGGGUGCAGCUUGUACGUGCCGUCAGCAAGGUUCACUUCUACACGAAAUACAAAUGCAACAAGUUAAAUUUUCCAUGCUUUCACAUGCAGGAUGCAAAACAUGAGUUAUUGCCGGAGUAUAACUUACAUUUUGACCACAUUCACCUAAACAAGGUUCUAAACUUUUAUUAUCUUCAUGAGGUAAGGUGUGUUGUGGCAUAAAACCCGGCGUUGAUUUUAAUGGAGAUUGUGUACACAUAUAUGUGAAACGAGUUGAUUAACUUCAGAUUAGAAAGUUUGUUAAGUUUCUGAAUGUUUUUCUGUACCUCUUUCGAAAAUUACCAGUAUCAUUACUCAAAGUUUCUUUCAUCCAUUUAAUUAGGUCCAUCUUCCAAAUUUUAUGUCAUUAUCCAAACAGCAAGCUAUGAAGCUACAAAUUUAACAGCAACUUAACUUUGUCAUAGAUAAGCUACUGCAUAAAUUUGAGAUCCAUUGGAGGUGUAUAAAAAGAAUUAGAAUUACUUUAUUACCCUAAGGUAGCAUAUACUUAAACAUUUUUAAAACAUAAACCAUAACGAAACUGGUCAUGAAAUUUUAACAGUGAGUUAUAUGGGUGAUACAAAGCCUUUGGAGAAUUUUUCAUGAUUUUUAAUGAAGGACAUCUAUUUCACAUAUUUACCUCAUUUAUCUUUCUCUAAAAAGGAAAGUGAUUUUCUUUCUGCUUCUGACCAGGUUCUAUAACUUUCCAACAAACUACACUACACCACUGACCUAUUCCAAUUUGUUUCACAUUUUUAUCAUCUCUGGUUUAAAAAUUGUGCAAAAGAUUGUAGUUAUACAACUAGAACAGAGACUUCAACUUCUGAGCUAGGCUCCAAAUCAUUUUUCCAAGAUUCUAUUCUCUGAGACAAGCAAUUGAGAGUUGGAUUUACCUUUUUAGCAUUUUUCUGUGAUUUGCUAUGAUUUAAAUAGCUCAAACAAGGAUUAAAACAUAUAACAUUAAUUCUAACAGAGACAUGUGCAAACUUAUUUUUAUAUGAAACGACACACAACACUGAGUCUAACAAAAUUCAUCUUGCAUUUUUAUCAUUUUUACACUUUUCUAUGCCUUUUCAAAGUUUUAGCCUUUUUAGAUCUAGGAAAAAAAAAGAAAACCGAGGCAAACUUGCAAUCUAGCCCUCAAGUCUAUGGUUUAAUCACGUAAAGGUCCCUGGUUUUUGCGCCUACACCCCUGGACAGAUUCCCACCUUAAACAUAACUCCUGAACAUUAUCCCAUAACCCCCUAGACUUCUAUUCUUCUCAAAACUCACUGAUAUCUUCUUCCUUGGAACAGAUCGCACAGGCACAGGAUUGUCACACAUGGGGGCACACGGCCGGCCGGGGAGAGGGUAAAGAAGGUGUGGCGGCGCUAGGGGAGGGGGUGGUGCCAUGCCCAGGACAAGGGGUCUCCUUGGUGCGGCACAGGUAGGGAGGAAAGGGGCGGCACACAACAUCAUGGUUAGGAGCUCACCUAGGUUCCGUUUUAGCUGUUGGUUGUCGAUGAGGAAGGCCGGAAGGGGGCGUUCACGGUGAGGGUCAUGGCUGCAAUUGACAGUUUCUGAUCGGAGGAGAAACUUGGAUUCCCGACCAAGGGAUGGACGGCGGGCGAUGAGGAGAGGCUGAGGGUGGAGCCAAGGGAGUGUAGAAGCUUAGGGCGUGAGGGAUUUGGCGGAGGCGGAGGCGGAGGGAGCUGGCCGGAUUUCGCCGGGGAACAGGAACCUCUCGAGUUGGCUGUUUGGGGCAAAAAUGGAGGAAGGCUUGGUUUGGGGAGGCUCUGGCUUGGAGGAUAAGGCCGGCUCAAGGCCUGGGGGUGGUGCAAGGAUAAGAACGACACGACAAGGCGUCGGGGGCACGCUGGACGGGCAUUGGCGGAGCGGCUGUGACGCGGCAGCCAUGGCGUGGUCAUGUGCAUGCGGCGAGGUGCUGCGGCGAGGCACGGUAGGUGAGGUGCUGCAGCGAGGUGCGGCAGGCGAGGUGGAGCGUCGACUGGUUAGCGCGCGGGCGCGGGUUGGGCGAUGGGGGUGGCGCGGGCGAGCUUGCGCCACGGGGCGGGCGACAUGCAGCACGCUCUGGCGCGUGUGCUCUGGCGCAGGGCGAGAACGCGGGACAGUUGCAGGGCCGGAGUUUUGGGGCAAAAUUGCACGCGAUUUUUGAACUAAACCACGUUGGCUCCCUUUACAAAAAUUGUUUUCCUAACAACCGAGUUCAAACUUUACUAAAGGUUUUUGCCCAGAUUUCAAACGGAUUCAGAGAUAAAAUGCGCCAAAGUUCGUAAAAAUUGAAACUUUCAGACUUAGGCGCUUCAGCCAUUUUUGGAUAGUGUUCACUAUUUUAGCUGUGUUUGACCUUGUUUUUGAAAACCUUUUGUGCAGAUGUUGGCCUAGCUCCAAUAAUCAAAGUGGUUAAGGACUUGUAGCACUAAAAAUUUUAUAAAAAGUCUAUUUUGAGUUUACAUUAAAAAUUGUGAGAUAAAGGGCUUCAAAGUUUGGGUUUUUCAUGUUUUUCACAAUUUGGCACAUAUUUGAAUUUCAAGUUUUUGAAAGCCUUCUGCUCAGAUUCAAACAAAACGCCAAAAACAAAAGUUGUUAGAAAAGAUGAGUUUAACAACUCUUAGUUGGACAAAAUUUCAGGUUCUUAUAUAAAAAUUUAAAUUAUGGCUUAAUCAAUUUUUAAGCUCUUAGGGGUCAAAGUUGACCUUUGACUCGGUUAAUUUGCUGCUAAAAGCUUCACUUAGGCUUAAAGAAGGUUUAGUUAACCUAGGGUUGUUACAGUGCACUAUCGGCAUGUGGCCACGGGUGUGGCACAGGCCUGAUUGGCGGCGACGCAGCGGUGACCGCGCCCACAACGUCGUGGUGUCACGGCGCAGCUGCUGCGCGUGCGCGCGGGCAUGAGGCAGUCCCCGACCGCGGCACGACCACGGCGGCAUGCGGGGUCCCGGUGUCCUAGGCCCGUAGCGGCUGGUAGCAAGGUGAACGGCGGAGCUCCUACCAUGGAUCGAAGGCUGGGCAUACGACAAGCAAACAAGAGGAAAGAGAGGGGCGGCGAGGCUCACUGCGGGAAGAUGGCAAAGGCGGGCGGCGUCGAGCGGCGAUCGACAGCUCCGGCUCCUUCAUUAGAUGCCCCUCUUCUUUUUCUUCUCUUCUACUUCCCCCCUCCUUCCCUUUCCUCCUCUUCUCCUACUCCUCCCUCCUCCUCUACUCCUUCCCUCUUCUCUCAUCAGGUGGUCGAUGGCGCAAGGGCGAAGCCCCAGGUGGAUGGCGAGGAGAGGCCCCGAGCGGCUCUACUUAUAGGGGAGAGACGGCUGGAGUUCCGGAGGGAGGUUGCGGCUUUAGGGUUUGGGGGCACAACGUCGGUGAUGUGGACGGCUAGGAUGUGGCAUCGCACGGUGCGGGUGACGUGAUGGCCAUCCGAGGCUGCUAGCGCAAAAGCAAGGGCGCAGGCGAGGUCACGGGGCGCACGUGAGGUGCGCGUGAGCGGGUCCGGCGCAGUAGCGAGAAAGAAAGAGAGGGAGAGCGGGGCGCGGGUGCCGACUGCGGGCUAGGCCAGCUGGCCGGUUAAGAGGCCUGCUGGGCUGGUCGUCGAGCUGCGCAGGCGACGCGGUAGAGCAGGCCAGGUCGGCUGUCUGGCUGGGCCGGGGCGAAGGUGGGUGAGGGUGAGGCGCGAGCGGGCCAGGGCGGUGGGCUGCGGCUGGCCUGGUUGGUUAGGAGGGUUAGAUAGGUUUUGUUUUUAUUUAGAUUUAGAUUUAGUUUGAGUUUUGAAUUAGAUUAAAAAUUCAAACACACACUCAAACAUGAUAUCCACAUAAAUUCUAAAAAAAUCCAAAUCAUUCCACACAAGUUUUGAAAUGGAAUUUUGGGAUGAGAGGAGAAUUUGACUACCAUUUUCAAAUAAGCACACAAUUCAAAUAAAAGUUUUAAAUUUUUGAAAAUUUCACUCAAAUAAAUAUUACAAAAUUCUGGAAUAUUACAAACAUAACCACUUCACCUCGUACCCCGAGAAAGCUAUACAAAGCUUAACACUCCUCAACAUCUGAGAAAUUCGGUUGGAACGAAACUCUAGAUUUUUCGGACUGUGUGAGUCCUCCUUGAUUUCCUUGGUGGCAAAAAUAAAAAAGGAAGUGGCUGCUUGGGUAGGGGCAGGGCAAAAAACCUAACGGAACUUUUAGCGCAGUAAUUUUUUUGUUACUCUCUACCUAUUAGCCAGCUUGUAACUCUUCUUCUUUAUCAAUAAAAUAGGCACAAUCUUAUACCCAUUAAUUUUAAAAAAAGAGAUAAAAGCUAACAAUGUUUUCCAUGGAUGGAAACAUUAACGUAAGAAGAUAUACAAGUAACAACCUAUUUGAGACUUCAGUAGUGUUCAUACUAUACCAUACUAGUAGUAACAGUAGCAUUAAGCAGCCAGCUUACAUUGAACAGCAGAGCACAAUACUUGUGUCAGUAUAAAAAAAGACUUGUGUAAGGCCAGCUACACAAGUUAGCUCGCAUUUCAUAAUUAAGUUUCAGAUUUCGUGCAAGGCCAGAUACUUUAGCACUGCACUCUUGAUAAGCGGCGGUCCGCGUGUUUGGUUUCCUACAUCGAACCAGAUCCUCCAGAAUACAUUCAUCCAGGUUCCAGAAAUAUGCCGUCCAGAUGGCUGAACCAUCCUGUGCGUCCAAAACUCUCGAACCACGCCGUCUAGGACAGGCCGAGCAUGAUCGAGAGGCGAACUAUUCACUGUCCGCCUUCCCCUCCACUCAUUAGUCUUUUAUGUCAAUUUAUUUAUCUAACAAAUUUUAUUUGUUUUCUCAUUGUAUCAGAGGUAAAGUUACCACCUAUAGUAAGGAGGUUACCAUACCCUGAUUCAAUCACGUAACCAAACAUGAUCUUGUACCAUCCUGUAUCAUCCUAUUCAAGUAACCAAAUAAAACCAUGUACCGUCCCAUUCAGACAACCAAACAUACAACUUGUAUCAUAUCAUUCAGAAUCAUUCUAUCCAGGUGAACCAUCCCAUACAUGUUCCACUUCAUUCAAGUAACCAAACACUACCCAAGAGAUCCAUUAUUCAUCAGGAUAAGCUAGGAUCGCAGGGGCUCGUUGCGGCUGUGGGUGUGGACCACCAUCUCUUCCUAGCUACCCGCCGCUGGCGGCCGGCGAGUGCAAGACUGGUAGGUUUAGGUAGUGUUUAGUUACUCGAAUGAAGUGGAACAUGUAUGGAAUGGUUACAUUAAGUAGCCAGCUUACAUUGAACAACAGAGCACAGUACUUGUGUCAGUAUAAAAAAGACUAGUGUAAGGCCAGCUACACAAGUUAGCUCGCAUUUCAUAAUUAAGUUUCAGAUUUCGUGCAAGGCCAGAUACUUUAGCACUGCACUCUUGAUGUACCGAAAGGAAGAUUAACAUAUAAGUACAAUACCGAAGUAAUGACUAUGGAAAUAGGCUUAGAAAUACAACUGGAAGCUAGGUACAGUGCAAUAAACCUUAGUGCCUCAUCAUAGCUCCGUUAGCUUCCAGGAAAGUAUAAUGCUGUAUUUGCAGAGAAAAAAAAAAUCACCUUCUAGUGGUGAUCAAGUACGCGAGAUUCUUGCAGUUGCAAUAGAAACAUCUGCCAAACCGGUCCCAUUUGACCACAAUAGCAGCUGCAAAGCCAACGCCGAAGCCAAGCCCAACGAAGAGAAACAAAACCACAUCAAUAUGACGAGAAGACUUGUGCCCAUGUGCCACACCUGGAGGGUGAGGUGAACUACCACAAGGAAAUUUUGGCAAUUGCAGCCCACACAAUCCAGCAUUCCCUUCAAAUGAGCUGCUGUCAAAUGUAGAGAACUGACGUGACUGCGGUAUCUUCCCCACCAAGUGAUUGCAUGACAAGUUUAGGGAGCCAAGAAAGGUGAGAUCAGUUAGCUCUUGUGGAAUGUCCCCUGAGAGUUGGUUGCAGGACAGGUCUAGUGACUCCAAAUCAGUCAUUGCUUCGAAGUUGGGCUGGAAUUUUUCCAGUGAAGGCAUUGUGUGACAGAUUCAGUACGCGUAGUGAUACAAGGCUUCCAAAUGUUUCAGGAAUAGUACCCUCCAAACUAUUUUUUGAGAAGUCAAUUGCUGUUACGGUAGUCAUUCCAAAUCGCAUAUCUUCCCCCUUGUACAUGAUCUCAAUAGAAUAUUGAUAGAAACGUUCUUCUCCGUGUAAGGUGUUUAGAGUUUCGAGAGUUUUCCCAGAACUAUUAAACUCUGCCAUCAUUGACUUUAACUGCUUGAACCAUUGUGGCCUCAAAGUACCAGAGAAGUUGUUUGAGGCAAGAUCGAUAAUUUGCAAGCUAGGGAAACAUUCCUCACAUUUUGUGUCCCCAACAAUAUCACCUAUGGUGCCAUACAUUUGGUUUGAUCUCAGGACGAGUACAAAAAGCUUGGGAAGCCCCCUCAACCAAGGAAAAGCAUCAGCUAUUUUGUUGCUUCCAAAGUCUAUAACCUCCAAGUCUGUACAGUUAGAAAGGCCCCUAGGAAGCCUCCCUUCGAUCUUAUUGCCAUGUAAAUCUAUCGUCUGUAAAUGACAUCUUGUUGUUAUAUUGGAAGGCAGCAUCCUUUGCAAGCGAUUCUGCCUCAAAUUUAAAACACGUAAGUGGAUAUUUUCUAUAAAACAAGGUGGAAUCGGGCCAUUAAGGUAGUUAUAUGAUAGAUCAAGGGCAUCCAGCUCUGUGGCAUUGCAAAUUGAGGGAGAUACAUGGCCGUGUAUAGGGCCAGAAAGCUGGUUGAAAGAGAGAUCAAGGUGAGUUAAUAUAGGAAGACUGAAAAUAGAUGGUGGAAUCUCCCCUGGAAGGACAAUAGAAAACAUUAAGUUAGAAAGUGUUUCCCCUUCUACAAAUUGAAAUCAGAAGAUGCUACCUUCUAUUUUGUUCAGAACAUGAAUACUUGACCCUUUCUCAAGAAAAGUAAAAGUUGAUAUCGUACCAUAGAAAUAUAUAUCCCAAGUUUAUUUAUUUUAUUUUGAGAAAAUUGCAUUACUAGUCUCUAAAUAAAUGGCCAAAACUUGUGUGGUAACCUCGCCGACCCUUGCACUUGUUGCAAAUUACUUUCCCAACCCCCUCAUCUUUGUUGUGCCACGUGUUAGGCAAUGGUUCGAUGCUGGUUCAACUCAUUAAUUUGCUAAUAGUGGGGUGGGUGAGAUUAGUGUGCAAGUUUAAGGACUACCGGAAGAAUUUAGUGCACCUACGGACCAUAGAAUUUCAUAAUCGUAGGACCCAUGAAGCUGAAAUGAUCCGGACCCAUCAUGGAUCAUAAUUUUAUGGUAUUAUGAUUUAUGAUACCCAGUGUAUAGUCCUGUACCAUCAAAAUGAAUUGGUAAGAUCACUUAUAUAGGAUCCCCAUCCGAACAUCAAAAUUUGUUAAUAUCUGAAAUUAAGUAAAUCCAUGAGUAAUUAUAUAUGUUUCUUCAGUUUAAUUCAACAUCUUUUACUCUUUGCAUGACAUCUGACCAUUAAUUGUUUUAAAUUAUGAUUAGAUAAUGUUUGGAGUUAAGUUGAAAUGUAGAAUUGACAUUGACAUGAAUAAGUGGACUUGAGUUUACAAGAAUUAAUAAAUUUAUAAAAAAUAGCAUUGUAGAUUUCUUUUCAAGAACUUGUUUAACUUUUUAAUAUAUGCAUUUUUUACUCAUUACGCUGCAAAAUCCUCCCCCAAAGUUCUUGACACAAUGUCAAACUCAUUUGUUGUGUUUAACCUCUUGCAAUGAUCUAUAUAAGCUGCCAGCUUUUGUAUAAGAGGGCCGGGGUUAGAGAAGUAUAUCGUGUCAACUGCACCAAUGAAGUUAUUUUAGAGUAAACUAGAGCAAAUGAGAAGCUUUAUGAGCCCUAAUACCCAUUUAAGAUUUCCAUUGUUAAUUAUUUUAGUAUUCAACAUUGAGUCAACUUUUCUAAAUAAAAGUUGAUUAGGCUUUUACACAUAGUUUGAAUCAUAGUUAAAUGAUUUAGAAUGAUAUCCAACUUGAAUCAUAAAGUAUACAUUUAGAUGUUUCACAUAGUUUGGCUUUUCUAAAAGUUAAAUGUUUAAAUGAUAUCAUUUAUACUUCAAUAUUUACAAUUAAAAUAUGGAUAAAUUAUAACUCGGUUUUCCCUAAUUAUUGAUAAAAUGACCCAUGUCAAUAUGAAUGUGUUUUCUAAAUAAACUUUGUCUAGCCCAACACGACAGAUGUAUUAAUUCGAUAAGAUGUGUUCAUCUUUCUAAAGUUAAGUGUGUAAUGGGUAUAAUUUAUACAUGAACAUUUAUGAAUAAAAUAUGAUAAGGUUUUACCUCAGUUUUUGUAAAUAAAGUAUAAUUUGCAUUAAUUCCAACAUAGGUUAUUUUUCUUUCUAUAGUAUCCUUCACAUAUGUUUUGUUAAUUAAAAUAAACUGGGUGUGACAAGAGCAAUCUUGGUUCAAAUCCUAUAUACUGCACAUGUGCAUAUUUUGUGUGAGAAAUUGUAUGAUGUGUGACAGCUAGAAAUUUGCUAGCUACAUAUACCUAACUUUUUAUGCGCGGGUGCGGCUGACUAGCUUCUCCAGAGCAAGCAGACUCAUGCCCCUCCAGGUGUAGUUUGGUCAAGGAGGGAGCAGAGGCGCCGGCCACCUCAGAAAUCUGUCACGGUUUAACUUGUCACUUGUGGCAUGUCGGGCGUAGGGCUAUGUUUUUUUUAACUAAAUAGCACAGAAUGGAUAAUACAGCAUUUUGCAAUCGCAAAUAUGUGUGCGUUUGUGGGUAGGGGUAUUGUUACGUACCGUUGAGAGAAUUAAAAGAAAGAUCCAGCAUUGUUAGCUGGGUCAAAUUAACUAUUGAGCUUGGUACGCUUCCGGAAAAAUUGCAAACUCGAAGAACCAAAUUUGUGAGUUCACCAAUUGCAGCUGGCAUUGGUCCUGAAAACCCACAUGAUACUAUAUACAUGUUUCUCAAAUUUGUGAGUUGCCAAUUGGAGCCGGCAUUGAACCUGAAAACCCAGAAUGCUCGAUAUACAUGUUUCUCAAAUUUGUGAGCUUGCCAAUUGCAGGCGGCAUUGGUCCUGAAAACCCAACAUCCUCGAUAUACAAGUUUCUCAAAUUUGUGAGUUCACCAAUUGCAGCUGGCAUUGGUCCUGAAAACCCAACAUCCUUGAUAUACAAGUUUCUUAAAUUUGUGAGUCCACCAAUUGCAGCUGGCAUUGGUCCUGAAAACGUAGAUAAUAUAUGCAAGUUUCUCAAAUUUGUGAGGUUGCCGAUAGAAGAUGGCAUGGAGCCAUAUGUUGUGCAAUCAUCCAUUGCAAGUGUUUGCAAGCCCGUGAGGUUUCCAACUGCAUGAAGUACUGGCCUAGGGAGGUUGCAGUCUUGGAUUUUCAAGUUUUUCAAGUUCAUGAAGUUGCUAAGUAAGGUAGGCGGUACCCCAGAGAAGUUACAUCCAAAGAGUCCCAAACUUGUUAGGUUUUUGUGCUGGCCAAUCCAUGAGAAAAUUGGACCUAAGUCGCUUCCUGAGUCCAAAUCGUGGUCCAACUCAUUAUCCAAAAAACAAUCAAGGUCCAACUGGUGUAGAGACUCAAGUCUACCGAAUGCAGAGAGAAAAUCCAUAGAAAUUAAAUUCCUUUUAAGACCCAACUCCUUCAACGAUGUGAAAUUACUAGAAGGCGUUGGUAUGUCAUAUACCAAGUUGGUCCCAUCAAGUCUCAAAGUCUCUAAAGAGCUGGCAUUAGAAAAGUUUGGCACAUGGCCUGAGAGAUUCAUAUUAUAGGACAAAUCAAGGACCCUUAGAUUUUUUGAUUGAAAGGGUCUAGAUGGUAACGGCCCCUCAAGAUCUGUCUGAGAAAGUUGAAGCACGGUUAAAUUGGGAAAAUCCAUGAAGAACUCUGGAAAUGGACGACCACUAGGUUCAUAAAAGUUUUCUUGGAGUUUGAUCACAACAAGAGAAUGGAGUCUCGAGAGCGCUUUAUGAAUAGGACCACUCAGGUGACAAUCAGCUAAACUAAGUACCUGAAGUUGAGGAACAUAUGCAGCAAGAGAUGUGCCCCACUCUUCUCCACUAUUAGACAAAUCCACCGAGUCAAGGUAGAGCUCUCUUAAGUUGCUGAGGUUUACCACAAAGGUAUCAAAACUUGAUUCCCAUAAAUAGUUAUAAUAAUCAUAAUAGUUUGGACCAUAAAAACCGAGAGAAUAAUCAAUAUUGUAUGUUGAAAGAUCCAAUGAGAGAAGGUUCACUAGUUUACUGAUGCUAGGAGGUAUCUGACCAUAUAAUCCUGAAUUGGAAAGGUUUAGGUGGGUUAAAAAAGUGAACCUCUCAAAACCAGCAGAACGGAUGUUGUCUCCACCGAUGUCAUUCAUGCUAAGGUCGAGUCGCCGAAGUGAUAUGAGGCUGAAGAGUGCAGGGUCCAAGCCAUGACUUGACAAGCAACGGUUGUUGAGGUCGAGAAUGGUGACAUGGCCAGACGAAGGGUCACAGCCAACACCCUCCCAGAGACAACAGUCGGUACCAUUUCGCCAUGAUGAAAGCCUGGUGGUGGAUCUGUGAAGGAGAAGGACUUCUUCAGCUGGAGGAGCGCCUUAGCUUGGUUUGGAUGGCACAAAAAUGAGACAGGGAGGUGAGUGAGGUUACCACCAUCAGCACGGUGGGCAAUAGAGGUGGAGAGUAGUGUGUGUAGCUGAGCAAGAAAGAGCAGUAACACCCAGCCGAUGGAAGCCAUAGCAACUCAGUAUGAGCCGAUGAUAGGCUUACAAAGAGGCACAAGGCAGAUACAUAGUAAUGCGUGACAGAUUGUUAUGCAGCUUCCAGCUGCUGUCAAGUCUUCGUCCAUUAAUAAAUUAAUUAAUUUACGAGUACCAUGGCUAAGCUGUACGCAAUUGCGACACCUGAGGAGACUUGACUGUACCAUGGGCUAGCUGUACGCAAUUGCUACACCUGAGGAGACUUGAUUAGCCUUUCGUCAAAUGCUGUUGGUAUCAUCCACUGCUACAACAGUGACCGGUAAUUGGAAGUCUCACUAUAGCAAGACUUCCAAGUCAACUAAGCCGGCCGCUACAUUCUGAGGAAGGUGGAAUUGAAGAUCAAAUCAAGUUGGGCGUUGGGAUGAAUUAGUCCGCACUCCGCAGAUAACAACAUCGAAUAUGCUGAUCUGAUGAUGUGCUUCAUUUUCUUUUUGGUUGGAGUGGAGCGGCAUCAAGAUCCUACUGCUGUGGAAAACACUGACUUGACUCGUUUUAUCUCGCACAAAACGUGGCUGAAGAUGAUAGUGGUGCUUAAAGAAUCAGCGAGAAGGAGCAAGUAAAAAUGCAGUUGAGCUGCAGCUGAAACAUGUCGCGACGUAUUCCAGCCGCGGUAGUUCUCGUCUUCUCGAAGAAGACGUUGCAGUGUUCACGUCUAGAGCUCAUCCAAUCCAUAGCGUUCCUCCGGCCGAACCGUGCGAUACGAAGGAGACGUCGCGUCACAUGCAUGUUCCUCAGGUCGCCUUUGCCUACGACCAAUAAGACGAUGACACCAGAACCUUUUUGUUUUUUUUUCUAAUCAGCAGCUUUCAAAGCGGGUACCCGCGGACAGCGCUGACCGUGUCAAAUUUGGCGAGCAUUAGCCGCAGUUGCACUCGUCCACCACCACUGAUUGCUGAAGCUCCCUACAAUACAGGGUAAGGAACAUCUAAGAUCUGAGCAAGUAAAGUCAGGAUAUUUAACUAUUUGUCAUUCUUACGGAUGGUGCUCCUUCAAAAACAACUCUAACGAAUUCCUACAUAUCUGUCAUUGAAGAAAGAAUUAGUCUAAACUUUUACCAUUUUUGCAGAUGUGGUGAGCCACGUCCUCGUGCUAGCGUGAAUUGAGCUGGCAAUGACCAUAGUGCCCCUGCCUCCCUCACCUUAGCCAUCCCCUUCCCUCUAUCCUGCCACACCUAUUGCUGCAUGGUCUUUCGUUGUUGUGCGGCUCCUCUGUGGUACAUCGCAGGGGAGGAUACCACGACUUGGAGGUGCCGGGGGGGAGGAGGAUACCGUGUUGAUGCGCAAAUCUAGGUGUCCACUCCUUCAUUGAAGGAUAUCCAAACACGGCCUAUUCACAGACAUGGCCACUUAACUUUCAGCUUACAUCUCUUGAUGUGUAAUAUGGCUCUGUUUGGCAUGGCUCCAACUCCAGGUUUUGCUGCUCAACUUCGGCUGGAGCUAGCUUUGCUUGGAGUUGGAGUUGGAGUUGUGUGGAUGGGAUGUUUGGUAGAAGGGUACCCAGCUCCAAAAAAAGAGGAUUUUCAUAGUUAAUUGCCAUUUUUGCCCCCUGGCCCCACAUGUCAUCCUCUGUAAUACCAAUUUUUUUCCUUUUUUGUGAGCUUAUAUUCUUCCUUGGGACUGAAUCAGCUCGUCUGCUCGCCCAUGGCCCGCGAGGCCUGGCUCGAUUCACCCUACCCAAGCUAGUAACCAGAUAGAGUCAGCAGCGCACCGGAUGGGGGCUAGCAGUGGCAAACAGUUCUAGGUCGGCAGCAGGCGGAUCACAGGACGUUGCCGAUGCACGGGAUAGAGCUUGCGGCGUGUAGAAUGGGCGCGGCGUAGGAUGGGGCCAGCUGGCGACGUGCAGGAUGGGGUGCGCGGGGUGGGGCCAGCGGCGUGUAGGAUGGGUGGGCGGUGCGCGGGACGGAGCCACCGCACAGGAUGGUAGUGGUGUUGGAUGGGUUUAGCGGCGCGCAUGAUGAGGUUGACAUGUAGGACAAUGGCGGUGCGCAAGGGGAACGAUGGCUCCAGCCCUCACGCGCGAUGGCGGAGGCGCAAGGUGAUGGUGACGGCGCAUAGUUGGAUGGCGGCAGCGGCAAGGAUCAAGGAGCAGCGGCACGUGGGCUGAGGGUUGGGUCCUGGGCUAGGGGCGGCACAUGGGUUGGUAGUCACGAGGGAGAUGAAGGUUGUGGGAACAGAUGAAGCGGGGGGGGGGGGAUAGAACCGAAACAUUUUCUUGUGUAACCGACGGUAGUGGUGGGUAAGUAUCUUGUAACUCCACGUCUAGAUACGUUUCGCAGUGUUUUGGAUCUGUGAAAGUGGUGUUCUACGAAAAUGAACUAGAACUCCAAUAACUCCAUGAAGUUAGACUGCUUCAUUUUUUUUUGGAGUUGGGGUGUUUGGCUGGCUUUAUUUUUUGGAGUUCGGGUAUUGUUUUAUUUACAUGGCUUUCCUAUAUAUCUACCGAAAGAUAAUUACUUAUAUAUCGCCUGAUGUUUGAGACUGGUGCAGUGCAAAUAGACCAUGAAGACUGUGGGGAGCAAGAAAUGCAUGCACUGACUACAUACGUGACCAUGGAGUUGGACAAUGACACGUGUCAUCAACUGAAAUGUUGGACGUGGUGGGACAAGUGGGUGAGAGUGGCUUGUUUGAAUUUCAAUCUUUAAAAGAACUUUAUCUCUUAAAUCACAAGUUAUUUUUAAAUCUAUUUAAUUUGAACUGUGGCAUUUCUUUGAAUCGAUUCAACAAAUAAGGUCCAAUGAAAUAUUUUAAAUGUUUUUUCAAAAAAUCAAAUAUACUAGCUCAUGUUACAUAUACUAAUUUAAUAUUUUGAAUAUACAAUUUCAACAUUGUAAUUAAAUUGAUUCAUGUUUUAUAUAACAUGUAAACAUUUUGAAAUAAAAAAUUUUGAUCUAGUUUUUCCAAAAUGUUGACUUAUGGUUUGAAAAUUGUUGAAUAUAGUUGUUUCAAAUUGUUGAUCUAGUUUUUGAAAAAUGUGAAAUCUAAUGUUUUUGAAAUGUUGAUAUAUGUAUUGCAAAAUGCUGAACAUCAUUUUUUCAAUGUUGAUCUAGGUUUCAAAAAAAAUGUUCAAUCUAGUAUUUAAAAAAUGUUGAUCUAGGUUUUGCAAAAUGUUGAAUAGAGAUUUUUAAAAUGGGGAUGUAUGUCCGGCACAAUGUUGAAAAAAAAACAGAGUUGGAAAUCAAUAUACAUGUGUGAGACCAGAUACACAGGUUAGCUCACACUUGACAAUAGCGCAGGUUUUGUGCAAGGCCAGAUGCUUGAGCACAACACACUUAUUUACCCAAAAGAAGAUUAACAAGUACAAGAAGUAACAGCAGAAGAAAGACCAAAGUAUACCGCAACACCUCAUCAGAUCACAGAUCCUUCACUUUCACUAGAGCAUAAUUCAUUCCUUCGAAAGUCACACCUUCCAGCAGCGUUCAAGUUCUAGAAACUCUUGCAGUUGCAAUAAACCAUCUGCCAACCCGAUUCCAUCUCACCAGAAUAGCAGCUGCGAAUCCGACACCAAAGCCCAACCCGGCGAAGAGAAACAAGACCACAUCAACAUGAUGAAAUGACUUGUCUACCUGUGCAACACCAGGAGUGUAAGGUGAAGCGCCAUAGGGUAACUUUGACAGCGGUGGCCCGCACAGUCCAGCAUUUCCUUCAAAUGAACUGCUGUCAAAUAUAUGUGCAGAACUGACGCGAUUGCGGUAUCUUCCCCACCAAUUUUUUUUGAAACUGUAGACCCGGCUGAGAUUAUCGGACUUGUAUUAAUUAAUAGAGAAGAGAGUCACAGGGCCUAAGCCAAAAAUAAAGGAAAAAAUAUAUAUUGAAAUUACAAAUUGGCGGUGUGAAACGGCGAUCAUUCGUCGAUUUGGCAGAUAGAGCCUAAGUGCCUUGCUCCCACUAAAAUCCAACAUCGCGCCUCCUCCUUGAUUUUGCCGAGUAGUUGGUCGAGGCUUUUGAAUUUUUGUUGAAAAACUCUAGCAUUGCGCUCCUUCCAGAUUUCUCAAGACACCAGAAUGAUCAGUGAUCUGAAACCCUUCAGCGGGGUGCCACUCAUUGACCCUAGUUGUGUCCACCAUUGGCUCACAGAUGAAAUUGUAGUCCAAUCUCCUCUAGGCGGGAUGUGUGCAGCCGUCCACUCAAAUAUUUUGUCCCAGACUCGUAGAGCAGAUGCAAUAAUAUUUCGUCGUGCGAGUGACAAAGCAUGCAUACUUUUUGAUUGGGCCAUCCUUGCGUAAUCAAGCGAUCUUCCAUCCACAGUCUGUUUUGAUAGGCGAGCCAUGAGGAGAAUUUGCACUUCGGUGGUGCCCAUGUUCUCCAGAUUAGGUGCUCCAUGUCCGAGGGUAUUGAAGAUUGGAACCGCACCAUGUAUGCCGAAGUUGUUGUGUAUUCACCGUGCUUGGUCAGAUUCUAGGUGAUGGAGUUUGGUGUUCCCGGGUUGAGCUAGAUUGAUCUUGUUCCGGCUCAAAGGAGAGUCAAUUCUGAGAGAUGUGUCGUUGAUGAUAUGAUGGCCACAUUGAUGUCCUAAAUCCACCUGUCGUUGGUUAUGGCAUCCUGACCGUUCUUCUCUUGUUUUUUGAAAUUUUAUACACCGACGGCGCAAUAUUUCUUAGCGCUUCCCCCUGCAGCCAUACCGAGUCCCAGAAUUUGGCCUUCUCCCCAUCUCCUAACGUGAUGGUCAUUGCAGACGCGAACAACUUUUUAUCCUUGUCGUUGUACGGUGUUGGCAUACCGACCCACGGUUUGCGUGGUUCCUUCCAUUCGUGCCAUAACCAUCAUAGUCUCAAUGCUCGUGUGAACUUCUUUAGAUGCAGUAUUCCUAGGCCACCAAGUUUAGUCAGUUUGCAUGCUGUGUGCCAUGCCACUUUACACUUGCCGCCGACAAUCUGAUCUGCACCAGUCCAGAGGAAACGCUUCCUUCAUUUGUCUAUUUCUUCCAGUAUCGUUGCUGGGGCGUUUAGGGCAGAGAGGUAGUAGAUCGGUUGUGAUGAGAGGACCGCCUUGACUAGUGUUCUUCUUCCCGCUGGGUGAGCAUCUUGCCAGCCCAGUUGGCUAAUCUUGCGUUCUCUUUGUCGGAUAAUGUCUCAAAGUGAGCCUUUUGUAAUCUGCCUAGUGUAGUCCUAGGUAUUUGACUAGGAAGGUUGCUCUUGCUGCUGGGAAGGGGGCUAGAAUCGAAUCCAGCUCGAGUCUAUUGCAACAUAUGGGUGCUACCGAGCUUUUCUGAUUGUUAGUGAUUAGCCCGUUGACUUUGCCAAAUUUGUCUAACAGCUCUUUGGUGUUCCGAACAUUCGCAGUUGUCAGAUUAAUGAAAAUUACCGCAUCGUCCGCGUAUAACGAUAGGCGUAAGCGGGCACCACCGCAUCUCCUCCACCUCAAACCAAACCCUAGCUCCAAGCCGCACACGCUAACAUCGACACCCGAGCCACCGCAACCCUAGCUAGCCACACGCCGUCGUCGAUCCGUGCCGUCGCUGCAUUUCCGUCGCCAAGAAGACCCCCAGGAGCUUUGCCGCAAGGUGAGGAAGCCCCUGGUGUGGCUCUUGUGCGCUCCCAUGCCUCUCUCCACGCGCACGAGCUCGCCGGAGUUCGGCAAGCUCGGUUGGGCCGCCUCAUCGAGCCUCCGGCCGCCACUAGCGCCCAAUCCUCCUCCUCAACACCCUAGAUCAACUCUUCGUGUCUGUAGCUUUCUCCAGGGCCAGAUCCUAUUGAAAAUUGUACCUGGAAACUCAAUUCUGAGCAAAGUCCAGCAUGUCGCCGCCGCGUGCCGCUCGCCUCCGCCGCCCGCGCACCGUCGAUCUCCUCUCGGUAGCUGCUAGCCGUACGAUCUGCUUUCGACAGCUCAGAUCCAAUCUAAUCCGAGUCAAACCAGCCGCGUACCGGUCAAACCCCAUGCUGCGCUGUUCGUUUUUCUAAAGAGUCCCUGGGUUUCGAGGUUUUUGCACCUGAGGUCCAGCGUAGUUCAAAGAUCAUUAGAUCUAGGUCCUUUUUCUUCUGUUCUAGCCCCUGAGCUUUUGCAAAAUAGUGCCCACCAUCCUAGAUCCUCUCUUUUGCGCGUUAAACCUUUGGUUUAUCCGCGUAUUUAUGUUUUAGCCCUCGGUUUCUCCAAGCUUAGCUUCUGAAAGUUUUAAAUCUUUGCCAACAAGCUCAUGCACCUUGUUUAGUGCAUAUCUUUAGCGUUUUAGGUCCGUUUUCAGUGCUUCCUGUGUCUAUGAGUUUGUCUUUACGCAUAGAUUAGUUUUAUGAUCUUAUUUCUCUCUAUUGUUACUGAUUGAUGUAAUGUUUUCUUAUUUUAUUCCUUUGCUUGCUUGUAUGUGAUCGUGUGAUGGGUCAGAAGGACUGCAACUCGAGGGAUUCGGAGGUCAAGACUUUGAAGACUAUGAGCAGCUGGAGCAAAUCCAAGAAGCCAAGUUGUGCCCCUGUUCACAACUAAACCUAUGAAACUUUUUACUUUCCUGUUCAAUAACAUUUAUGCCAUGCACUUUAAGUUACAAACAUAAUGGAUCCUAACUAAGGAGUGACUAGUUUUAUUCCCAGUAUAUUGAUCAACCCGGGCUUACAUAAUGUUGGGUAGUACAUGCUUAGUUUCUCAACUUGGGUAUGGUGGUAUUAGUGAACUUGAUGGUUAAACUUGUUUUAUUUAUGCUGUGCUUUUCAUUAACACAAGAUCACCAUGCUUAAAAUUGGAACAUGGAGAACCACCCGGGAAAACAAUACAACCACAAGAACUAAAUGGAUCUGGUCUUGGCUAAUUAAUUAGAGACUUUAGUCUGGGGUAAUCUUACCGAAAGGGCAAGAGGGGCGGUGGCAGAUGGGGUAUAACCCGGUCCUCUUGUGAAGUGAGCUUUGCUAAGAUACUAUGCCCACUAGGGAGGUUUAUACUCUGCAACUGAUCUGGAAACCUUAGCGGGUUACCGCUUACUAGGGGAUCUUUGUAAAGACCUCGUAGCGUCCCUAUGCAAUCACACCUCGGUAGUGUGGUAUUGUGCCUAGCCCGCACAGCAUGGUUGGGUCUAAAGUUCUUUUGAACUUUUACGCGACUUGUGGGUAAAGAUGUGCAACCUCUGCAGAGUGUAAAACUGAUCGAUCAGCAAUGCUCACGGUCAAGAGCGGCCUGGACCCUCACAUGAUUAAAUUAUCGGAAGUUGAAUUAAAUUAUUGUUAUUUAUUUCUGUUAUCUUUAUUUAUGUUCAUGCUUAAUGUGGGUGGUAUAAACUUACAUUUAGUAAAUGCUAAUAAAACUUGACCAACCAAUUAAAAUGCUGACUUGCUAAUCAACCUUAGCCUAUCCUUGAACAGCCUUACACUACACAUUCCUCACGCUUGCUGAGUACCAACCAUAAGUGUACCCACCCUUGCUAAAACCGCUACUCAAAAUAAGUCAACGAUGUGGAGCUCUUCCAAGAUUGGGAGGAGUACUAGGCGUACGUGUUUCUCCAAUCAUCUGCCUGUGAAGUCGCCGUUUUCGUUGAAGAUCCGCUACGAUAAUAAUAUUCUUUUUGCUAUUCAGUUUAAAAGACUAUCGGUCAUGUAAUAAUUGUAUACUCUCUCUACGUUAUGACAUUGUCUUUGUUACUCACUGAAGUCGUCGCAUGUGUGUAAUUUGAUCCCGGUGCACAUGUAAUUUAUGCAUUAGUUUUGCAUUUAAAAUUGGGUGUGACAGAGAGAUACAUGGCCUUUUAUAUUGCUUCUGGACAUGCUGAGAUAUCUGGUGUCCCUAAGAUAGGAAGCCCAGUUGGGUGGGACGGAAGAGAAUCUGUUGUUGGAAUAUCCCAAGAAAGAAGCUGAUGCGUUUGGCAUUGGGAUCUGCCCUAAAAGCUUAUUGAAACUAAGAUCAAGCACUAGUAGUGAUUUACUAAAAGGGAGAACAUCCGAAGCAAGUUGCAUGCCCGUAAGCACGUUAUGCGAAAGAUUCAAAUAAUAAAGGCUACUACUGCUCCAUGUCUCCCAGAUCCGAUUUGGUAUAUCCCCACUGAUUUUAUUAGAUGAAAGAUCCAAAUAUUGUAUAUUUUUAAGACGCAUCAAAGAUGUUGGGAAUCGAAUUAUAUUGCAAGACGCGAGCCCUAAAUAGUAAAGUCUGGCCAAAUAGGUAGCCAAAGGAUUAUUACCAUCUGCAUCCGUGACAUGCAACUCAUUGUAGGAAAGAUACAAACUGGUGAGAUCACUUAAUCUCCAAAAAUGGGAGAGGUUCACGGAACCUAUCAACUUGUUCGAGCUAACAUCUAUAUGUACCAAACUUGUUAGUUGAAAGAAGGCCAUGGGAAUAAAACCUGACAGAACAUUGUUGCUCAAGCGCACUUUCGCCAACCGUGAUUCUGCCUUGUCAAAGCCAUAUAUGGGGCCAGAAAGUUGGUUGUAAGAAAGAUCCAGGACACUUAAUGCAGGAAGACUGAAUAUAGAUGCUGGAAUCUCUCGUGCAAAGACAAUAGAAAACAUUAAGUUAGAAAGUCUCCUCUUCUAGAAAUAUCUGAAUUCAGAAAAUGAUGGCUCCUAUUUUGUUCAGAACAUGAUAAGUUAUGCCACUGAUACUGUACCAGCGAAAAAGCUCCCAAGCCUAGUUAUUUUAUCCUUAGAAAAUUGCAUGACAUGGACUCUAAAAGCCAACACUUUAUGUGGUUACACUUAAAGAGUGUUUUGUUUCACCACUCAGUCCAACUGCAGAACGUGCGGCUAGCGGCCUUCACGGAGGAGCAAACUGGAGCGCAAGAGGAGAAAAUCACCAGAAUCAAGAGAGCUGGGGUAGCAAAUCGCCCAUUUGUUCCUGUUUUGUUGGCGUGCUGUUUAUGGGUAGUGUUGUUUAUUUUUAGGUGUAUGCAAAAAGUAUUCUUGAUGAAAUAUGUUGCAUCACAUAUUCUAGAAUAAAAAAGUGAAAAUAUUGGUGCUCUGUUGAAUUUCAAUUAUAUUGCUGGAAUUCCUUCCUCCAUUUUUUUCUUUUUCCUUUUCUUCAAUUUUCAAUUAUGUUUGAUGGAAUUUCUUUGAUUCAAAUUCGACUAUAAUUUAUUGAGCUUCAUGCACCAAUCGGUUGCACCUAAAGUCUUAACCCGAUUUGGAAGGACGAUAGUUCUAUUAUACUUCAACAUAAUUAACACUCAAAUUCCAAGGAAAACCACUUCAAAUCCCAACAGCCAAGUGGAGCCACAUGGGUAUAGUGGGGAUUUAGGACCUCAUGUUAUACUUGUGCAUUUAACAAAGGUUAGCAACUCUAUUAUAUUUUAAGAGUUUAGGAAUCUAGAUGACUUCAAGGAAAAAGUUCAGAGAUCGAUAAUCAUUAGGAAUAGCCAGACUUUUGGUCCUACAUCGAUUCUUUUUUUCUUAAGCGGCUGGCACCAUUACACUGCCCGACAUAUAUUGAUAGGGUAGGAGGUCUUACAUCCAUUCCACUUGUACAGCAACUAGUGUAACUCAAGGGCUAAACAAUGUGCUCCAAAAAUGCUUGAACAAGUAAACACAAGCCUGAGCAUAUAUUGGGGCCGUUCGGUUGAGCUGGCUGCUGCUGUUAAGCAGCACAGCUGAUCAGCCGGCCAUGCAGCUGCUACAGCAGCGCAUCAGCUAGGCAGUGGCGCAUCAGCUGGGCAGCAGCGGCUGCAGGCAGCUACUUUUGUACCCAGCGAUCAAGUCAAGUUUUGAAAACAAACAAUGUUGUAAACUCAGUUGGAACUGGAUUAUAUAAAAGGCAAAAUUCAAUGAGCAAACAAAGGUCACUUUAAACAAUCAUUGAAAGAGCAAGUACAAAUAUUUUUUGAUUGAGGCUUCAGAAUAUAAUUGCAACAAAUUACAGUACAGAACCACAUUGAUAAUAUUCAGAUGACUAACCUAUUAAAAUAAGAUCACAAAUGCAUACCAUAUUUCAUGAUAAUGUGACCAGUGAAUCAUUAAUUCAUCUAAAAGACACAUUUUUUUUCAGCUCCUUCAGAAAAAAGAAAUACCGUGACAAGCAUUGCCGUCUCAGCUCCUUGAUUGUCUUUAAAAGUAACGUAGGCAAGCAGACAAACAGAGAAAUAGGCCCAAUAUAUUGACUAAAUAUAUGAUACAAGCACAACCACAUAUCUGCAGACAGUGAUAUGAACCAAAUCACCAGAAGCGCUAUCCAUAACUCUCAAACACCUCAUUUUAGUUUCCAAGACCUGGGCACCCUGAUAACAGUCUAGUCUAGCACAAAAUAAAUGGCAUGCAUAUUGAACUCAAGAGUACACAGGGCAUACAAUUAGAACAUUUUAGCCCUACCCUACAAUAGUUGAUCAGUGCUUUCUCAAGUCACAACAACAACAAAUUAGAAAGAAAUUGAUAGGUUAUAUUCAUAACAACAAAAUAGCAAAUUGAGAAAAUAUCUCCGUCAUGUCAACCCAUAAAGUCCCGCUGCAAUCCAAUCACGAACUUUACUAAUAUCAUCGUUGGCAGUAGCGGCAAACCAAUCUGAUGCAGGAUCAUUUUCAUCACUUGUCCUACUAAGAUAGGUCCCAUGAGCAAACAUGUCAGCACCAACCAUUCCCGGUUCGUUGUUGUCCAAUGCAAAAUUGUGUAGCGCAAAGCAUGCAACAAUAAUCUUUGAUUGCUUCUCCAUAUUAUAUAACGGUAUACCUCUUAGAAUCUGCCACUUAUUCUUUAGCACUCCAAAAGAUCGUUCCACAACAUUCCGAAGGCACGAAUGAUGGUAGUUAAAAAUUUCAUUCAAAUUCUCAGGACCUUUGGCAUUAAACUCCGAUAAAUGGUACCUGCCCUUGCGAUAUGACGCCAUAUAACCCUCACGCAGUGGGUAACCAGAAUCCACCAAAUAGUACUUUCCUACAUAUCAACAUUGUUAUACAAAUAGCAAUUUAGAUUGGCACUCCCAUAUGUUGCAUACUAUAAAACUUACAAACAACAUAAGAUCACCUUGGGGUGGGUGAGGGAAAUGCUCAGCUUGGUUUAAAGCCUCCCUCAAAAUAGCAGUGUCAUGCACAGCACCCUUCUUCCCCGUAGCGACAAAUGUGAACCUCAUGCCCAUGUCACAAACGGCUAAGACAUUCUGGCUGGUGAACCCCUUUCUAUUGAUAAAAUCAUCAUGUGCGUGCUCAGGGACUGACACCGGAAUGUGGGUUCCAUCUAUAGCUCCUAUGCACCCAUCAAAAUAUGGUGAGAAUUGAUGCAGCUUAGGAUGCACAUACCUGAACAGUGGAUCCAUUGGUCUAAUAAUAGUACGUGCAAAAGAGACCACGGCAUCUAACACUUCACCGAACUUCCGACUCACGGUGUCUAGUGACCUACGAAAUCUAUCCGACAUUUGUCUCUGGCAUUGUCUUGUGCCACAUGCCCAUAGGAACAUCCCUAAUGCCUCAACUGAAUCACAUUGUCGUGUGGAUUUUAGCCCAUGGUUGGACACUAAGAUUGAAUGCAACAACUGGAAUGCAGAUGGAUGGAGACGGAAAUUUUUGUAGCACUUCUUACUGUCAGCAAGGUUAAUAGCAACCCAUUGACGCCCAGUCAACUCCUGCAAGUGCAACGGACCAUCUUGCAUGCCACAUGCACUUGAGGUAGACGAUGCAUACGCAGCUAACACACCAAUGGUUGCACCCAUGUACCACCAUGUAGACCCCUCAUCGUUCAACCUUGCUGGUGAGGUGCUGGUGUUGCUCGAAUUUUCGGAGCUUGACUUUCCUUUCAUUUUCAGACCAUAACAGUGAUCAGUGGUCCCAGCUUCUGUAAUCAGCGAUCUGGAACAAAUCUGAUUCUUUGUUAAGCCUAGAUAUGCUAGUUUCAAGACGACAUAUAAAAAGCAUGCCAUGUUUUCUUAUCUAAGAAUCUCUAAAACAAAAUAAUAGCAUAUUCAGUACCCAUCUUUUAACAUGUUGUGCCCCUUUUCUUUUCUUUCAAAAAUCCUAAGUACUUAAAUAUGGAAAUAUGAUUUCAUUGCAUACCUUUACGAUCCAUUUGACCUUCACUUGUUGAUAGCCACCUCAUUCAUCGUGAAGACCUUCAGGCUGUAAGGUUGUAAACAAGAAUUUCCAAAAUGUUAAAAACAACAGUAGCAGCAUCAUACUCAAGUGGAACGACACAAAUUUAUAUGGAUUAGUAGCAUGAAUAAUCAAGGUCUAACACAACAUAAUUCACAUUACAAACAUGAUGCCACACCAUGCCAUAGUCACAGUACAAAUACACACAUUCCUAGGUAGAUGCAAAUACAUUGUAAUCAUGGACCGGUAUUACUUCCUCUUGACAUUAUCCCAAGUCCAUCGGAGCCAUGCAAUCCGGUUCUCUGAAGCGGUAAUGCUCCUAUAAGAUGCACGUCGGGCUGGUGAUCUAAACAGCUCAGUAGCUAUGAAGUACAACUCAGACCCAUUCGGUACACCAUCUUGUUCGACAAGGUGCAGCAUUUCCGUAACCUCCUCUUCCUCACGGCUGAUUAGAUUUCUUUCAUUCAUAGUCCUUUGAAUCAUGCUCUCAGAUAUACGCUCGACAUAGUACUCCAUGCUCUUAGUUCUCUUGGGUGAUGGGCUAUCAACAACAUGCUCCUUUCCGGACCUUUGCGACACACGACCCACACUAGACCGUCCAACAGUGUCCUCCAACCAGUCAACAUUUUCAUCCACCAUUGGGUCAGGGGUGUCUUCACUUCCACAGCUUGGUGUUCUAUCUUCAAUUCCACCAACACACAACAUUGGACCGCCUUCAAUGUCCGUUGUCCCGAAAAGAGUGGUUAACUCAUCAUAGAAUGGAAAUGUCUUGCCACGGAAAUAUUUGUUUGCCUCGUUCUCCUAGAAGUCAUAAAUAGGAAAUAUGUAAGCAUGAGGGCAAUCCGAGGUCAAAGCCGAAGGUAAAUGAUAGAAAGCCAUAAUUAUUAGGACAAAAAGUAGGUAACUCAAUUCGGGCUGCCCACCAUUCAUCAUCGCAAUCAAUGGUGCGGGUACUGUUGUUCCACCCGGUACCACUCUUGUCCUUUAGUUUCCUCCAAUCCUUGUAUUGCCUCUUAAAGGCAUUAAAUUUGUUCUGAAGCUGUUUGCAGGAAUAUUUCCUGCCCAUCUAUUGUUUGAAAUUUGUAUACAGGUUGUGCCAACCUACCUUGGUUAGGCCCCUUUUGUUGUAGUUGAGCUUGUUCUUCUCAUCAAUGCAAAGGUCUAGGAAUAUUUUUGUAGUGUUAUCAUCCCAAUUGGCACGACCUGCAUCCAUCUGUGUGCUACUUUGAAUUAUAUGCCUUCCUAAGUACAAGGUGCUACUUUGAAUUAUAUGCCUUCCUAAGUACGAGGUUUGUAUGCCACACACGCAGUAGCAAUGACAACAUGCAAGAUACGAAUCAACAUUUAUCACAAAGGGAACAAAAAAGAUGGAACUGAUGCUUGCCUCAUUGUGCUUACGUCUUGCAGGAGUUGUACACAGCAGGAACCGAGGGGCUUCAUGUGGAGACCAUGACGAUGUAGAGGAGUUUGCCAGUGCUGCUGCCUGUGGAAGUUUCUUUUUUUGGCACACAAGGAAUGCUCUCCUUAGCUAGAGUCGUAUUUACUACUGUAAAAAGAAUAUAUAAAGUGAGAAAAAUUUAAAAGUCAGCCUAAACAUUGUCAUAUUUUAAUGCAGGAAGUAAAUAGUAAUGAGCAAAAAAAAAGAAGAAUAAUAUUUACUGUCAAAAGGGAGGAGAGAAUUUACAGUCACCUAAUUUUUGCAGGCACUUCCCAAUUCCCACCCACUGAAUGUUACUGAGUGGAUUUAGUGGUUUCUAUCACUAAAACUAGCCACUAACAAGAUGAAAGCAGCAGCAGUGCAGAUGCAAAAUAGCAAUGCCCGUGGUGGUGAUGGCCGCAUUUGUGGCACUCCAGAGUAGCAGCAGUGCAGGUGCACCGUCCAGUUCAGUCAGAUAGAUGAGCGUCAGUUGAUUUCCGAGGGCAAGGCAGAUCAAGCUGGCAAUGCAACAUGCAGGCAGAGGUAGCCAACAAUGCAGCCCUUUCAAUUAGAGGUACUGGUCAGUGCAGCUGACAAAAGCACACCAGUAGUAUGCAAGUUCAGAGGUGGUCACUUGAGUUUCAGAUUUGGAACACUUUUGCCUCUUUCUAAAAAUGAGCAGUAAGUAAAAUUGGUGCAAUGGAUUGUUUGCCUGGCGUCUUACUGCCUAUUCUAGCAUAAUUGACCUGAACGCCCCUAAGGUUGAGCAUAGCUCAUGUUUGUUCUGAAUACAGGGAGUCAAUAAGUCUUAUAUAUUUUGUGUUUGCUAAAUAAAAAUUAUAUUACAAUACUACCAAAUGCAUAUAAAUAGAAAGAUAAUAAAUUAACCAAAUGAUAGAUCGGUCUAGUCCGAAACAUCUGUUGGAAACACGCCGGAGUAACUCCGAAACGUCUGUUGGAAACAUGCCGGAGUAACGACUCCCAGGUCGCCGGCGAGUCUCCUGGCCAAAGCACAGGGACACACACGCACACACAGGUAGACACUGAAUUGGUGCUUGCUAACUUGGCCCUCUUCCUUGGCCUUUAUGCCUUGUAUUUAUAGACUAUUACAAGGAAAGUAAUCAGGGCUUCAAUCAGCCCGAUGCACACAGCCACACAAUUGCUAACUGUCUAUUUGCCAGGGCUGUCAUGGAACAUUACAUUUCUGUAGAUGAUCAACAACCAUUACCAUGAGUUACCAUUACAACAAUAUGCUCCUGUCGUCCAACAUACACAAGAUGCACUUACAGUACAGAGCAGAAUAAUGGGAAGCCUUCACACUUCACACUAGUGUAGCUAACAAAAUUGAAGGCACAUGAGAUCUUACUGCCUACUCUACCAAAAUUGACUCAAUUACGCACGAUAUAAGAGGUUACUGCCUAAUGUAAGGCAAAAGAGAUCUUACCCCCAGGUUCUCUGUUGAGAUGCACAAAAUCUAGCAGCAUACAAAUGUAGAUCGAGAAUGGAGAGGAUUGGCGGAGCUGGGUGGACCGGCGAUGGUGGGACGGAGCGGCGGGGCGGAGGUCGGCGGGGGCGUGGCUGGCCGGCGCCGGGUGAGGGGCGGAGCUGGAUCGGGCGCGGACGGUGGGGCGGAGAGGAGGGGCAGAGAGGAGGGGCCGCGACGGCGGGGCGGAGGCCGGCGGGGGCGGGGCUGGCCGGCGGCAGGGGAGGGGCGGAUGUAGGUGGGGCGUCGACGGCGGGGCGAAGAGGGGCGGCGACGAUGGGGCGGAGUCUGGCGGGGGUGGAGCUNNNNNNNNNNNNNNNNNNNNNNNNNNNNNNNNNNNNNNNNNNNNNNNNNNNNNNNNNNNNNNNNNNNNNNNNNNNNNNNNNNNNNNNNNNNNNNNNNNNNCGGCAGGAGGCCCGAAAUUCAAUCUUCCCAUCGGAAUCUGGGAAAUGUAAGGCCGCGGAAAUGGGCCAGAGUCUGGCGGGGGUGGAUCUGUUUUGCGGCGGGGGAGGAUUGGAGCUGGGUGGGGCUUCGAUGGUGGGGCCGUGCCGGCGGGGGCGGGGGCGGCCGGAGGCGGACUGGGCGGCGGGCGCUGUUCGGGAGAUGCAGGACCUGGACAGGGAUUAAGUGCAGCUGUUCGGCUGCCUUGCUGGGCUGUUGCUGUUGGGCCGCAGCCGAACGGCUAGGCUGCACAGCAACAGCUGCAGCCGCCCAAGUAGCUUAAGCGAACGGGCCCAAAAAAAGACACGGGAGACAAUAUUCACUAGUAGAGAAUUCACCUUCUAUACGUCCCAUUUUGUCCCGGUUUAAAGUUGGCCCGGGACAAAAGGUUCACCAACCGGGACUAAAGCUCGAUCACUGGUGGGGGGCUCACCAACCAGGACCUUUUAUCCCAGUUGGAAAGGCUAGUGGAAAAAAAAACCCUGAGAGGCCUUUUAUCCCGGUUUGAAACAUCAACCGGGAUAAAAGGGUCCCCACGAGUUAAUACAAAAAGAUUGCAUCCCCUAUAUAGUCAGAUGUGCUGUGUAGGUGGGAUGGCAAGGAAGCUACGCGCGAGGGUGGAGGUUGCGGGUUCGAAUCCCACGCAGUGCGCACGCGCAUAUUUUGCGUGAAAAAUCGCGUGACUUGUGACUUGCGACGUGUGGGGGGCCCUCCCGGGAUUUCUUUUUUCUUUUUUGCAGCGGGGAUAAAAGGGGACCCGGGACAAAAGACCCCCCCCCUGUCUCGGUUGGUUUAUCUCCGGAUGGAUUUUCGGAAGAUUUGCAUCCUAGCAACCGGGACUAAAGGCCAAUUCUCUACCGGUGAUUAUUGUUACCUUGGAGAGAAUUAAAUGAAAGUUCCAGCAAUGUUAACCUAGUCAGAUUAGCUAUUGAACUUGGUAUGCUUCCAUAAAAAUUGCAACCUUGAAGAACUAACCAUUCCAACUCACUAAGCUGGCCGAUUGCAUAAGGUAUCAACGACCCAAAAUUCUGAUGGCCUAUUGGGCAAGGUGUCGGAGACAGAGAAUUAUAACCAAGAAUACGCAUGGAUUUCAAAUUAGUGAGGUUACCAAUUGCAUCCGGUAUUGGUCCUGAGAACCCACAAUUAUUUAUAUACAUGUUUCUCAAAUUUGUGAGUCCGCCAAUUGCAGCCGGCAUAGGCCCUGAAAACCAACAAUCAAUUAUCCACAUGAUUUUCAAUUUUUUUAGUUUGCUGAUUGCGGUCGGCAUUGGCCCUGAAAACCCAGAAUCAAUUAUACCCAUUUUCCUCAAAUUUGUGAGGUUGCCGAUAGAAGAUGGCAUGGAACCAUAUGUUGUGCAGCGAUCCAUUUCCAGUGUUUGCAAGUCCACGAGAUUCCCAAUUGCACAAAAUACUUCCCUAGGGAGGUUACAAUCAACCAUUUCCAAGCUUCUCAAGUUCUUGAAGUUGCUAACCAAGGUAGGCGUUAUCUCAGAGAAGUUACAUCCAUAGAGUGCCAAAUUCAAACUCAUUAGGUUCUUUUGCUGUCCAAUCCAUGAGAUAAUUGAUCCUAACUCAUUGAGUCCAGCGUGAGGUCCAACUGGCACAGGGACCUAAGUCUACCAAAUGAAGAGAGAAAAUCCACCGAUAAAUUCCCUCCGAGACUCAAAUGCUUCAAGGACUUGAAAUUAUUAGAAGGCAUUGAUCUGGCAUAAGAAAAGUUGGUCCAGUCUAGCCUCAAAGUCUCUAAAGAAUUUGGAUAAGAAAAGUUUGGCAAAUGCCCUCCGGAUUAUUGGACAAAUCGACAACUCUUAAUUUUUUUUUAUUGGAAGGGUUUGAUGGGGAACCGCCCCUCAAGAUAAAUACUAGAAAGUUGAAGCACAGUUAAAUUGAUAAAAUCCAUGAAGAUUUCUGGAAAUGGACCGGCAGUUAUAUCACCAUUUCUUUGGAGGUUGAUCACAACGAGAGAACGGAACCGCGAGAGAGACUCAUGAAUAGGACCACUCAGGCUGCAAGUGGCCAAGCUGAGUAUCUGAUGUCGAGGAACAUGUGUAGCAAGAGAUGUGCACCACUCUUCUCCACUGGUAGACAAAUCCACACUGUCAAGAUAGAGCUCUCUUAGAUUACUGAGGUUUGCCACUAGGGCAUCAAAAUCGGGUCCCCACAGAGAGUUAGAAGUGACAAUAUAGUAGGAGCUGUCGGAUGUGUCAUAAGCAUCAUCAUCAUCAUCUUCAAAGGACUGGAAAGAUCCAACGACACAAGGUUCACGAGUUUACCGAUGCCAAUAGGUAUCUUGCCACACAAGCCCAAAUUGGAGAGGUUAAGGUGAGUUUGUUGGAAAAAUAACGUGGUGGUCAAAAGACCGAGAGGAAAAUGGGAAGGAUAAGAUUGACGCCCGACUCCGACUCCCUCGCGCACGUCCACCCCGCGCCUCGAUCGGAGGUGCAACCGAACAAUUGGUUGCGGCCCCGAGCGACCCGGCCCCGAGCGACCCAACUCUAUAAGAGAAGGGGGCCGGUGGGUUUGGAACAUGCCAACGCACCAAACCCUACUCACACCCCCUACAUGCCUCCCGAUCACAGUGGCGUUGGAGUUGCUCGAAGGCCGUCGCCACACCACCAUUGCCGUCUGUGGACAGAAGAGGUGGAGACCUGAAGGGAGACGCAAUCUACUCCGAGCUAGUACACCUAUGGCACCCGUCAUCCCGGCCUCGUCCACGACCCUAAUGGCCGGAUCGUCACAAGCAGUGGCAGCUGGUUGUACUCUAACAUCUUCAUUGAGUGGUGUUCAUGUUCUAGAUGUGCAAAGAUCCUGUUUUAGUUAAGAUUAAGUAAUGUAGAUUCUUACAUUUGGUAUCAGUUAGUCAAUCCCAUCUAGACUUGGAUCCUAAGGCUGUGUAGAUUGAAUCUUAGUGUGCAAUUGAGUUGAAUUGUACUGGUUUUCUAUGUUCUUGAUCUACACAGUAGCUUUCUAGUACGAAUUGCUAUGCUAUUAGGCUUAAUCUUCUUCAGCUACAUGUCAAUGUUCAAGUUUUAGUUCACUGACUUGAUCUGUUAAGUCAGAUUAGACCAAAUUAGUUCUCAGUUAGCCUAAUUCCAUGCCUAAGCUACUAGAUCAGUUCUUAAUUAAGUCUAAAAUCAAGGUUAAUUAAGUCAAUUAAGUUAGUCUCUAUGUUUAAGUUCAGUUAUUUAGGUCGAGGUCUACUGUUUUCCCCAAACCCCACUGUCUAGCUCCAAUCUGUGCAAUUAAGUCCUCAAUCAGUAAAAUUGGACACGCAAAAGCAUGUAGAAGGAGAGGAAUUGGGCGAAUUUCAGGUCGAAUUAAGGAAAACCCAAAGAAAAUCCCCAUCAGAAAUCCUAACCCUAACUCAAGGAUAAGAACUUACCUCGAAUCACGACGGCCGCAUAGGGCAUGAUGGCCGCUGCGUGUGGAUGCCGGCGUGCACCUCCGCUGAGCCACACCGGCCAUAAGCACGCACAUGAACAAGUCAAGCCGCGGGCCCGGAUGCGCCUCGGUCUCCUUCCCGUGACCCAACCCGCGGCAUCAGAUCCUCCACGCACGAACCUGUCGACGCCGCGGCAAGCUUCAGGUUAGCUCGCCAUCACCGGUCUUGCGGCCGACCGCGCCUUCUGCUCAGUCACCCCCUACCAUGGAAAAGUGCUCCAGUGGAGCCCCCUGACGGCGCGCCGCGCGACUUGGUCGCAUGCACGCGCCGGUGGGAGGGCCCGCAGAGGCAUGGGCGCAGGGUGGCGGCGCAGCUCAUCGGCGGCUGCUGCUCGGGGUUGGGGCAGAAGCAGGCAGAGAAGAGGGGAGGGUUGCAGUGGAGACAGGCAAAAAUGGCCUAGGGUUCGGGAGAGGCGCAGCGCUCGCCGGUUUUGUCCCACCGAAACUCGCGCUCCGCCGUCGGAUGCAACGGAUGGCUUAGAAGAGCGCGGACAAGCGCAGCGCGCUGUUGGGCCAGAUUGGCGGCCCACCCAUUGGCUGCUGGGCUUAGAGUCUAGGCCGGCGCGAGGAACCCGGCAUGGGCUGUUAGCUGGGCUUACUCGGACCAUGAGAAGGCGCGGGCCCACUUAAACUCUGUGUGGCACGUGCUCUUUAGGGCCAUGAGGAAGGAACGCCGUGCGCCAUCGUUCUUGCACGAUUGGGCUGCCUGCGAGCAGGGCUUGCGAAGGUCGUUAGCUAGGCGCGGACUGGUUGUUUUGCGCUGGGCCGAUUUCGGCCACUAGCGGGCUGCUGCUUUUUUGGCUCGCACGGGCCGUCAGAUCGCUGGCAGGCCAGCGGGCCAUUUUGCGCUUGCAUCAGUUGGGCCGUCAGUUGAUAAGUGCGCACUUGGGCUAUUUCGGGCCAAUAAGGGGAGGUAGCUACGGGCCAAAAGUUGAGUUUGCGCUGGUUUUAAGAUUGAGCACGGUCCACUGUUUCUCCCAUUUGUUAUGCUAAUAAGUGUCUAAGUUGCACAUAGUUAAAUAAAAUAAUAUUCUGAUUAAAUUGAACCAACACGAAAUUUAUUUCACAAUUAUUUAUUAAGGCAUGCAAUUAAUUUCUGACCAAUGUUGAUAUUAAUUUGAUAUGCAUAAGUGUUUUAUUUAAGUUUUAAGUUAUUUUGCUUCCGCCCAACAGUGAUGCGAAAUUAAUUCAUGUUAUUUUAUUUAAGUUUUAAGUAUUUUGCUUCUUCCCAACGGUGAUGCAAAAUUAUUUCAUAUCAUUUUAAUUAUGUCUUUGCUUCUACCGAAUGGUGAUGCAAAGUUGUUUAUGUUUUUAAUCGAGCCAACGCAGAUUAAAUUUAUUACUUAUUAUUGUUAUCAUUACUAAUUGAAAUUCUCUCAUUUACUCAGACUUGACUCCAUCAAGCAUCAUAAGCUAUGUCAACAGUACAGAGAAGCUUGGAGGAGACAACUUCACUAAUUGGAAGAACCAGAUUGGAUUGGUCCUAUGCAUUAUGGAUCGGGACCACUUCAUGAGGGAGAAUCAUCCUGUUGCUCCGACUGCUCAAGGGGAUAAUGAUAGUACCCUUCCUGAGCGCACUGCUGCCUAUGAGAAGGAAAAAGAGCGGUAGGAGCGAUCAAACAGGGUGGCCCUAAUGAUCAUGGAGCGGACCAUAAACCUUGCAAUAAGGGAAGCUAUUGAGAAAAAUCCCAAAAGUGUCAAACAUUUUAUGGAGAAGGUUGAGGAGUACUUCAAAAGCUUCAGUAAGGCUAAUGCUAGCACCCUCCUGACUAAGUUAAUGAACACUAAGUAUGAUGGGCAAGGCAAUGAAAGGGAGCACAUCAUGAGCCCCGUUGACCUAAGGGAUAUGCUCAACGACUUGAAUUGCCCUCUUAAUGAUGAGACACUGCUUCACCACAUCAUGCUUUCGCUGCCCUCAGUGUUUGAACCCUUUAAGAUAAACUAUAAUGGCAGCAACAUGAAGUGGGAUAUUCCCACACUCAUCAUGAAGUGUUCUCGGGAGGAAGAAAGGCUCAGAUCAGAGAAAGGCAAUUUUGCCAACCUCAUCAGGCAUGAGGUAAAUAAGGGAAAAAAAUAAGCAAAUUGUCCCUUUUAAGAAAAUUAAGAAGCCUCAUCAACCUUCUCGUAAGAAUGAUGGGUCAUCCUCGUCUAAGGGUCCAAAAUGCCAUCAAUGCGUGGCCUAUGGGCACAUCAAGAAGCACUGUGAAAAGUUAAAGGAAUGGUGCAUAAAAAAUGGUAAUGAUGACUUUAUUUCUACAGUCGAUGAGUCCCUUUAUGUUGAUUUUUCAUUAAGUACAUGGUGGAUUGAUUCUAGGGCAACCAUUCAUAUUACUGAUUCCUCACGGGGAUUACAUGGCGCACAGACUAUAAGAAAGGGGACUCGCGCCGUUAAAGUUGCCAAUGGAGUUGAAGCUGAAGUUGAGGCUGUUGGAGAUCUCACUUUAGAACUUAGUAGUAUCUUUAGGCUUCAUUUAAGUAAUGUUCUUUAUGUACCAUCACUUAAGAGAAACUUGAUUUCUAUUUCAUCAUUAGAUUGUGAAGGUUAUUCCUGCAACUUUGGGAACAACAAGUAUGUAAUAAGUUUUGACAAUAAGAUUAUUGGUCAUGCCCCUUUACAUGAUAAGCUUUACUUGUUGCCUCUAAGUAUUAAUUCCUCUGUGACGAAUGUAAGCGAUGCCAACCAUAAGCGAAAGAGAAACAUUGAGACUUCGUCAAAAUUGUGGCACUUCCGCUUAGGCCACAUCACAUUUCGAAGGGGAGAAUGGAGCGUCUCAUUAGAGAAGAGAUACUUCCAAAAUUAGAUUUCUCUGACUUAGAUCAAUGCGUUGACUGUAUUAAGGGAAAAUUUGCAAAACAAAUUAAAAAGGAUGGAGCUAAGCAGAGUUCAGGAUUAUUAGAAAUAAUUCAUACUGAUAUAUGUGGUCCAUUUAAUGUAAGAUCAGUGGAUGGUUAUAAUUAUUUAAUUACCUUCACUGAUAAUUUCUCCCGCUAUGAAUACAUCUAUCCCAUACUCGAAAAGUCUGAAGCACUUGAUAAGUUUAAAAUCUUUAAAGCUGAAGUAGAAAAUCAGCAUGACUAAAAGAUCAAAGUGGUAAGAUCAGAUAGGGAAGGGGAGUAUUAUGGGAAACACUCCACAUAUGGACAAAUUUUGGGACCCUUUGUCAGAUUUCUCCGAGGUAAUGGUAUAGCAGCUCAGUAUUCCAUUCCUGGUGAGCCUCAGCAAAAUGGUGUUGCUGAGAGAAGAAAUCGCACCGUUAUGAACAUGGUGCAUAUUAUGCUAUGUAACUCUACGCUGCCAGUGAGUUUGUGCAUGCAAGCUUUAAAGACUGCCGCACACAUUAAUAAUUGUGUUCCUAGUAAGUCAGUCCCUAAGACUCCUUAUGAGCUUUGGACUAGUAGGAAGCCUAUAUGAAUUAUUUACAUGUAUGGGGCUGCGCAGCUGAAGUAAAGAUUUUUAAUCCACAACUUGGGAAAUUAGAUCCAAGACUGAAAGCUGUUAUUUUAUUAGAUAUCCAGAAAAGUCAAAGGGGUACCUCUUUUAUUGUCCUAAGCAUACCACUAAGUUUGUGGAGACAAGGCAUGUUGUUUUCUUAGAGGAAACUGGAUGCACUGAGGCUAGGAAAAUUGAUCUUGAGGAGAUUCGAACUUAUGAGCCGUUACCCAUAAGAUAGGAUUAUCAUACUCCUAUGCCAUAUACCACAGUUACAUCUCAGGUGGUGGAACUUCUAGUAGAAAAUGUGGGAGUAACAUCUACCUUAAGUGAUAAUGUAGAUGCACCUUUGAUAAGUGAGCAUCAAGGUGAGGAUGUGGUAGAACCUGCUGGUGGAUUGCAAGGGGAGGCAACUGAUGAGCCCGAGGUGAUUCAGCAGGAACCUGCUCAAGUAGAAGCACCACAGGAAGUAACACCACAACAUCUGAGAAGGUCAACAUGUGAGAGGAAGUACACCCGUUUCGAUGAGUAUGUGUACAUAAGUGAAGAAGGGCACAACAUGGGGAAGGUGGAUGGUCCAAACUCAUUUAAGGAGGCUAUAAUUAGUGAACACUUGCAUAAGUGGAGCGAGGACAUGGAAGAAGAGUUGAAGUCCAUGGAAGCAAAUAGAGUAUGGGACUUAGUAGAAAUUCCUGAAGGAGCCAAAACAAUAGGCUGUAAAUGGGUCUACAAAAUGAAAUAUGACUCUAAAGGGAAGAUCAAAAGGUUCAAAGCAAGACUCGUGGCUAAGGGCUUCACUCAAGUAGAAGGAGUCGAUUAUAAUAAAACCUUAUCGGCUAUCUCAAAGAAAGAUUCAUUUAGAAUCGUUAUGUCUUUAGUAGCUCAUUAUGAUCUUGAGCUACAUCAAAUCGAUGUUAAGAGUGCGUUCCCUAAUGGUGACUUGCAUGAGAAUGUAUACAUGAAGCAACCUGAAGGUUUUGUCGUGGAAGGCAAGGAAUAUUUGGGAUGCAAACUAUGAAAAUCCAUUUAUGGAUUGAAACAAGCAUGCAAAAAAUGGUACCUUAAGUUUGAUGAAGUAAUUAAGAGAAUUGGCUUCAUUGAAAAUAAGAAAGACAACUGCAUAUAUGUUAAGACUAAGGGGAGCUCUAUAAUCAUCCUAGUGCUUUAUGUGGAUGACAUCCUAUUAGCAAGCAGCGAUAAGAACUUGCUGCAUGAGACAAAGGGCUUUCUCUCAUUGAACUUUGAUAUGAAGCACCUUGGUGAUGCCGCUUAUGUCUUAGGCAUUGAGAUUCACUGAGAUAGGUCCAAGGGUGUAUUAGGACUCUCUCAAAGAGCUUACAUAGAGAAGGUCCUUGAAAGAUAUAAUAUGCACCAAUGUUUAGGCACAACUGCUCCAAUUGUCAAGGGCGAUAAGUUUGGGUCAUUCCGAAGUCCUAGGAAUCAAUUAGAAAUUGAUCAAACAAGAACGAUUCCUUAUGGUUCAGAUGUCGGAAAUAUAAUGUAUGCACAAGUGUGUACACGCCCUAACUUGGCCUUUAUAAGCAGGAUGCUUUGAAGCUAUCAGUCUAAUCCAGGAAUAGGCCAUUGGGAAGGAGUUAAGAAAGCUUUGCGUUACAUGCAAGCACUAAGAAUUACAUGCUAACGUAUAGGAGAACUGAGAAAUUAGAGAUAAUCAGCUAUUUCAGAUACUGAUUUUGAGGGUUGUGUUGGCACAAAGAGAUCCACAUCAGGUUAUGUCUUCACACUUGCAAAUGGCGUUAUAUCGUGGAAAAGCUCCAAACAAACAUUAACAGCUGCAUCGAUGAUGCAAGCUGAGUUUGUGGCAUGUUAUGAAGCUAUGGGACAAGCUGUAUGGCUUAAGAGUUUCAUCCUAGAAUUAAGAGUGGUAGACAGCAUAAGUAGGCCACUAAAAUUAUACUGCAAUAAUAAGUCAGUAGUUUUCUAUUCGAAUAACAACAAGUCAAGUGAUGCUGCAAAGCACAUUGAGAUUAAGUAUCUUGAUGUGAAAGAUAGAAUCCAAGAUCACACCAUUGAGUUAGAGCAUAUAAGUACUAAGAAGAUGCUUGUGGAUCCAUUAACAAAAGGCUUAUCUCCCAUUAUAUUCAGUGAACAUGUUGCCAGCAUGGGAUUAUCGGAUAGCUUGUGAUCUUGGAGGGUCAUAAGACAACUGCCUCCCAUCAUGAUAGGUAGUUUUAUACAUUGUGGACAACUGUGUCAUAGUGGGAUUUUAAUCAUCAUUGUCACACAUUAUCUCCCUGCAUAAUGCUGCUUUAAGAAUGGCAUAAAUUAUAGGCCUUUAGACCAAAGGGGAGAACGUUGGAAAAAUAACGUGGUGGUCAAAAGGCUGAGACGAAAACGGGAAGGAUAAGAUUGACGCCUCCCGAUCACGGUGGCAUUGGAGUUGGCCAAAGGCCGUCGCCGCACCACCAUCACUAUCCAUGGACAGACGAGGUGGAGACCUAAAGGGAGAUGCGAUCUACUCCGAGCUAGUACACCUACAACAUCUGUCAUCCCGGCCUCGUCCACAACCCUAAUGGCCGGAUCUUCACAAGCCGUGGCAGCUGGUUGUACUCUAACAUCUUCAUUGAGUGGUGUUCACAUUCUAGAUGUGCAAAGAUCCUGUUUUAGUUAAGAUUAAGUAAUGUAGAUUCCUACAGAGUUAACGAAGCCAACCUCUCGAUUCCAGUAGUAGGGAUGUUUUCUUAUGGCAUAUCUUGUGCCCCACUAACAUCACUCAUGCUAAGGUCAAGGCUAUUAGGCAAUGUAUAGCCGUAUAUAGCUGAUUUAUAGCUUUCCAUGUAUACUGAUUGUAUUCCUUGUAUACCAAACCAUAUUGGCUAUAUAAUAGAGGUCACCCCCCUCAUUAGGGUUCGUGGUGUUUUCCCAAACUCUAUCUAUCUACAUGGUAUCACAAGACCAGGAUCAAUCUGACAGGGACUUUCCUUCCGCUCCACCUCUCCCUGACGCGCCUAACCCUAGGUGCAGCUCCUGUGCGGUGGCGCUUCUCCCCUAGGCUGGCGCCCCUCCCCACCUCCCUUCCUCCCAUGGCCAAUGAUUCCUCUAUCGAGUCCUCCCUGUCCGGUGGUGGCCUUCUGUCCACUGGUGGCCCCAGGCCGGUGCCUGGCGAUGGCUCCCUGCCCAUCUCCGGUGACACCCCCCCCACUGGACUUGAACCACUGGGCGGCUAUGGCACCCUCCUUGGCACCGACGAUGGCCCUGCGUUGCCCCUUGGUGGCGGUCUUCUCCUCCACCAGGCGCCGUCGGCCAUCAUCCACCUGUGGCGGAACCGCCCAGAUUUACUUAGCUAAAGCACCAUUAAGUCACCUGACAUGCGAUCUUAUGCUUUAACCAAGAUAACUCGGCAGUCCGUUUAAUUUCGUCCGAUAAACCACUACACAGGACCGAGAAGCAGAGCUCACACGAAGGUGAGUGGUUCCAGAGAUUUCAAUAGAUCACCCAACUUAAACAAGUACCUUAAUUUUACAAACUCGGGUUCGAAAUUCCACAAAGUUUUACGGAGUUCUCAAGCAGCGGGAAAAUAUAAACCAACGGAAGCUAGCGUCAGGGGUCGGAUGUCACGAUGAGGCCGACCAUGACAUCAAUGGUCCCUAUCCUCACCGUCCGAGAAGGGAUCCCACUCGAUCGUCCACUCAGGAGGAAGCUGGGGAGGCCAAGUGCCAACAGCAGCAAACUCAGGAGCUUCAACAUCACCUGAAAAGAUUGUCACAACAAGGCUGAGCGACUACGCUCAACAAGACUUAACCGACCGUUGGGAACUACUCCACCAACUUCUAGACAUGCACGGCUCUUUGGCUGAGGGGUUGGUUUUGCCAACGCGACUAUAGUAGGUCCUUACUUUCAAGAUUUUAGACACAGGUUCUACUGUUGUUUAUCAUUCUAAGUUAGUAGCUAUACUAAUCAGGCAAAAGUUUCCAAGCAAUUUAUGACAAGCAUACAGGUUAACAUCACCAUCAAGUUCCAUUCUUACUUAGUGUAGCAUAGUGAUCAAGCAGUCCCAAACUGUGAGAGGCAGACGAAUUGAUUCGAAUAUCUUAACCAUGCAUGGUGAACCUAAUCUCACGAUAUCCGCACACCACAAAGGGUCGCUUCCUCUGUCGGUCGCACCCAUCAAUCCCUUGACCCGUGUCGAGCCCACUUCUCUUGGUACAAGGCUCCACAGACCCGGCCUCUGCCGUUCUGUGACCGCACUUGUCACCACAUGCGGCCGGAAGGGAAACUCUAUUCCAGAGACAGUGGAUCGAACCGCUCAUGUCCUGGUUCAAUCAGGUACUAGGCUUCCCCAUCCCAUACUAGAUAUGAGAUUAGUACUUUCAAACACUUGAUCGCGAACACCAUCACCUUUCGACCUUAAACCAAUUUCAUGUAGACAGACGGGGCAAUCCACCAACCACCAAAAUAGUUCACAGAGCCCUGCCCCCUCCAUCGUCCUUAUAGUUGUAACAAAAAGGAGAGCAAGCAACUCCUAUAACUCGCGAGUGACAGGGAAUCACUCGACUUUUACCGAGUCAUGUUAAGCAUUGCAACUACUCGGCCUAUCAUACUAGUGUUCAUAUCAAAGGGAACUAAGUCAUGCAUCUAUGGUUUCAAACAACUCCUGAAACGUAAAUGCACUUACAUACAACAGAAGGCAUGCGCAAGUUUAGAAAGACUGGGUGAUGCUCGGGGGCUUGCCUUCAAGUGGGGCGGAAGCAAACUAAUCUUCAACACUCUCGGGCUCAGCUCCUGCAGGCAGCUUAGCUACAACUUCAUCUUCGGGCACCGGGUGCAGCUCGUACGUGCCGUCGGCGAGGUUCAGCUCUACACGGAAUGCAAUGCAAGGGUGAGACACAGACGGUGAUUUCAACAACACUUGCAAAGAUUUAGCCCAAAAACUGUAGCAAAACUACAGGAAAAGUGUGAAACCCACGUCAUUGGAUUUUACUCAGAAAGAGGAUUCCAACCCAAGUGAUCUCACAUUUUUCUGAUUGUUCCCCGAUUUAAGAUGGAAUUUCCAAGCCUCUGCCGAUUUAGAACAAGAUAAAAGAGUCGGGUCAGGAAAAACUUGCAAUCUGACCCUUAGACCUAAGGAAUAACUGUACCGGGAUCCUUAGAUUUAACACAGAGAAGUCCUCAAAAUUUUACACAGAUGCCCUUGGUCAAAAGAAAAAGACAUAGCCGAGCCCUCGGGCGAGGCAGACAGGGGUCGGGCGAGACGGACAGGGGUUGGCAGCUCACCUUUGGUCCUACUGAUGAAGUCUUAGGGUUGGCAAGAAGCAAGCUCAGGCGGAACGACAAAAGGCGUUAAGUUUCGGGCGGCGGCGACGUCUGGCGGUGCUCCGGCAGUGGUGGUGCUUCUUGCGGACAACAAGCAAGUUUUAGCGCUGCACGAAGGAAAGCGAAGCGGUUGGCGGGGUCGGCAAGGCAGGGUGUUGGACGGAAGGGGGAGCUCCACAGAGAGCUCAGGCGGCGGUGCGUGAGCACGAAACAGAGGAGUGUGUGGUGGAGAGUGCGCUAGAGGAGAAACCAAGCAAGCAGUGCGGCAAGGGCAAUGGUGGCGAAGAGAACUCCCGUAAGAGGCUCUGGUACCCAUUUUAUAGCUGUGCGGAAGUGAACGAGAUCGAGCAGUGUGAGGAUAAGAUCGAGGGAGAAGAGGAGUGCUCUACCGUGGCGGCGAUUGGUCGGUGUCUCCAUUGGCCGGAGAAGCGGAGCUCCAGGGAUAGGAUCCUAUGGCAUUGGGCAAGGAAGACAGUGCUAGGCAAGCGCGGUUUUGCUGAGCAGAAGGAUUGGUGAGGUCGAGCGCGUGCUUGGUCGCGUGAAGCGCCGGAUUGGGUGCGGCGACUCGGUAUUGGCGGACAGGAGAGAGCGAGGUGCACUUCAGGCAAGGGCGCCGUAGGCGAGGUGACAGGGCGAGCGAUGCGAUGCGAGCAUGCGUGGAUUAGCGACUCUGCCGGGGCACACUACUGGCGAGGCGGGGGAAAGGAGUUGUCACUGCCUGCGCGGCGAUUGGCGAAGACGGCAGCGUCGCGGGGCGCACGUGGGCAGCGCGAUUGAGGUUGACGGGAGGGCCGGAAGGUGUUGGGGCGCGCGGCUGGGGGUCCAGGUGAGGCGAUGCGCACGGGAGGCGAGGCGGUACUGGCGCGGCAGCGGCCAAUCUUUGGUCACAGCGGCGGGUAGUGUGCCUGGCGCGACUGGCGAGGUCUCAGGCGAGACGAGACGGGGCGGAGAGGUCUGCAGGGUGCUUCUGCGCGCGAUUGGGAAGGAGGUGCUGAUCCAUCUUGUCGCGGCCGGCGACUGGGUGAGGCGGCGCUUGCCGGUGAGGUCACGCCAUGCGGCGGCAGUGCUCCGAAACAGGGCGCACGCGCGCUCUGGCGCUCUUUGUCCGAUGGAUCCGCGGGAUUCCUUGCCGGGCCCAUCUUCCAGCCUCUUGAUCUUCCGAUUUCCAAACUGCACCACAUUGACUCCCUUCACAAGGGUUGUAGAACACAGGCUAAGGUCCAACUUUUGUAAUUGGACUGAGUUAAAAAACGCGGUGGAUUUGGAGAUCCAAAGCUCCAAAGUUUGGAGGAACAUUGGUUUCAGGACUUAGAGAAAAGCGGCGGUUUGGCUGGUUUUCAAGGGUCAGGACUGAUUUGAGCUGCAGAUUUGGGAAUCUUCUGAGGCGAAUUGGACCAAUGUCCAAUUAACAAAGUUGUGGUAGGAACUUUGUUCUCCAACUUCUAUAAAGGGUUUUCUUGAUGUUCAGUUCAACUUUCCAAAGAUAAACCUUCCUUAAGGCGCUAGGUCAGGCUGAUUUUCCAGACUUAGCCAGAAUGGCUGAAGGAAGUCUGAGUUGACCAGACUAGGGGGCUUGUCUUAAGAUUAAACUCGGCUGAUUUAAAUCUAGGUCGUUACACCACCCCUACGCCACGAUCUCCGUCAAGGCUCACAUCCCCAUGAUGUUGACGAUGAAGACCUCCAGCUACUCCAAGUGGGUUUCCUUCUUCAAAUCCAUGUGUGGCAAGUUCGGCCUCAAGUCGCACAUCGACAGCACCGUGACGCCCCGUCCUGAUGACCCCGAUUGGGAUCAAGCGGAUUGCUGCGUCCUCUUCUGGAUCUUUGGCUCUAUCGUGGACCUCGCCAUGGAGGAUGAUGAGCAGACCGCCAGGGCCCUCUGGCUCACCAUUUAAGGCCUCUUCCAUGCCAACAAGCAAUCCCGGGCGAUCUUCCUCAGCUACGACUUCCACUCCAUGACCCAGGAGGACUCCUCCAUCUCGUAGUACUGCCAGCGCAUGAAGAACCUCGCUGACACCCUCCGUGACAUUGGGCAUCCCAUUCAAAACUCCCAGUUGGUCCUGAAUCUUCUCCACGGCCUCAACCCGCACUACUCCAACACCACCGACGACAUCGGCAACUCCCCCGCCGGCUUCCAGUCCUUUGCCCAGGCUCGUGACAUGCUCACCUUGAAGGAGCUUCGCCUCGUCAACUUGCUGCUCUACGUCGAUGACAUCAUCCUCACCGCCUCAUGUUCGACGCUCCUCCACCACAUCAUGGCUAGUUUUCAGUCCGAGUUCGCCAUGACGGAUCUUGGUGAUCUUCAUCACUUUCUUGGCAUCUCCGUGACGCGCUCCCCUGAUGGCUUGUUCCUGUCCUAAUGACAGUACACCCUGGACCUCCUCCAGCAUGCCAGCAUGGCUGAGUGUCACUCUACGACGAGUCCUGCUGACACUCAUGCCAAGCUCUCGGCGACCGACGGCAACAAGCUCAAGGAUGGCUCUAAGAAACCGCUGGAAGUUAAAUUCAACAAAAGUUCAAUUCGAGAAAAGUUCAAUUCAAGAAAAGUUAAAUUGUAUCACCUCCCCAGGACUUUGUUCUUUUGUUUUUGGUUCCCAAAGCACAAUUUCAUUAUCAGCACUCUGCAAAUCCAAGCUAGCAUAGAUCAGAUUCCUCAUUAUACAGGAACCAAAACUGGCACUGGGAAAAAAAAGGUUGAAAGACUGAACCCAUGCACAGUACAAGAAUACAGGAUCCAGAUACAGUGGUAUUUUGAAGCAUCAAAAGAAUGACGACUGUACUACUACUAUAGCAGCAAUUUGUAUCCAUUUAAGGGAAGGAAUUUCACCUCUGACAGGAUGAAGUCACCAAGCCAUCUUGUACAAUCAACAUAGUUAGAGUGUACUGCAGCAAUCAACACCUGCAAGGAAAGAAACAGGUUGGUUUGAUGGCAUGAGGAUUAAACACCAACAGUAGUUUGCAAAGGAAUAGAUCUAAGAUGAUUAUAGAUGCUAAACAUACCGGAAACUGGACAUAUUUUGUUGGAAACUUUGAUGGAAGGUCAGUCCAGGAAUAUGAUUUGUCAACAUAUUGCCAAAAUUCUGUGACAACAUUGGGAAACUCUAUCAAUGAUAUGCAGCAUGCAAAUGUAAACAUGAUGCUACUUUGAAGUAGUUUUCCAACCUUUCAUUGACCAGAUUUUCACAGUGUUGUCCAUGCCACAACUUGCAAAACGCUCAAUAUCACUAGGGUGGAAGUCCUUCAGCCAAAAUAAUGUAUUUUGGUCAGUACAUUUAUGCCUAACGUAAUGGAAGUACAAAAGCCGUAGUAGUCACCAGGACUAUAUUUAUCCCUGAUGUAAUGCUCAAUAACAAAUAGUAACAUCAGAAGCUGAAAGAGUGGUAGCUUCAGGGCACUUUGAGCAAGUAAUAUUCUGAAACAAUACCAUAAGAGGAGGCAGGAGCUACUUACAACACUCAACACUUCAUUGCGAUGACCUCAAGCUCCAGCAAAUACCAAGAUGCAGAUCCCUGUAUGGACAUUCCAUAGCCUAACAGAUUCAUCCUAUUCAAUAAUGAAUAAUGCCAUAUGAAACAGUGUCAGAACAAUUAUAACAAAGUACAUUCAGCCUAAGAACAGGUUAUCUGCUAACCUUGCUUGCAGAAAUGAUGAGCGAAGGCUUCAACGCUUGAGUCCUUAUCUCAUUUAUUGAGUCACCAUGGCCAGCAAAGCUCUGUAGAAUUCCAUAAACAGAAAUAACAAAUAAACACGUGCACAGUCUAAUUCAUAGGAUAGGAUAGUAUUUAUUGGCAUGCCCUGUCUCGUGACUAUAUGUAUAACGCCAAAAUAGAUACACUAGGUUGAACGUGUCUUGACUAUAACGGACAUGCUGAAGUAUCCAAAAACCAGAAUCUUCUGUGAGCAAAAGUUACAGUUUGCUAGUGGUAUUAAUGCAUAGCAAACAGACAAUUCCUUAAUCAAACCAAAUUCAAAUGACCUUCUGGAUCGGAUAUCAUAGAUGGUAUCUGUCAGGUAAGCAACUGAUGUACAGAUUUGUGCAAAUGAAGCUUCAUUCAAGUUUGACGUAGUAACAAAGACAAGGCUAGGGGUACUAUACCUUAGCUAACUUCUCCGUAGCACAGUUGAUGACCCGAAUGAUCCCAUUGCCUCCUGCUGCUCAAUGACUCCAUUCUUGGUGACCAGUGUGGCAUCCAAUGUAUCAAUCAGCUCUUCCUUCUUCUUGAGCAAGGCGUUCUUCUCCUCUAUCACCCUGUCCCUAGCCUUCAGUGCCUCCUCCAUCCGAACAACUCUCACCUCCAGCGUGACAAUCCUCAGCGAGUCCCUCUUGUCGUAGGUGUCCGGUGCAGUGUCCACCUCGUGCUACAGGCGACGGUUCAUCCGGUCCAGGUCAGUCAAAUAGUGCUCAAGUCCCAUUAUCUUGCCCUCAAGUAUGGCGUUGGUACCGAUGCAGUUGUCCCAACCAUUGUGAAGUACCUCCACCUCUCUGUCAUUCCAGAACAGCGCCAAGUCCUGAGCGUGAAUACAGCGGGAGGCCACGCAAAACUUCUCGUUGGGCUCUGCAUAUGCGUCCUCGUAGUACUGAUGGACUAAACUCUCGAAAUCCCUCAGCCCACGGCAAGCCCUGGUUAGGCAACGGUAGGGAGUCUGAGCCAACCUGUCACGGAGCUGCGCAUGCACCUCACACACAGCCCUUCUGGCGGCAGUCCGGUGAGCCGUUGACACUGACAGCUCAAACCCAAGUAGAAGAAUAAGCAAAGUCUAGUCAGAAAUAGCGGUAGUCAACAGAACUGUCCAUAACCAGUGGACACGGAUUAUAGCUACAGCUUUAUACACUCUGCAGAGGAUGUACAACUAUACCCACACGGAUGGAGUCUAAACGGUGGCGAUCCGUCGAAACCCCACCUAACAGCCGGAGCCCUAGUAGGUGGAUAGCUCUGUCAUAUUUCCUCGAGUCUGGAAUCAUCCUUAGCUGCAGGGCACGCCGUCACCAGUGAGCACCUCGAAGCUAUGAAACCUACCCAUGCCGGGGUGUAGUCUGGUCAAAGCAAGCCAACGCCUUGAACUCAUUACAUGAUCCUCCAAUCUGCCUAGAGGCUGAGCACUAUCCACCACUAGUCUCGAACCGAACUCUGCCCAUAACGUAAGCGAGCGGUAUCUACGUAAAAUAGUUGCUGUGACUAGUGGUAAACUGACUCAGUGCUUAAGCGGCUGAGAGCGAGCACUCUACUCCACAAGUAUGUGCCGAAACACAUGCAACAUAUAAGUACGCUACCUGCUCCUCAGUAACAAACAAGGUACCCACCACAGGUACGGGGUAUAGAGAGAGUCCAGAAUGCUCUCUCCUAGCAAGGCACUCCUUAGUACCAACCAUGGCGCUCCCGCCAAAACAUAUCAAGGAGUCACACUCACCCAAAACUCAAGCGAGAGUGUUCAAUGAAUCCUAUCACCGAAACUGUGGCAUAUGCCCAUCCAUAACUCAAAAGCAUGUAUAUGGAUAUAUGAGCGGUGGACUAGCUAGGGGUCUGUAGCUAGUCCACAAAAGUAGGUAACAAGGAAAACAGAAUACAAAAUUAUCAAGGCAUGGCUAAAAAUAUUGGCUAUGCAAUCCAACAUCAUCAAGCAUCAUAAAUAAAGCACCAGCAACUAAGCAUGCAUAUGAUCUAUGUGAUUGGGAGUGGCAUGACACCUUGUCCGUAGUUGUUUGGAUCUUCCUCGGCAUAGUCGGAGUCUUGAGGGUCUUCUGGGUCGUAGCUCGAGUCUGAACAGACCAAGAUAUGACAUAAAGUAAAUUAAAUGGCAUUACAACUAGGAAGAAACUCCAAGAAAGCCAAAUUUAGUAGAUCCAAAUAACACCAAACUAGUUACAAACAACACGGGCUCCAUUUUACGAAUUUAAUGCAACUGGUUCCAUAUUUUUCGCAGUUAAAAUGAAUUAGUUAUGAAUUUUUUAAGAUUAAAGGAUUCAUUUAAUUAUUUAAAUAAUUUUAGAAAAUAUUUAUUAUUACAGUGACAUGUGCCAGCGCUUGGUUGUGCCAUGUGGGAGCAUAAGAGUGCGCCACGUGUCUCCUAACGCCAAGCUAACGUCAGCGUUGACCGGUCAACAGGGCCCCACCAGUGGGCCCGAGCCUCGGACAUGUCAACGCCUCGUGGCUCCACGUGGCAGCCACGUGGCACUGCCACAUGGCGCACACGUGGUCGUCCCCAGCUGGCCGGGAUCCGCGCGCCACCCGCGUGUGGCCAUGGGUGUGGUGCAGGCCUGAUUGGCUGCGACACAGCGGUGACUGUGCCCACGACGUCAUGGUGUGGCGCGACGUCACGGCGCGGCUGCUGCACGUGUGCGCGGGCAGGAGGUAGUCCCGGCCGCGGCACGACCGCGGCGGCGUGCGGGGUCCCGGGCCCGCGGUGGCUGGCAGCGAGGCGAGCGGCGGCACUACAACCGUGGCUCGAAGGCUGGGCAUACGACAAGCAAACAAGAGGAAAGAGAGGGGCAACGAGGUUCACUGCAGGGAGACGGUGAAAUUGGGCGGCGUCGGGCGGUGGUCGACAGCUCAGGCUCCUCCCUCAGACGGCCCCUCUUCUUCUUCUUCUCUUCUACUUCCCCUCCUUCUCUUUCCUCCUCAUCUCCUACUCCUCCCUCCUCCUCUACUCCUUCCCCCUUCUCUCACUCGGGUGGUCGAUGGCGCAAGGGCGAAGCCCCGAGUGGAUGGCGAAGAGAGGCCCCGAGCGGCUCUACUUAUAGCGGAGAGGCGGCUGUGUUCCAGAGGGAGGUUGCGGCAGCACUUUAGGGUUUGGGGGCGUGGCGUCGGUGAUGUGGAUGGCUAGGAUGUGGUGUUGCAUGGUGCGGGUGACGUGGCGGCCAUCCGAGGCUCCCAGCACAAAAGCAAGGGUGCGGGCGAGGUCAUGGGUGCGCACGCGAGGCGCGCGUGAGCGGUACGGCCGGAGGAAGAAGGAAGAGGAACAGGGGCACCUCACAGGUGGGUCCGGUGCAGCAGCAAGAGAGAAAGAGAGGGAGAGCGGGGCGCGGGUGGCGACUGCGGGCUGGGCCAGCUGGCCGGUUAUGAGGCCUGCUGGGCUGGUCACUGAGCUGCGCGGGCGAGGCAGCUGAGCGGCGCGGGCGAGGUGGCUGAGCAGGCCAGGCCGGCUGUCUGGCUAGGCCGGGGUGAAGGUAGGUGAGGGUGAGGCGCGAGCGGGCCAGGCCGGUGGGCUGCGGCUAGCCUGGUUGGUUAGGAGGGUUAGAUAGGUUUUGUUUUUAUUUAGAUUUAGAUUUAGUUGGAGUGUUGAAUCAAAUUCAAAAUUCAAACACACACUCAAACAUGAGAUCCAAAUAAAAUCUAAAAAGAUCCAAAUCAUUCCACACAAGUUUUGAAAUGGAAUUUUGGGACGAGAAGAGAAUUUGACUACCAUUUUCAAACAAGCACACAAUUCAAACAAAAGUUUUAAAUUUUUGGAAAUUUUACUUAAAUAAAUAUUACAAAAUUCUGGAAUAUUACAAACAUAACCACUUCACCUCGUACCCCGAGAAAAGCGAUACGAAGCUUAACACUCCUCGACAUCUGGGAAAUUUGGUCAGAACGAAACUCUAGAUUUUUCGGACUGUGUGAGUCAUCCUUGAUUUCCUUGGUGGCAAAAAUUAAAAAGGAAGCUUAAGUUUUGUAGGUCUUUUGGAUUAAACCAACUUGGUAAGCUAUCACCCCAAAAGCCAUGGACAUUCAAUUCUCUCAUGAGGGCACAAGCCAUCGAUCACUUCAUUCUCACGUGGUGUCGGCUCGAAAACUCUGGGAUUAGUUCGCCAGUUCAGCUCUAUUUCCUUGAGGUAUUUCUUGUCAACGAGUCUAGCCUCAGCAGCCUGUUCCUUGCUCCUCACAGUAUGAAUAGAAUUAAUGCAUAGCAUUCCGCUAAGCUGAUUCAUGCCCUUCAGCUCACCAAUUGCCCCCCUCCGUGCUUCGACUGUGAAAUAUCUCAAGUUCCUUUAAUAAGUCAAUAGAGGCUUUUACUGGAAGUGCUAGUUGACGCAAGUUGAUUAGCUUUGUUACAUCCUGACGAAUUGUUCUCAGACAUGAACCAAAUGCAACAACAACUUGUAGGCUGUUAAGGCACCAGAAUUUCGAUGGCACUUCAUUUAUAUUGCUGUAGGAUAUAUCAAGAUAUCGGAGGCUAUUCAACCCACAUAUGCUUUGGGGUAGACUUUUCAGCUUGCAACCUUUUAGGCUCAAAAACAGGAUGUUAGAAAGCUGACUGAACCAGGUGAUCUCAACAUCCAAUUCGGUACCAAACCUAAGUGAACGCAGUUUGUUCAAAUUUUGAAUGUUUGUCAUUGUGCCCAAGGACUUACGUACCAUCCACCUCGAUUGACAUGUGGCGAGGUUUAUUUGUCAUUCCGCUCAAAUCUUUCAUCGAGAAACAUUCAUGGAUAGAAACAUACUGCGCAGUAUCAUGGAUCAGGUCAUGCAUUACGUAUUUAUCUUGAUUAGGGAACUUUGGAUCAGUUUGGAAAAGACACCUGCCUCUCAAAUCAUCCAAAUACUUCAUCCCGACAUCUUCAAGACGCUUGCUCACUUGUGGUGAAACAAAGCCCUCUGCCACCCAAAUGUCAACGAUCUCAUGUCUUUUGAAGCUAUAAUCUUUCGGAAAUAUGGAGCAAAAUGCAAAGCAUCUCCUAAGUUCAGUUGGGAGGUACAAGUAGCUCAGUCGAAGUGCUGGUAAUAUGUCGCUAUGUUUUUGUUCUUGCUCCCAUAAUUCACUGUCCUUGAUAGUCCUCCAAUGUUGCUCAGUCAGAUUACUAUUCAACAAGCGUCCGAGAGUUUUGGCAGCCAAAGGAGUACCAUGCAACUUAGAGGAAAUGCUCUGACCAAUCUCUUGUAAGCGAGGAUAUGACUCUGGGCACUCUUUACCAAACGCACAUUUCUUGAAAAAUUCCCAAAAUACACCAGCGGGCAAUCCUUCGAGCUGGAGAGGCUUACAACUGCAUUUGGACCAUGCGGUGACAUUCUGAGCAAUGUUUUUGUGUCUUGUAGUCACUAAGAUCAUGCUACCUUCAAGUCCAUUCUUCAACGGUGCAUAAAAAGACUCCCAUUGUGGUAAUUUCCCAAAUAUCAUCCAGCACCAAAAGGAACUUUUGGAUCUUCAGCAUGUGCCACAGAUCUGCUUCAAGAACACCCAAACCACAAGACAAGUCGAAGUUUGGCUGGAUGAUGAUCUCCUUUUUCAUCCUUUCAAUGUCAAACAGGUCCGAAACACAGACCCGUAUCCUUACAGUAAAGUGGCCUUCACUCUUUCAUCACUGUCGAUGAGCUGAGCCAGGGUGGUCUUCCCCAUCCCGCCAAUGCCAAAAAUUGGCAAGACAGAAACAUUGCCACAGUUAGCAGUCUCAGCAAGCCCUGCACUGCUGUUACUGUCAAAGUUAAGUCGCUUGGCUUUGGAUGUAGAUGCGAUGGCGUCAUGACUUGCUGCUUCUGUGCCUUUUCCUUUAGACCCUGCAGAUGUACUGCCCAUAGUGAGUGGCAUGCCCAUUUGUGAGAUCACCUGAUUAAUUUCGGCAGCACGAUCAAUCGUCAGAGUCACACCCAGCAUCUCCAUCACUUGAUCCCUUUCCGUGUCACGCGGUGAUGAGUUCAUUCGUUGUUGGCAUGCAUGACCUGCACUGGCUGAACACGAUCAAGACCAAUCAAGCAUAGCACUUCUUUAACUUCAGCCAUAACCUUGUGGAGCUGAUCUUUGGUGUCCCUUAUCCUUUUUACUGCUAGCAUGGACGAGAUGUUUGGCAAUAUUCAGAGAGGAUGAUGACACGAGUUGACCUGCCCUGCUCCGGCUGGCGUCCUCAAUCUUGUGCCGCAGCGCCUGGUCCUCGAACUCUCGGUGGAGGUCCUCGGCGUCGUAGGUGGUGUACUUGUGCUGCAAGAGAUGGGCCUCCACCAUGCCCCACUCGCUGCGACUGAUGAGCAGCUUGGUCUUGAGUUGGUCCAGCUCGUUUUCCAGCUGGGUCGGCGCUUGGCUCAUGCUCAUCCCGAAUGACAGGAUGCCUUGCACGGUGUCCAUGGUCGCGCGCGCUCCUAGAUCUUGGUGCGUUGGUGGAGCUGCUCGUGAAGUCGUGAUGAUGGUGCUCCUCCUCCUCUUCCUCCUGCUUGGCACAGGGGCAGAAGGGAGCGAUUACCUGAUGAUGGUGCCACCGAUUACUGGCCUUCGCCCUCCCAACACCGGACUGGUGAUUUUCACCGGAGGGAUCGUAAGAGAGAUCGGGCAGAGAGGUGUAGGAUCAAAUUGCGUGUGCACCCAACGUGGAAUGGCGCUGGAUAUAUCUAGCUACAUGGUUGCAUGCCCUGCCGAUCUGGGCAAUCGGUAUUGCAUUUGCAGAUUUGCUUCGGUUUCAUCGAUGAUCCCUCCGGCGUUGGUUUCUUCGAUCGGUCCUGUCUUGGGUUCCAUCGAACUUGAUCGAGCUGUCUUGAGGCCGGCGGAGUAACUAAGAGAUCCAUUAUUCAUCGGGAUAAGCUAGGAUCGCAGGGGCUCGUUGCGGCUGCGGGCGUGGACCACCAUCUCUUCCUGCCUGCCGCCGGCGGCCGGCGAGUGCAAGACUGGUAGGUUUAGGAGAGGAAAGGCCAAAAGGCGUGAGCUGUGAAGGAAUGGACCUGGCAACCGGGUGCGGCUUGUGUUGUAUCUUGGGCCGGUUGGGCCGAGUGCAAGUUCCGGGGCCUCCUCGGUGGUGGUUUUGUUGGCUGCAAACUGAUGAGGCCUCGUGCCUUGGCUGCGAAGAAGACGGCUACUCAAAAGCAUUUCUCCCCCAGCAGCUUGAAACGGUCGCCCGCGGACAGCAAGCAAGCGUUCGCGAGCCUGACCGUGCACUGUACAGCACAGGACAGGGAUCCAUGCUUUCCGGCAACACCCAUCGGCGCCAGGCUUACCCACCAGUACACCUGGCACCUGCUGGCUGUCCAGCUCCAAACCUCUCCAUCACAAGACAGAGGUCGUCAAUGGCUUCUUCGGUUUGCAACAGCACAGUGGACAAGAAAAGCAGGGGCAAAGCUACAUUGGGCUAGCCGAGUGAUUAGUAACUAAUUUUUACCACUUGUGCACUCCCUAACCUCCAAUUUCGUGCACCACUGUCUGGCCCACCAACAACCUGCAGCCCAGCAGUUAGCAUAGGCCAGCUUUCAGCAACCCAUCAAGCCCACGAUGCACUAUAGGUGCAUGCAGCUGCGGGCCUGCCGCAUCCGCCCGCGUGCGUUGCACGUGACAAGUCCUCACGGAGAACACGAAACAAUCGUCCGCGAAGCCCGCUCGCUCGCCCAAACGUGAGAACUCAUCGUAGAAAGGCGGCGGAAGAGAGGGAGGCGGCACUCGCGCGUCGCCGUGUCGCACCAUCUCCAGUCGCUGCGGUACGUCUCCUCGCCGGAAUCAGCACCCCCAACCUUAAGCGAUCAUCAUCAACUCCUAUUUUUUUGUUUCUCUCCAUUGUUGCACUGCACAUUCUUCUAGCCUCCCCUUUUGCUCAAGCCCACUCCACUCGAAUGGUACACAAUUAUUUUUCUCACAUGUGCUUUUGUGCCAAUCAGCUUCUUUGAAGUAAUCCGUUAGUGUUUCAAUUUCAUGGUUACUUAUUCUCCUAUAUUCAAUUGAAUUGUAGGGUUAGGGUUUGCAAUUGGGGUUUUACUUCUACAAAUUGCAAUGAAAGGGCAAAGGAGAAGGAACUUAGGAAGGAUUCAUUGAGAUUUGAGACUCAAGAAAUAAACAAAAAUCAUGUCAAGUAAGUUUAUGGGUGUUUGGUCAAUUAAUCAUUUAUUUUUCUUCCCUUGAUUCUUGAACAGAUGAACAUGAGAAGCAUUAAUGUAACUGACAUUUUAAAAAAAUGUGUUAUAUGUGUGUUUAUGGAAAGAUGGUUAAAAAGAAAAGCGCCAGAUGAUGCUAACAAUUUUUGGUAAUUCUCAUCAGCAAAACAACAAUAUUAAUGUUAAUCCAAUACCACCAGCUCCAGAAGAUAUCGAUUGGGAGGAGGAGAUCCAACUUCAUCCUGGUAAAAGAGAAGAAAUACGUUCUUGUCACCCUAAUCUUAGAGAAUCGGUAAGAAGAAUGUACUUGGCAAAUGAGCCUUGUCAGCUCGCACUCUUAAUUUUUCAUCUACUCGGAUUGGGGAUAAAAAUUGAAGGUUUAAUCUUGAAUGGUUUGAUGAAUUUGGAAACUGGCUUGAGUACAGUGAGUCUACCGAUAGAGCCUACUGUUUUACCUGUUUCUUGUUUAGAGACCCCACUAAGAAGGAGGCUGGGUACAAGUCAUUUAUUUUAGAUGGUUGGAAUAAUUGGUAUAAUAAAGAAAGAUUAAAGGAGCAUGUUGGCAGUGUUGACAGCUAUCACAAUGUAGCAACGAAAAAAAUGUGAUGAUAUGUUGAAAAGAGAAUAGCACAUUGAUGUUAAGUUACAUGAACAGCUUGAGAGUUCUAAGAAUGCAUAUUUUGUUCGACUUAAUGAUGCAAUUGAUACUAUCAGAUUGCUACUCAAGCAAGGACUACCUUUCCGGGGGCAUGAUGAAUCAAAGACAUCCUUAAACAAAGGGAACUACAGGGAAGUUUAUGAUUGCUUAGCUCAACAUGAUGCAGCUUUAGCCAAGGCAUUGACAAUUGAUGCUGCAUAUAAUAGUAUUUUGGUAUCUGCUGACAUACGGAAAGACAUCAUCAACUGUUUUGCAGAUGAUAUUUUACAUUCUAUCCUUGGAGACAUUGGGAAAGAUGUAUUUUGCUUGCUAGUUGAUGAGUCUAGAGAUGUCUCUUUCAAAGAGCAAUUGGCAGUGGUGUUAAGAUAUGUUGAUAAAUGUGGAUUUGUGAACGAGAGCUUUGUUGGUGCUAGCAAUACGCAAGGUGAGUUCAAUGGCUUAAAAUCUUUGAUCAUGAGAGAAAAUAGUAGUGCAUAUUAUCUCCGUUGCUUUGCCCAUUAACUUCAAUUAGUGGUUGUAGCUGUUGCUAGAAAGCAUACAGGCAUUGCUGAAUUUUUUAACAAUAUCUCUAUCUUAUUGAAUGUGGUUGGUGGAUCUUCAAAGAGAAGGGACAUGAUUUGAGAUAUCAAUCUCAAAGAAGUUAGUAAGGCCUUAGGCUGUGGGUUACUUAGUAUCGGGACAGGAUUGAAUCAAGAACAAUGUCUUCAAAGACCUAGAGUCUCACUAUAAAUCUCUUAGAAGUUUAGUUAAAUUCCAAAUAAUUAUCAAAGUGCUUGAAUUUGUGGAAAAGGAAGGCAGGGAGGGAAAGGCAAGGGUGUUCUUAGAAAAGUACACUCAUGAACGGGAUGAAUGAUACACGAGUUCAGCGUCACCUAGUCAAGCCGGAUUCCAGAUUCCAUCGUACUGACACUUGCUGCGCUGCUUUGCUAUCUAUUAAUUCUCCUCAAUCUAUAGUAACAGAUAACAACUCUGUCCGCAGCAUGAUAUGGAAAUUUUCUCACACUGGCGGGUACACGAUGGCUUCAGCCUAUAGAGUGCAAUUCAUUAACUUCACCAAAAAAACACAAAUCUGCGCAAUCUGGACUUCUUGCCCCUCUCCUAAAUGCAAAUUCUUCGUGUGAUUAAUCCUUCAUAACCAUGCUUGGACUUUGGAUCGGCUUGCUCAAAGAGGAUGGCCUCAUAGCCCAGCUUGCCCCCUCUAUAAACAGAUAAUGGAAUUCUCUCUUCACCUGCUGGCCAAGUGCAGAUUCACUAGGAAAAUUUGGAGUCCUCGUGGCUAUUUAGACAAAGCAGCCAGUACUACACCCACUGGAAUGGGAACAAAGCUACAAUACCUUGGAAUGGUGGACCAACAUUGAAAUGGACCUGAAUUUUCAUUUCUGAGAAUUCAAGCCUACGCACCUCCGUGAUAGUUCUAGGAGGCUAUCACGUGCGAAUCCAUGUCUCAGAUAGUACAAAUUCAUACCAACAUAGAAAUAUAAAGCAACAACAUAGUACCAUAUCAUAAAUAUCAUAAGUAACAAGUACAUCUCUUCGGUACAUGCCAGAACAUGUCCAUCAGGAUUGAAUCAGAAAGGUAAAAUAUCUAUGCAGCGAAAGCGUAAGCUACGGCGAACUCCAUCUCCAGAGGCGACUCGAGCGAAGGACCAUCCCUAGUCUUCCUAUCCAUCAUUGUCGAAGUCGUAGUCGGGCUCCGACCCUAAAAAGCCACCAUCUACUCGAGAAGCGGGUAGGCCAUGUCAACUCCCAAAAGGAGCAAGCUAAGGAAAUGGGGGAAUUAUACUAUAUGCAUGAGUAAAACCUAUAUAUGGUUGUAGAGGUGUAUGCAACAGCAGCAUCAAUCAAGGAAGCAGCAAAGCAUUACCAUCUUCGAGGUCAACACCUCAAAUAAGGAAGUUGGCACAAAUCACCAGAUCCUUCGCCCAUGGGUCCAGCAUCCAACACACUAGUCGAUGUGAGAGCUCCCUUCCCUCACAUCUCAAUGGCAAACUCCAGCCUAUCUCAAAAAGGGGAGGUAGAAGAAUAAGCAAAGUCUAGUCAGAGGUAGCGGUAGUCAAUAGCACUGUCCAUAACUAGUGGAUAUGGACUUUAGCUAUAGCUUUAUACACUCUGCAGAGGUUGUACAACUGUACCUGCAUGGAUGGAGCUUGAACGGUAGUGAUCCGUCCAAACCCCACCUAACAGCCGGAGCUCUAGUAGGUGGAUAGCUCUCUCUUGUUUCCUCAAGUCUGGAACCUUCCUCAGCUGCAGGGCAUGCCGUCACCAGUGAGGACCUCGAAGCUGUGAAAUCUACCCACGCCGGGGUGCAGUCUGGUCAGAGCAGGCCAACACCUCGAACUCCUUACACGAUCCUCCAAUCCGCCUACAGGCUAAGCACUAUCCACCAAUAGUCUCAGACCGAACCUCGCCCAUAACGUAAGUGAGCGGUAUGUACGUAAAAUAGCAGUUGUGGCUGGUGGUAAAUGACUCGAUCCUUAAGCGGCUGAGAGCGAGCACUCUACUCCACAAGUAUGUGCUGAAGCACCUGCAACGUACAAGUAUGCCACCUGCUCCUCAGUAACAAACAAGGUACCCGCCACAAGUAUGGGGUAGAGAGAGAGUCCAUAAUGCUCUCUCUCGGCAAGGCACUCCUCAGUACCAACCAUGGCUCGCUCCUACCAAAAUACAUCAAGGAGUCACACUUACCCAAAACUCACAUGAGAGUGUUUAAGAAAUCCUAUCACCAAAACCAUGGCACGCCCAUCCAUAACUCAAAAGCAUGUAUAUGGAUAUAUGAGCGGUGGACUAGCUAGGGGUCUGUAGCUAGUCCACAAAAGUAGGUAAGAAGGAAAACAUGAUAAAAAAUUAUCAAGGCAUGGCUAAAAACAUUAGCUAUACAAUCCAACAUCAUUAAGCAUCAUAAAUAAAGCGCUAACAACUAAGCAUGCACAGGAUCUAUAUGAUUGGAAGUGAUAUAAAGCACUAGCAACUAUACAUUGGCUUGCCCGUAGUCGUUUGGAUCUUCCUCAACGUAGUCGGAGUCUUGAGGGUCUUUCGGGUCGUAGCUCGGGUCUGAACAGAACGAGAUACGAUGUAAAGUAAAUUAAACGGCAUUACAUCUAGGCAAAAAUUCCAAGAAUGCUAAAUUUAGAAGAUCCAAAUAAUACCAAACUAGUUACAAACAACACGGGCUUGAUUUUAUGAAUUUAAUGCAAAUGGUUUCAUAUUUUUCAGAGUAAAAAUGAAUUAGUUAUGAAUUCUUAAAUAUUAAAGGAUUUAUUUAAUCGUUUAAAUAAUUUCAGAAAAAAAUUAUUAUUAUGGUGACACGUGUCAGUGCCUGGUUUUGCCACAUGGCAGCACGAGAGUGUGCCACAUGUCUGCUAAUGUCAGACCGGUAACGGUCAACGUUGACCCGGUCAGUCAACGAUGACCUGGUCAACGUUGACUGUCAACUGGGUCCCACCGAUCAGCAGUGGCCCCACAGGUCAGUGGGCCCUGCCAAUGGGCCACCAGUGGGCUUGGGCCUCGGACACGUCAUCGCCUCGUGACUCCACGUGGCAGCCACGUGGCCAUCUAGUCGACAUGGCACUGCCACGUGGCCGUCCCCAGCUGGUCAGGAUCCGGUGUGUCAACUGGAUCCUGUGUGCCACCCGCAUGUGGCCACGGGUGUGGCGUAGGCCUGAUUUGUGGCGACGUGGCGUGGCGGGGCGUGGCGGUGACUGCGCCUAUGACGUCGUGGUGCAGCGCGCCAGCUGUGCGUGCGCAUGGGCAUGGGGCAGUCCCCGACCACGGCACGACCGCGGUGACAUGCAGGGUCCCGGUGUCCUAGGCCCACAGUGGCUAGCGGCGAGGUGAGCAGUGGCGCUCCUAUGGCGGCUCGAAGGUCAUAUGACAAGGAAACAAGAGGAAAGAGAGGGGUAGCGAGGCUCACUGCGGGGAGAUGGCGAAGGCGGGCACUGUCGGGCGGCGGUCGACAGCUCUGGCUCCUCCCUCAGAUGGCCCCUCUUCUUCUUCUUCUCCUCUACUUCACCUCCUUCUUCCCUUUCCUCCUCUUCUCCUCCUCCUCCCUCCUCUUCUGCUCCUUCCCCCUUCUCUCACUCGGGUGGCUGGCGGCGCAAGGGUGAAGCCCUGGGUGGAUGGCAACAAGAGGCCCCGGGUGCCUCUACUUAUAGCGGAGAGGCGGCUAGGGUUCCGAAGGGAGGGUGCGGCGGCGCGCUUGGGUUUGGGGGCGUGGCGCUGGCGACGUGGACAGCCGGGAUGCGGCAGCGCACGGUACGGGUGGUGUGGCGGCCAUUCGAGGUCGCUAGCGCAAAAGCAAGGGCGCGGGCGAGGUCACGGGUGCGCGCUCCCAUGUGGGAGUGUGUGCCAGCACGGACGGGGAGGCGCGCGUGAGCGGUACGGCUGGAGGAAGAAGGAAGAGGAACAAGGGCACCUGAUGGGCGGGUCCAGCGCGGCGGCGAGAGAGAAAGAGAGGGAGAGCGGGGCGCGGGCAGCAAUGUGCGGGCUGGGCCAGCUGGCCGGUUAGGAGGCCUGCUGGGCUGAUCACCAGGCUGCGCAGGCGAGGCGGCGGAGCAGGCCAGGCUGGCUGGGUCGGGGCGAAGGCGGGUGAGGGUGAGGCGUGAGAGGAUCACGCCGGUUGGCUGCGGCCAGCCUGGUUGGGUAGAGGGUUAGACGAGAUCCAAAUAAAAUCUAAAAAGAUCCAAAUCAUUCCACACAAGUUUUGAAAUGGAAUUUUGGGAUGAGAAGAGAAUUUGACUACCAUUUUCAAACAAGCACAAAAUUCAAACAAAAGUUUUGAAUUUUUGGAAAUUUCACUUAAAUAAAUAUUACAAAAUUAUGGAAUAUUACAAACAUAACUGCUCCACCUCGUACCCCGAGAAAUGCGAUACGAAGCCUCAACGUCUGGGAAAUUUGGUUAAAACGAAACUCUACAUUUUUCUCGGACUGUGUGAGUCCUCCUUGAUUUCCUUGAUGGCAAAAAUUAAAAAGGAAGCGGCUGCUUGGGUGGGGGCAGGGAAUACUUGUGUCCCACCUUACAUUGAACAACAGAGCACAAUACUUGUGUCAGUAUAAAAAAAAACUUGUGUAAGGCCAGCUACACAAGUUAGCUCGCAUUUCAUAAUUAAGUUUCAGAUUUCGUGCAAGGCCAGAUACUUUAGCACUGCACUCUUGAUGUACCGAAAGGAAGAUUAACAUAUAAGUACAAUACCGAAGUAAUGACUAUGGAAAUAGGCUUAGAAAUACAACAGAAGCUAGGUACAGUGCAAUAAACCUUAGUGCCUCAUCAUAGCUCCCUUAGCUUCCAGGAAAGUAUAAUGCUGUAUUUGCAGAGAAAAAAAAUAUCACCUUCUAGUGGUGAUCAAGUACGCGAGACUCUUGCACUUGCAAUAGAAAGAUCUGCCAAACCGGUCCCAUUUGACCACAAUAGCAGCUGCAAAGCCAACGCCGAAGCCAAGCCCAACGAAGAGAAACAAAACCACAUCAAUAUGACGAGAUGACUUGUCCCCAUGUGCCACACCUGGAGAGUGAGGUGAACUACCACAAGGAAAUUUUGGCAAUUGCAGCCCACACAAUCCAGCAUUCCCUUCAAAUGAGCUGCUGUCAAAUGUAGAGAACUGACGUGACUGCGGUAUCUUCCCCACCAAGUGAUUGUAUGACAAGUUUAGGGAGCCAAGAAAGGUGAGAUCAGUUAGCUCUUGUGGAAUGUCCCCUGAGAGUUGGUUGCAGGACAGGUCUAGUGACUCCAAAUCAGUCAUGCUUCCAAGUUGGGCUGGAAUUUUUCCAGUGAAGGCAUUGUGUGACAGACUCAGUACGCGUAGUGAUACAAGGCUUCCAAAUGUUUCAGGAAUAGUACCCUCCAAACUAUUUUUUGAGAAGUCAAUUGCUGUUACGGUAGUCAGCAUCCUUCCAAAUGGCAUAUCUGCCCCCUUGUACAUGAUCUCAACAGAAUAUUGAUAUAAAUGUUCUCCGUUAUUGAUAGUUAUAGUGUCUAGAGUUCCGAGAGGUUUCCCAGAACUAUUAAACUCUGCCAUCAUUGACUUUAACUGCUCGAACCAUUGUGGCCUCAAAGUACCAGAGAAGUUGUUUGAGGCAAGAUCGAUAAUUUGCAAGCUAGGGAAACAUUCCUCACAUUUUGUGUCCCCAACAAUAUCACCUAUGGUGCCAUACAUUUGGUUUGAUCUCAGGACGAGUACAGAAAGAUUGGGAAGCCCCCUCAACCAAGAAGGAAAAGCAUCAGCUAUUUUGUUGCUUCCAAAGUCUAUAACCUCCAAGUCUGUACAGUUAGAAAGGCCCCUAGGAAGCCUCCCUUCGAUCUUAUUGCCAUGUAAAUCUAUCGUCUGUAAAUUACAUCUUGUUGUUAUAUUGGAAGGCAGCAUCCCUUUCAAGUGAUUCUCCCUCAAAUUUAAAAAACUUAAGGGGGUAUUUUCUAUAAAACAAGGUGGAAUCGGGCCAUUAAAGUAGUUAUAUGAUAGAUCAAGGACAUCCAGCUCUGUGGCAUUGCAAAUUGAGGGAGAUACAUGGCCGUGUAUAUUAUUUUUGGACAUGCUGAGAUAAAUGGUGUCCCGAAGAUAGGUGGUCCAGUUUGGCAGAAGGGAAGAGAACAUGUUGUUGGAAUAAUCCAAGACUUGUCCUGAUAAUUUUGGCAUAGGGAUCAUCCCUGAAAGUCUAUUGAAACUAAGAUCAAGCACUUCCAUUGGUGUAUUGAAGGGGACAGCAUCCGAAUUAAGUUGCAUGCCCGUGAACAUGUUAUGUGAAAGAUUCAAAUGAGAUCCCCUCGUCUCCCAGAUCCAAUUUGGUAUAUCCCCACUGAUUUUAUUACAUGAAAGAUCCAAAUACCAUAUACGGUCAACAUGCCUCAAAAAUCUUGGAAGUUGAGUUAUCUUGCAAGAUGCGAGCCCUAAUUCAUGUAGUCCAUCCAAAUAGCUGGUUUCCACUGGAUUAUUAUCUUCUGAGGCCAUGACAUGCAACUUAUUGUAGGAAAGAUGCAAAACAGUGAGGUAAUUUAAUCUCCGAAAAUGUGCAAGGUCCACGGAACCUAUCAAGUUGUUUGAGCUAACAUCUAUACAUACUAAACUUGUUAGUUGAAAGAUGGCUUUGGGAAUAAAACCUGACAAUUCAUUGUUCUUGAACCUCACGGUCUCCAACUGUGGACCUGCCUUGUCAAAGCCUUGUAUAGGGCCAGAAAGCUGGUUGAAAGAGAGAUCAAGGCGAUUUAAUAUAGGAAGACUGAAAAUAGAUGGUGGAAUCUCCCCUGGAAGGACAAUAGAAAACAUUAAGUUAGAAAGUGUUUCCCCUUCUACAAAUUGAAAUUAGAAGAUGCUACCUCCUAUUUUGUUCAGAACAUGAAUACUUGACCCUUUCUCGAGAAAAGUAAAAGAUGAUAUCGUACCAUAGAAAUAUAUAUCCCAAGUUUAUUUAUUUUAUUUUGAGAAAAUUGCAUUAGUAGUCUCAAAAUAAAUGGCCAAAACUUGUGUGGUAACCUCGCCGACCCUUGCACUUGUUGCAAAUUACUUUCCCCAGCCCCCUCGUCUUUGUUGUGCCACGUGUUAGGCAAUGGUUUCAUGCUGGUUCAACACAUUAAUUUGCUAAUAGUGGGAUGGGUGAGAUUAGUGUGUGCAAGUUUAAGGACUACCGGAAGAAUUUAGUGCACCUACGGGCCAUAGAAUUUCAUAAUCCUAGGACCCAUGAAGCUGAAAUGAUCCGGACCCAUCAUGGAUCAUAAUUUUAUGGUAUUAUGAUUUAUGAUACCCGGUGUAUAGUCCUGUACCAUCAAAAAGAAUUGGUAAGAUCACUUAUAUAGAAUCCCAAUCCUAACAUCAAAAUUUGUUAAUAUCUGAAAUUAAAUCCAUGAGUAAUUAUAUAUGUUUCUUCAGUUUAAUUCGACAUCUUUUACUCUUUGCAUGACAUCUGACCAUUAAAUUAUUUUAAAUUAUGAUUAGAUAAUGUUUGGAGUUAAGUUGAAAUGUCGAAUUGACAUUGACACGAAUAAGUAGACUCGAGUUUACAAGAAUUAAUAAAUUUAUAAAAAUAGCAUUGUAGAUUUCUUUUCAAGAACUUGUUUAACUUUUUAAUACAUGCAUAUUUUUACUCAUUACGCUGCAAAAUCCUCCCCCAAAGUUCUUGACACAGUGUCAAACUCAUUUGUUGUGUUUAAGCUCUUGCAAUGAUCUAUAUAAGCUGCCAGCUUUUGUAUAAGAGGGCCGGGUUAGAGAAGUAUAUCGUGUCAACUACGCCAAUGAAAUUCUUUUAGAGUAAACUAGAGCAAAUGAGAAGCUUUAUGAGCCCUAAUACCAUUUAAGAUUUCCAUUGUCCUUCCUACCCUGUCAAAUGAACACUCAAGCUCAUAUAGAAGUGACAUGUGUGGUUGUUGCAUCAAGAAGGAACCUUAAGGGAGGAUUUUGCAACAGGGUUAGGCUUGUGGGUUCGUUAGGCCCUUCACACAACGUGUGCUUGGAGUAUUGCUUGAAAUGGAGAGAGGAGGUUUGGGCAUCAAUCACUCCCCCAAGUGGCCAAGUUGAAACCAGGAGCAGCACUGUGACAGAAUAAAACAGAUACCAACUUUUCUCACAUGGGCCUCGACUUUUUUUCCUAGAGUCACUCGACAUAGUAGAGGCCUUAAUGCAACUAUAUUUCUUUUAGGGGAUAAUUGCAACUCAAGAUGACUACUAGGAGCAUGAGACGUGCACACAUGCGUCAGUGGCAAGCUUGCACCUACUCUGAGCAGAGGAGGGCGCAGUUGGAGCUUGCAAGGCCCACGGUGUGGAGCACUGACGCUUAGGGAUGCAAACAGGCUAACCCAGAUAUAGGGCUGAAUCAUGUUGGCAACUGUAGCAUAGACUAUAAGUGGGUUCGCAGGCUAGCCUGCUUGAUUUGCAGCAAUAUAUUAUGGUGGAGGGAUGCCCUUGACCUGUUACAUGCCUUUACAAAUUAAGAGCAUGUUAGGAGAUCCUUACUCCUCAAUCCAACUACCAUAUUGGGAGGGUUAACAAAAAAUAGUGUUCCAGCAGAUUUUUUUUACUUUUUUCCAUUUCACAAUAGUUAUUAGGAAAAACUAAUAAUCCACCCUAACUUAUCCUAAAAAAAGAGUAUCUCAAUAUGGUAGUUUGGAUUGUGAUUAUUGGGGAACUGCAAAAACAACUUUUCCAAUAACCAUAAAAGAAAUAUUGGGACAUUUCCAUUACCUUGUUAUUAGGAAAAAUUGAUUGGAAAACUGGUGAAGAUGCUCUAAGGGAUCCUCAAGUUGGCGUGCGACUGCGCACGCGGUGGGGGGAGCACAAGCAGCCCAAUAUGACUUAAUUUUAGCCCAAGUUAGGUUUAGUUGUGACCAAACUAACAUCCAUGUUCUAUUUUUUUCCCUUUCUUCAUUCUUUUGGGUUUUACAUUCUCUUGUCCUUUUCUUUAAUUAUUUCCUUUUAUAUUAUUCUGCAUAUUAUUUUAUUUCCUUUAUAUUUAUUAUUUGUUUCUAUUAUUUGUUUCGUUUUCUUUUCUGUUUUCCUUUUCUACUAGGAAAUUCUAACUUUUCAUUUAUUUUAUUGUUUCCGUUUUUAUUAUCUUUUAUGCUUCUUUUAUUUUUUAUUUUUAGUAACAAUUUUUUGUAUAUUUUGUUUGCUAGUAAGAAUAAUUUAUUCAAUUAGUUUUCUUUAUUGUUUCACUCUAGCACUACUUUAAAAAUCAUUUGUGCAUACGAUCAUUCUAUUUUUUUUUACAACGGUGCUUAAUAACAACCGUCUCUAGCAAGGGUUCCAAAAAUACAAGUAUUUAUAGAGGUGGGCCACAUAAUUAAGUAACUGUCUGAAAAUCAAUUUGGAAGGCACACCACCUAAGCUGCUACUACUAGAAAUUGACUUCUAGAGGCAGGCCUAAUAAGCAACUGCCUCUAAAAUUGUAAACAACCAAUUUUAAAGAAAAAUAAUAUUCUUUUUUAAAUGAAGAAGAAUGAAGACAAAUUUACUAGCAUAACUAUAGAGCUCGAUGACAUCUAAAAUUUCAUAGUUCAUAACCUUUUCAUGUAAGACUAUUUACAAGCCCAAAUAAAAUUCAUCACCAUUUCUUAUAUUUAUUUUUAAAAAUAAAUUAUGAUUUCCAAAAUGGCCUUGGAAGGAGAUGUGCUCUUCAAAAAAGUUGUAGUGCAUGACGAGAUCUAAAAAUUUGUAAUUGAUAUUUUUUUUCAAAUUUAUGAUCGUUAGAGUGUCAAAUGCAUAGUACAAUAUUCAGAGAAGUGAAAUCAAAAGAAUCCCUUAUAUAGUUAAUAUGUGUUUCGUAAAGAGAAAACUACGCGUGAAGAGACGUGUCGUACCAUGAAUUUUUUGGAUUUCAGGAUAUGACUAGAAAUAAUAAUUAAACAAUAAUUUUCAAUAAUUUUAAUUUUUUUCAACAUUUAUUUUCUUGAGAGGAAAUUUAGUAUAGGAAAAUGAUUGGUUAUUUUUUCUAAAUUAAAUAAAUUAGUUCUUUGUGUGUUGCAUUCAUGCCGAGGCAUCUUGGUGUUUCAUGAGUGCAGACAUUUUAAAAAUGUGUUUCUAUAACAUUUAGGUUCUUCUAAGAAUUUUCCAAAUUUUUCUAGGAUCUAUUGUCAUUUUCGUAGAGCUAAAUAUUUUUAUUAUAAGGCCCUAGAAUCCCUUUCUUGAGUUCCAAGUAUUUUAUUUGGAUUCAUCGUGUCCCAAACUAUCUCUAUAAAUUUUCCUAGGAUUUUAGCUUUUUAGAGUACUUUUUGUGGUUUCAUUGAUUUAUCUAGAAUUUUCUAGAUUUAUCUUUGCACGGGAAACAUCUCUAAAAAUGAAAUAGAAAGAAAUCCCCUUUUCUUGAGGUUGGGCUCAUGGGACCGACCUGCUCUAGCCCAGCAGCCGGCCUGCCAGGCCCAUCUGAGCCCUGCAGCUCUUGGUGUCCAUGCCGGACACAGUAUGGCACCACCGCCUCCCCAACUAACUUGGGUGUGCAUGCCACGGCUCCACCCCUGCCCCCAUAAAUAGCGAAGCCGCAUCCCCUGCUUGCCAUGCUGCCCCAACUCGUGCAUGUGCUGCGCCUCGCCCUUGCUCGCGCAAGCGCUGCCAACCGCCGGAGCCGAGCUGCGCCGCCACCUCGAUCUGCCAGACCCCGGCGUCCCAAGACCAAGCCGCCACCUCCCAGAGUUGCGCCACGACAGGCCGCCUCCAACCAAGGCAUCCACUACACCAAAAAGGCCACUGGAGCAACACUGCCUCGCCUCGCAACGCCAAUCCGGCCGCCGUCUGUUGUCCGCUGCCAGCCAAAAUUCCAACUGGAAUCUGUCCACCCCGCCGCUGGUGAGCACCUCCAUAGAGUCCCCUCGACCUCCUCUUCCAAUCCCCGUCCUCGCGACCGGACUGCCCCCAAUCCCGCUGGUCAGAAGCCAGCCACCAUGGCCAUUAGAAGCUCUUUGAGCUUUUGUGAUUAGGCCCCUUGGAGAUCUUGUAAUGUUUACAAGUUUUCCUAUGUCUUGCUCCUUGUACCGUGAACCCCAUGGACUUUAUCUGAUCCUUGCAAUCAAACCAAGUUGUAAUCUUUAUCAGAUCUAACCUCGAGCCUUAUCAAUUUCGCGAGCACUCUUUGAUGUGUCUUGCAAAUCUUCUCUGCUAGCCCCUAUUGUCUAGGGUUAAUCACGAUUAGACCCCUGCAGCUUGUUUCAUCGAUCCUUUGUUUUAGCUCCGUUUAACCUCGUUCUUAUUGUGUUAGGUUGAUGAUAACAUAAAUUACACGUUAGUAAUGAUGGUUUCCAUCAUGCAUGUUUUUGAAAAUAAAUUUAAUAUUAAUUUAUUGAUGCCUGUUAAACAUGUCUUCCUUAAUUAAAAUCUACAUAGAGUUAUACACCUCUUUUUAUAAUCAAUGUUAAUUCGAUUAAUGCUUACUUCAUAUAUUUUUCUAAAUAAAAGCAAAGUAGAGCUACACCUCGGUUUUUCAUAAACUAAUGUUAAUUAUUUUAAUAUUCAACAUUGAGUCAACUUUUCCAAAUAAAAGUUGAUUAGGCUUUUACACUGGCUUUUAUAAAUAAAUAUUAGCUUGAUUAAUACCAACAUGAUUAUGUUUUCAAUAACAAUUUGAUCCACUUGAAUCAUAAAGUAUACGUUUAGAUGUUUCACAUAGUUUGGCUUUUCUAAACGUUAAAUGUUUAAAUGAUUGAUAAAAUGACCAAUGUCAAUAUGAAUGUGUUUUCUAAAUAAACUUUGUUUAGCCCAACAUGACAGAUGUAUUAAUUUGAUUAGAUGUGUUCAUCUUUCUAAAGUUUAGUGUGUAACGGGUAUAAUUUAUACAUGAACAUUUAUGAAUAAAUCUUGAUUAGGUUUUACCUCUGUUUUUUAAAUAAAGUAUAAUUUGCAUUAAUUCCAACAUAGGUUAUUUUUGUUUCUAAAGUAUCCUUUACAUAUAUUUUGUUAAUUAAAAUAAACCGGGUGUGACAAGAGCAAUCUUGGUUCAAAUCCUAUAUACUGCACAUUUGCAUAUUUUGUGUGAGAAAUUGUAUGAUGUGUGACAGCUAGAAAUUUGCUAGCUACAUAUACCUAACUUUUUUAUGCGCGGGUACGGCUGACUAGCUUCUCCAGAGCAAGCAGACUCAUGCCCCUCCAGCAGGUGUAGUUUGGUCAAGGAGGGAGCAGAGGCGCCGGCCACCUCACACAUCUGUCACGGUUUAACUUGUCACUAGUGGCAUGUCGGGCGUAGGGCUAUGUUUUUUUUUAACUAAAUAGCACAGAAUGGAUAAUACAGCAUUUUGCAAUCGCAAAUAUGUGUGUGUGUGGGUAGGGGUAUUGUUACGUACCGUUGAGAGAAUUAAAAGAAAGAUCCAGCAUUGUUAGCUGGGUCAAAUUAACUAUUGAGCUUGGUAUGCUUCCGGAAAAAUUGCAAUCUUGAAGAACUAACCAUCUCAACUUAUUGAGCUGCCCAAUUGCAUUAGGUAUCAACCCAGAAAUCUGACGACCACUAAUUUCCAUGGCUUCCAAGUUAGUGAGGUUGCCAAUUGGAGCCGGCAUUGAACCUGAAAACCCAGAAUGCUGGAGGUACAUGUUUCUCAAAUUUGUGAGUUCACCAAUUGCAGCUGGCAUUGGUCCUGAAAAAUCAGCACCCUCGAUAUACAAGUUUCUCAAAUUUGUGAGUUCACCAAUUGCAGCUGGCAUUGGUCCUGAAAACCCAGGAUUGUUCAUAUACAAGUUUCUCAAAUUUGUGAGUUCACCAAUUGCAGCUGGCAUUGGUCCUGAAAACCUAGCACCCUCGAUAUACAAGUUUCUCAAAUUUGUGAGUUCACCAAUUGCAGCUGGCAUUGGUCCUGAAAACCUAGAUGAUAUAUACAAGUUUCUCAAAUUUGUGAGGUUGCCGAUAGAAGAUGGCAUGGAGCCAUAUGUGUUGCAAUCAUGCAUUUCAAGUGUUUGCAAGCCCGUGAGGUUUCCAACUGCCCCAGAGAAGUUACAUCCAAAGAGUCCCAAACUUGUUAGGUUUUUGUGCUGGCCAAUCCAUGAGAAAAUUGGACCUAAGUCGCUUCCUGAGUCCAAAUCGUGGUCCAACUCAUUAUCCAAAAAACAAUCAAGGUCCAACUGGUGUAGAGACUCAAGUCUACCAAAUGCAGAGAGAAAAUCCAUAGAAAUUAAAUUCCUGUUAAGGCCCAACUCCUUCAACGACGUGAAAUUACUAGAAGGCGUUGGUAUGGCAUAUACAAAGUUGGUCCUAUCAAGUCUCAAAGUCUCUAAAGAGCUGGCAUUAGAAAAGUUUGGCACAUGGCCUGAGAGAUUCAUAUUAUAGGACAAAUCGAGGACCCUUAGAUUUUUCGAUUGAAAGGGUCUAGAGGGUAACCGCCCCUCAAGAUUUAUCCCAGAAAGUUGAAGCACGGUUAAAUUGGGAAAAUCCAUGAAGAACUCUGGAAAUGGACCAGCACUUGCAUAAAUGGAGGUUUCUUGGAGGUUGAUCACAACAAGAGAAUGGAGUCUCGAGAACGCUUUAUGAAUAGGACCACUCAGGUGACAAUCAGCCAAACUAAGUACCUGAAGUUGAGGAACAUAUGCAGCAAGAGAUGUGCCCCACUCUUCUCCACUAUUAGACAAAUCCACUGAGUCAAGGUAGAGCUCUCUUAAGUUGCUGAGGUUUGCCACAAAGGUAUCAAAACUUGAUUCCCAUAAAUUGUUAUAAUAAUCAUAAGAGUUUGAACCAUAAAAACCGCCAGAAUAAUAAUCAGUAUUGUAUGUUGAAAGAU
rnacentral:lncRNA from 1 species